rnacentral:lncRNA from 1 species
UUUGGAUCAAAGGUUGGGUCUAGUUCAGCAUUGAUCAUUUCUUCUGGCUCAGAUUGGCUAUCGUAAUCAAGCGUCAUAUCAUCAUGCUCCCCCUCGAUUGAUGAGCUUUGAGAAACUUGAGGUUCAGAGGUUUCUUGUGGUGCUGGACUUUCAGGCGUUGAAGCACCUUCGGUUGGAGAAGCACUUUCGGUUGCAGUUGUAGAGCUUGGCUCCCCCUCGACAUGUGAGCUUGGCUCCCCCUCGACUGAAGCAUCGUUGGAUGGAGGUUCAUCAGAAGUCGAUCCUCCUUCAUUCAUUCUCCUUGCAGCUUCUUCGACAAUCUGCUUCAUGUGGUCAACCUUGUUGUCUGCUGCACCUGCUUCUGAGAGAGAAGCUUUCUCUGGUUCGUCAAAGAGCUCCAGAAAUUUCUCGAAUAGAUUAGCGAUCGAGACUGUGACUUGGCCAGUUUGAGGAAAGAUUUCCCCAGCGGUGUCUUCUUUGGCCUGUAGCUUUUUGACAUAGCUAUCGUCAAAAGUCACGUAAUAGGUCUCUUCGAUUUUUCUCGAACGCUUGUUUAGGACUCUGUAUGCUUUGGAUGUGAGAGAGUAGCCCAGAAAGAUUCCCUCGUCGGCUUUGACAUCAAACUUGUUGCGGUGUUCUUUAGAGUUAAAGAUGAAACACCGUGAGCCGAACACGUGGAAAAAUUUCACAUUGGGCUUUCUGUUGUUUAGUAUCUCAUAAGGUGUGAGCGUGAAUCGCUUGUUGAGAUAAGACCUGUUCUGUGUAAAACAAGCAGCAGAAAUAGCGUCAGCCCAAAAAUAAAGAGGUAAGGAAGCGAAACUUAGCAUAGUUCGGGCAGCUUCACACAAAGAUCGGUUUCGUCUUUCGACUAUUCCGUUCUGUUGUGGUGUGUAGGGAGCUGAGAAAUUGUGACUAAUUCCCUUUUCUGCAAGAAACUCUUCAAACUCCCUGUUCUUGAAUUCAAGACCAUUGUCGCUUCUGAUGUUGCGAACGACCUUCUUGAUCUGCACUUCAAUCUGCUUAAUGAAUAAUUUCAGCUUAUGAGUCGCUUCAGAUUUAAGCUUUAGAAAGAACACCCAUGUAAAUCGUGAAAAGUCAUCAAUAAUAACAAGAAUAAACUUGCUACCACCGAUGCUUUCAACAGAUGAAGGACCACACAAAUCGAUAUGAAGUAAUUCGAGUGGUUCAACAACUUUUGUGUUGAUUACAGAUGGGUGACUUUGACGACUCUGCUUCCCCAUUUCGCAUGCAGCACACAAAUGCUCUCUGUCGAACUUGAGCAAUGGAAGACCCCUAACAUGACCUCCAGUGACAAGUCGGUUGAUAUCUUUAAAGUUGAGAUGAGAGAGUCUUCGGUGCCACAACCAGCUUUCGUCGGAUUGAGCUUUUGAUAACAGGCAUAUGGCUGGGUUUCCUUUGAUGGGUUUCAUGUUUAGAGGAAACAUUUCACCCUUUCGCUCUGACUUGAGAAUCACUUUCUUUGUCUUUUUCUCUAUGAUUUCAGAACCUUCAUCAUCGAAUGAGACUUUGAGACCUGUACCUCCAACAAGCUGAGAUACACUGAUGAGGUUGUGUUGGAGUCCUUCCACAUAAGCUACCUUCCUUAUAGUAAAGUCCCCAUUUGUUAUCAUCCCGUAUCCCUUUAUGGUGCCGAAAGAAUUAUUUCCAAACUUGACAUUGCCACCAUUUGCAAGAGAUCUGUAUUCCCUGAGCUCCUCUUUGCUCCCUGUCAUGUGACGUGAGCAGCCACUAUCGAUGUACCAUUCUUCGUCAAACUGCUCGUCACUUAUAACCUGCAAAAAUUAAGCAGAUUUAGGAACCCAAAGUUUCUUGGGUCCAUGUGAGCUUUUCAUGGGAACAGGAAUAGUAAGAGAGAUGUCAACUAGAUAUGUUCGUUUUAUUAGAGUUGUUUCAUCUUUCUUUUUAAUGGUAAAAACUUUUAUCUUAUUAGGAUUGGGUGCGUUCGGUUUGGACUCUGGUUUGGAUUCAUUGACCUUCUGUUUGCCCUUUUGUUCAGCUGACGAAUAAGACUUUUGAGAGCGAACAGAAUUAGCUUUAGAGCAAGAUGGAAAUGAAUUGGUGGAAGUAGAAGAAUUAGAAGAACUAGAAGAGGUGGGUUUGGAAUGAGAGGACUUCCUGGCUGGAGACUCUAGGUGACCCUUUUGCUUUUGAUCAUUGGAGGGACUUACCUUAGAGUUUUGUUCUCUUUUGACUUCAGAACCGAACCUUUGCUUUCGGUUGGAAUCGUUCUUUGAACCGAACCUUUGCUUUCGGUUGAAGUCAUUCUCAGAACCGAACCUUUGCUUUCGGUUGGUAUUCUCUUGUGAACCGAACCUUGGCUUUCGGUUGUUGUGGCUCUCAGGCUUUCCGACAGGAUUGUUUUCAUACUUCAGAUUCUUGUCUUGAUGUGAGAAGUAUGCAUUCUGGGAUUGCCAGAAUUGCCUCCUUUCAGAGAGAUUCUUCCUGUAUCUUUGGUUCCUUUCACGUUUCUUAUUCCUCAUCUGCUUCGGUUGAUGAUGAAUAUUAGCUUUCAUUUUCGGUUUCUCCUUGGCUGGUUCAUUUUGAACUGUAGGAGUUUCACUUUGAACUGAGGAAGUAGAGGGAACGUCUUCUUUUGCCGAACUUUCAUCCUCCUGAGGAAUGUCUUUCGUACCACUGGUGCUUGGCUCAUCGAAAUUAUCUGGCUUAUUCAAGGGUUCAGGUAUGUAUCUACCUUUACUCAUCCAGGAGGUUCUUUCAGAUAAGCCUACCGUUUCGUUUGCAUUAUCUAUUGGAGCUGACCAGAAGUACUCAUCACAGCCAUCAGCAUUGUCUUCGUUUACAAUAGCUGUGAGUUCAGCCGUCUGAUGUUCGGUUACUCCAGUGACCUUGUAUACUUGAUUUGGAGUGGUCCUGACCUUUUGAUACACAACUGCUUUCUCUGCUAAGAUCGGGGACUUUUGUUGGGACAAUCGAGCGAACUCCACUGAAUUUUCAGAAAUAAGAUUCUUGUGGUUUUCAGGUUCGCUUUUAACAAAUUCUGAGCAGUCAACCGUGUCCUCUACAGAAAUUUCACUCAUGUUGUCGUCCUCGUUAAGCUCAGAUGCAUUUUCAACAUCAAUUUUGUUUUCUGAGCUUACGUUGGCGUUUAAAGAGUCAAAUUUUUGUAUGGUUUCGGUUCUCAGUUUAAGUCUAUCAUUUUCAUCCAAAAGAUUUUUAAGCAUGUCCUUGUGGUCCUUGGAUUUAAUGAAGGACUCAAUUUUGUCCAGUCCAUACAUGUAGGUCGGAUUGACAUCAUCAGACGAUAUCACACUCUCACAAUUAUAGGCUUCAGCAUCGAUUUCAUCCUCCUUAAACUCAAGGAAGGGCAAAAUCAUGCGAUGGAUCUUUUGGCCUAUUUCACAGUCCAAGUGAAGCUGAGUAAUAUUAGAAUAUAAACGUUUUGCAAUUAAACAAAAAACAUUCCGCUGUUUUAACAAUUUUAAAUUGUCUCUUUGCAAAUAAAUGUUUUCGUCUUUAACUUUAACUAAUUCCGACUCCUUUAACUCGAUCCACAUUCGCCGCUCCUCACUCUUCGACGCCACCCUGCUUAAUUGAUCAGUUAGGUUAGAAUUGGUGACUCGAGUUUGAGUUAAGCUACUAUCUAGAUGAGAAAUUCUUGUAUUAACAUUUUUUAGUUCUUUCUCAUAUGAGGAUUGUGGUACUUUAAAUGAAAUGAAAACCGAUUGUACCUUCUUUAUCAGUUCAUCAAGCUCAUUGAACUGCUGGCUGAGUGGUUUGGCCGUAAAGCACAUGUCCUCCUGCCCCUUCGGUUCAUCGCUUCCACCAUCAGUGUUGUAUCCCCUCAUCUGAGAUACAUCAGACACCAUGAAGCAUCUUCCUCCACUGCUCUCCUCCUUUGCCACAUAAGCCUUUCCAUGGGUAGGCUUCCUUACUUCAUCGUCUUCUGAGUCGGUAGACCAAACUUCCGUGCUACCGAACUCGUCAUCAUUAACCGAACCCUGCACAAUAAGAGCAUUAAUAGAAGGGUUAGCGGUAGACUUCUUCUUUCUCAAUUCAUCCAGCCUUUUCUGCAACACAGCUUCCUCAUCCUUUUCAUCAUCCUUUUCAGCCAUCUUCUUAAGCACACAGUCUUUAGCAUAGUGGUUUUUCCCACCACAGUAGUAACAGCUUACUCCGGAAUCGCCAUCCACCUUCGGUUCCUUCUUGGGCUCCUCAACCUUCGGUUCAUUGUUCACCUUUUCUGAGCUGUAACUCCCCUGCCAGUUUCGGUUUUUAUUGCUGGGGAAUCUCUUCUUUAUGAACCUCUUGGGAUUGGACACCAUCAUGGCAUAAUCCUCAGACGUGAGGUCAUACUCCUCCAAGUUGAGGUCUUCAUCCUCCAUCACAGCUUUACUUUUUGAUAGGAGGGCCAACGAACCAAGGCUUGAAACGACGUUCUUCUCUUGCAGCACAAUCUUCUCUUGGGACUUGAGAAUGCCCACUAGUUUCGCCAGAGAAUAUGAUUUAAACUGUUCAUGUGCUUUGACUGUAGAAACCACUGCUCUUCAUUCGGACCUUAGUCCAUUUAAGAAAGUAACCUUCUGCUCGAUAAGAUUCCUUUCAAUAUCGUGUUUGAUCAUCUUGCUGAGAAGAUGAUUGAAGCGAUCGAACGUCUGGGUCACUGUUUCUUCGGCUCCUUGCCUGAAUUCUCCAAACUCAGAUAGAAGCAAGGUUUGGAUAGAAUGUUCAAGAUCCUCGUCUGUAGAGUACAGUUCGCGAAGUCUAUCCCAAACUUCCUUUGCCGUCGUGCAUGAGCUGACCAACCUGAAUGUGUCGGACUGAAGGGCGAAUCUGAUCAACCUUAACGCCUUGAUAUUGCACUGGAAUUUGUCCUUUUCAUCUUGUGCAAUAUAUUUCACAUCCUUCAGCAGAUCGUUGUACUCCUUUUGAGUUUUAACUAUUCUGGACGUUGCAGAAUGAGAAAAUGGUCCAUUGAUGAUAGCUUCCCAUAUGAGGUACCCAUUAUCCUCAGAUCCAAUCACGUAGUCUUCGAAGUGAUGCACCCAUACUUCAUAGUCAUGGGUGUAUAAGAUUGGAAUUUUUGUCGUCGAACCGAUGCUGUUGGAAAUAUUAAUAGGGUUCGAUUGCGUCUCGUCCAUUAUGAUCGAAAAAACCUGUUAAAAGAUCAGACUUGUAAUAACUCAGAUUAGGGCAAAACAAUAAAUAUCAAAAUACGUCAAUAAUGAGAUGACGGCUCAAUAAAUAUCAGUAAUUGCGGAAAAACCCUAAUUGAAACCUUUUCACAGAAAAGAUGUGUAUCGAUUACACAGCCUCCCGCUCUGAUACCAAUUGAUGAGAUUAAAACUUUUAAAUCUAAGAAGAUCGAUUAGAUCUCAAACAGGCAAAUAAUAUAAAACUGUAAGAACACAAAAAUAUAAACGAGACAAGUGUGAAUCAAACGAUUCGAAUGAUUAAAACAAAAUCCUCAUAAGAGCUCGAUUAAGAACAUCAACUGUAGAGGAUUGGAAGGUUACAAGAACGAUUAAAGAAAUCUGUAAUGCUAUCGUUAAGCUCUAGAAUAAUUGCUAAUAUCGUUAUCAAUCCUUAACCUAAUAUGCAUGCAAGCAUAUUCUUAUAUAUAAAACAUAAAAGGCUCUCGGUUGGACAGGCCCAAACCGGAGUACAAAAUAACUAUACUAUCGAGCCCAAAAGACGCAAUCUUCAAAAUAAUCUUCAGCCCAACAGUUUCAUUACAAGGGUUAAAAGGGUAAAUACGCGCAUUCCGAAUGUUAUAUACAGACAGUCAACUACUUGAUUAUACCAUAAGCCCUUCAUCAAAUAAGAACAUGAAAUAAUGCUCAACCAAAAAUAUUUAGGCUAUAGAAUCUUAGUUAUGUACAACUAUGAUGCAUACACUAAGAAACUACAAUAAUGAUGUCAAAUCUGUAUAAGAAGUAAUCCUAGGGUAUCAAGCAUCAUAUAUCAGAGAAUCCCAUCACAUAAUUCCUGAAGAUACCUAGCCUACCACUAGCAUGCUGUUCUAUCAUGAAAAACAUAUCAAAUAACAGUGUGCAUAACUUGGUGUAUACUUUCUAGCUUCGGCUGAUCGUACACAUCACAUCAUUCCAUGGUUACUUUUGAAAACAUUUUUUGAAAACCAUUAAAAAAAACUUUUACAGCUCCCUAUAUUGAGUUUAGAUUCACACGAAUGUUCAUCCAGUUCUCUCAAACCAUGGCUCUGAUACCAACUUGUAACACUCUAUAUAUCAUAGAAAAUUAAAAAAAUUAAAUUUCAACCAUUAACCAACAUUGUUUACAAAAAGAGUCAUUGCUUCAAAAGUAUUAUUCAAAAUCAUAGUUUUUCCCAAGACCCACUAACACAAAACAUGAAUAUGUGCACGAUCACACCUUCUCCUUCCCGCGAUCAUUAGAAGUACCUGAAACAAUAAACUGAAACUAUAACCCAAAGCUUAUCGAGUUCCCCCAAAGUACCAUCAUGCAACAUAUAAAAUACAUAGAUUAACAUGCUGGGUCCACAACCUCCCGGUUGGAUUACCUUCGUCCACACCCUCCCUGUUGGAUUGCCCUGUAUACCAUAUACUAGGUCCAAAACCUCCCGACUGGGUUGACUUGGCUAGUUUGUGGAUUUUGACCUAUUUUGACCCAAGGAUAUCUUGGAUAAAUUGGUAGUAAUUUAAGUCGGGCAAUAUUUUGGGAUAAUAGCUGUCGACUAGAGCCGGUUUUUGGGGAAGGGAUUUAUUCAGCUUGUGUUCAGACUUUCCUCACUGAACUUACGAGUCGAAGGCACCAAGUCCGACCCAAUGGAUUGAUAUCCUGUUAGAUACUGAUUGAAGAUAUGUUGAGUAUGUGAUAGAUCUGUAUGAUUAUAUGAUAGUUAUUGAUAUAGGUUAAACUGGUAGAUCUGUAGGACUACAUGUGAUUAUUAGCUGUAUAAUCACAUAUCUCCUGUAUGUAUAUUAUAUGAUAUAUGUUGACAUGUUAUGUUAGGGUUGAGAUUACUGCUUUGUGCUAUCAGUCAACAGACCGUGACAAUCCAACCGGGAUGUUGUGGGCUAGGGUAAUCCAACCGGGAGGUUGUGGACACAACAUGCUAAUCUAUGUAUUUUAUAUGUUGCAUGAUGGUACUUUGGGGGAACUCACUAAGCUUUGACUUACAGUUUCAGUUUAUUGUUUUAGGUACAUUUGAUGAUCACGGUACGACGAAGGUGUGAUCAUGCACAUCUUCUUGUUUUUUGUUACUGGGUCUUGGGAAAAACUCUGAUUUUGAAUAAUACUUUUGAAGGAAUGUCUCUUUUUUUAAAUAAUGUUGGUUAAUGUUUGAAAUUUAAUUUUUGUAAAUUUCUAUGAUUUUUGGAGUCUUAUAUUGGUUUUGGCUUAUAACCGAUCCAAGCCCCCACACACCCUUGUUAAUCAUCAAAGAAGAAUCCAAUCAGAACUAACUAUGUUCAACAAUAACAACCAUAGGGUGUUAUAAAUCCAUUACCUCAAAUGUAGGGAUCUUUUGAUGUCGAAGAACAUUAAUCAAGAUAAACUAAUAAUGAUAUUCAAUUAAACCAAAGGUCUUUUGGCCUAGCACUAUCAUAUGUUGGAAAAGUGACCCUUCCUAAUGUUAGAAAAACGGGUUAUUUCGAUUGCUUGGAUUCCACUAAAAGUCAUGAUACACUUUCAAAUUGAAUUAUUUCGAUGGUACAAUCAAAAUCUCAAAUGGAUAAAAUUCAAUGACAACAACAAAGAAUGAAAAGGUUAUGAUUCUUGUGUGUACAUGAUUUAAAUAACCAGAAAGGUAUAUAACUCCUUCUCCGAAAACUAUCAUAUUGGCAUUUACAAACUGCUACAAAACUGUCACUAAACUGACUUAGUCAGCUUGACAAACAAGAACUACAUAUUUAACAUACAAAGCGAAGCUAAAAAGUUUCCUGAUACUUGUAAAAAUCAAACGAUGUCAAAAAAUUAGAUGUUACAAAAUCUAGUAUUAACUUAGAUUUAAUAAAACUUAUAGAUUACCUGUUUAUAUAUCAUGAAAAUUUAUUCCCAAGGUCAUCCUUAACUCACUAACAGAUUUUAGGAGUAAUGAUAUAACGAUAUCUAUUCGUUACUCCUCUGAUAAAAUUUUGGAUUCUGUGUAGUCGAUAGGUCGUAUUUUUGGAUUGCUAACAGGAGUAGAAAAGCUAAAAUCAUUUGGGUCGAUGGGCUUCGUAAGCCUACUUUAGCUUGCAGUCCUAUGUAAUGUUUUUUUUCCUUGCUUCCUGCUAGUUUUUAUAAAAUUUUAUGCUGUUCCAAAAAAAAUUUUCUUUGAUAUAUUGGUCGGUCGACUUUGAGAUACAAUUAAGAAGGUUCUCUAGCCACAUCACACAUCAUCCUCCCCCAAUGACCACCACACAAUAAUAUCGAUUUGGUAUAGACCAACAACUCUCUUUCCCCAUCUCAUUCUGUCUUCACUUCCUUACUUUUCAGUUUGCUUUAUAAUAUUCAUACAUAGAAACUCAUUUUGAAGCAGUUAACACACAUAAAUGUCCUUAAUAUUGGAAUCCCCAACGAAGUAGCGUCGUUAAGUAAAGAAUGCAAGUGACAAUCUAAGUUCCUCUUAAUAUACAUAUCUUUUAUUAGAGACCGACCGCUGUCAUCCUCAAUAUAAUUCAUGUGUCCCUAAGUCCAUUUUCCAAUUCUUUUUGGAUUUGAUAAACUUGUAUAUACAAUUUCCUCUCUUUAUAGUGUUCAAUCUUCUACACAUCUUUUCAUAUGUCAUAAGCUUUGCUUUAGUUAUUGCUUUCUUCUUCCAACUUCUAUUGUAUAUAUUUCUUUCACCUCUCUUCUUUAUUUUGACCUUGAAUCUUCUUUCUCCACCAUUCCGAUUAUUAGCUUAGCAUUUCCUGCUAGACGGAUAUGACCUCCUGCUAGAAUUACCAUGUAGACCGAGACCCCCUACUUGUAACUAACCUAUUCGGUCCUAAUAGAUACACAUGUAAAAAGCUAAUAACUACUAACUAAGUGUUAAUUAUUUAAUAUAAAAUAGAGAUAGAACAUCAAUGAUAAAUAUUAAAAAUGCACAAAAAGUCAACGUGAGAAAUUAUAUUGCAAUAAAUUUGUUGUCAAUACAAUGCGUAAAUGAUUUACAAAAUCGAAAGUUCCGGACACAAGUUAAAACUUAAAACCCUAAAAGAGCCUACAAAUUUCAAUCGUCGACAUACCCCACCACAAAGGCACAAAUAAUCAAAGAAACAAGUGUAGAUGUAGAGGCCUUUUUCACCACAAUCACCCUUCAUCGGCCAUUUCGAAGGCCACGUGAAAUGUCACUAACGUGGCCCUAUAAAUAUCCACUCCUUUGUCUUUAACCCCUCCCCCUCCCAUAUAAAACCCUCCAUCCUCCUCCUUAACCACCAUCAACAACUACCUUCUCUCCUCCCUCAAAAGUACCACCAUCUUUUCCGACAUGGCAGCUUCUUCAAUCUUCAUGGCAACUCCCAUCACACUCCUCAAAAAAACUCCCACCUUCUCCGUCAAAUGCAUGUCACAAACACCUCAAAGCGGUGAACCGGAGAUUUCAAAACCAGCAACCACCCCAACACCACCAAAGAUCAACAUUCCUCCUCCUCCGCCACCUGCUCCAAAGGUCAGCACGAAGUUCUCUGACGUGUUGGCGUUUAGUGGACCUGCACCGGAGAGGAUCAACGGAAGGUUAGCCAUGAUAGGGUUUGUGUCGGCGAUGGCUGUGGAACUGAGCAGCGGUCAAGACGUGUUCACCCAGAUCGGCAACGGCGGUGUUGCGGUAUUUGUCGGGACAAGUGUGGUGUUGACGUUAGCGUCGUUGGUGCCGUUGUUUAAAGGAGUGAGUGUGCAGUCGAAGUCGAGUGGACUGAUGACAUCAGAUGCAGAGCUUUGGAAUGGGCGGGUUGCGAUGUUGGGUCUGGUGGCUUUGGCUUUUACUGAAUAUGUUAAAGGCAGUGCCCUUGUCUAGAUAAUGUAUCAUAGACUUUUCUAUUACAGAAUUACAUCUAAGAUAGGCAAAUGUAUAUUCUUUUGAAUAUUUAUGUGUAUCGAUUUACCAUACAUAGUUCAAAUCAUGAAAAUCAAUUAAUCAUGUUUUUUUGAUAAUAUAGUAUAAAACAAAUAUGAUCAAUCAAAUUGAACGAUUGUGGUAUCUUUCAAUAUAAAAUUCUUUUUAUAAAAUUAAACAAACAACAUACUAAGAUAAAUUUUAGAGGCAUGAACCUAGAUUAGCAAUAUAAGAGUCAAAGUCUACAAAGAUAUUGAAAUCCUAGUUUCACAACUUCCUCUUUGAAUGUUGAACUGAGGUGAUCUUCAUUAAUUCAGACCAAAUAUGUGCAUAAGUCCAGCCUAGUCAAUUAGCCAAUUUAAGAUGACAAGUAUCCAAAAUUCAAAUACAUUACAUACCUCAAUUUCAAACAAAACUGAAAAAUAUAAUGACUAAUGCUCACAAAAUGAUCACUUUCGGGGAGUGGUCACAGUUAAACUACCGGAAAAGCGCUGCAAACUCAACGUUACAUCUGCUCCAUCACCAAUUCCCUAAACAUUGGAAAUAGUUACCACUCUAUAUCAUUUAUAUUUAUAUUUUAUUUAUUUUUUAAAAUUAGAUUAAAUAAAAAACAUAAUUAUAAACUUAAGUAAUCAUUUUACUAAUUAAAAAAUCAACUAAACAUAUUAUUAAUUUUUAAAAUUAUUAAACAUAUCUAGUUAUAUAUAGUUGAGGGUUUAACUUAAUUCAAAGAAAAAUAAAAGGGUAUAAUAAGAUUAAAAGACACAAUUUUAGAGACCAAAUUUGUAACUUCAAUUAAAGCAAAUUUGAAUCGUCUUCUUCACCUGUCUUCUUCAACCUUUUUCUGAAAAACGGGUCAUUGCUCAAUACCAUUUUUUUUUCUUUUACUUUGAUGGAUACAAAAGAAAAGGAAAAAAGGGUUAAAUACGUGACCUUUGUUGUUGCUACUUUCUUAUUCGUUGUCUUCAUCCGUCUUUGCACCCACGUUACACCCAAACCACUGGCCUUAGGGGCGGUGUGGACAUAUCCUUAGGCCGGACACAUCAGCAAGAUGCGUGGGUUAGUCCUCCCACUCCGGUUAGCCUUAAACACUUAUUAAAAGCUAGUGGACGUCUUUGCACCCACGUUACACUCAAACCACCGGCCUUAGGGGCGGUGUGGACGUAUCCUUAGGCCGAACACAUCAGCAAGAUGCGUGGGUUAGUCCUCCCACUCCAGUUAGCCUUAAACACUUAUUAAAAGCUAGUUUAUUUCUUGUUAGUUUGAAAUCUAAUGUUAUCAUCAAAUCUAUACAAGAUUGAGAUUGAUAUCAGAGUAACAAUCUCCAAAAGAAAAAUAUUUUACUCAAAAGAAUAUAUAUAUAUAUAUAUAAUGAAUUAUAUCCUAAGAAGUACUAUGCAUGAGUAUAAGAUUACUAUUAUCUUGGGAUCUAUUAAUUGGUAACUAAGCAUACUUCCAAGUUACUAUAUGAAAUUUAGUUAAGGAUUAAUGUCAAGUUGGGUGCAUGCACCUCACUCAAAGGCCUUGUAUUUUUAUCGGUCCCAAGUGACAUCUUACAAGGGCCGUUUUGGAGUUUUUUCUUUCCCCAAUGUAUUAACAUUUAUUUUUUUUUGAUAUUUUUGAACUUUUUAUUUUCUUAGAAAAGUAUACAAAAUAAAAUAUAUACAAGUUUACUUGAAGAUAUGAGUGUUUAUCAGGUUAUUCUCUUGAACUAUCUAUUCUUAGAUAUGAAUAAAUGUGUUUGUCUUUAUCAUUUUUCCCCUUUGUCAAUUCUUGACUAAUAAGGUAAUAGUCGUUCUUGGUGAGGGAUUCACCUCUCUAUUGAUUCUUCAUUCUAAUUAAAUGUUUGGAUUCAACAAUGUCCGAUUGAGUAGUUCUUUAAAACCGCAUUCUACCAUUUGCAUCUUUAUAUUAAUCCCAUGAAUUGGGGAUUCCAUAAACUGAAACUCUUGGAGCUCAAUAGUGUAGUUGAAAAACAUUUGUCGAGCCUACCACUUCCAUGAAAUAGGAGAAUUUUUUCAAUAAACUAAGUAGUUCCUUCUUUAUGGAUCAUCUUUUCGUUACUCGACCCCUGCUUACAUGCGAUUCCUACUAGAAAAUAGAAUUGCAGACUAACUGCAGCUGCAGACAACCCUUCGUUUGGCCAGAAGGGGUUUGAUAUUCCUUGGAGAAAAAUCUCAUCCUGAAAAUAACAAUAUCCAUGAACACAAUGGCUACGAAAUACUGAUUUUCUUAACCGACGAACCGAAAUGUUACAGCCAUAAUGCUGAAACCUCAUUACUUGCCCGCCCUUUAAACAGGUAGAACCAUCCCUGAGCAUAGAAACAUAAACUAAAUCCUGAACCCUCCAGCUGAGGUCUUUGAUAUCCAAUUUUCUUGAUCCACAUCUUUCUGAGUAUAGAUGUUGCACUAAUACACUCGCGAUUCCCAAUGCGAGCUUUCACCAAAAACCCACUCGAAUAUGGCCACUCAUAUUCUUCUCGAAGACCCUUCCCUACAUCUAAUGAGCGUCCAAUUAUGAAUCUGCCCGCAAUUCCUGACUGGAGACACUAACAGAAACAUGCAUAACUGAUCCUCGAAACAUACCGACCACGAUCUUCACCCAAAACCAAACCAUAUGAUGUACCAAAACCUUAUUAACCCUUGAUCCUCUUCUAUUCCAUUACUGACCACUGCUUCGCCGAGCAAGAGAUAAAUCCAAGAAUUUCUGCUUUACAUCCAACCCCUUAUAGAAUCAGGUGUACCCCCACCUGGACAACCACUUGAGACAAUCAUAAAGAACUUUAUGACUUGCGACUUUCCAACCAAUCCCAACUUGAAAACCACAACAAUAGCAACAACUUGCGAACAACCAAAAAUAUAAUGUAUACAUCCCAUAAGGACUUUCUGAUUCCUGACAGAUACUCCCAACAACCUUUACUACUUCCUUUAUCCAACCAAUAGAUUUACGACUCGCUCGUCUCCCAUCAGUGUAUCGAUACCGAAAGCACCACAAGCAGAAUAAAUGAACAACCAUGUUCACUAGGCCCUCAAAGUAUGACUGGAAUACCCCUUAUAAUGUCCUCUGAAUAUGUUUGGAUUGCCUCUGAGCCCACAACAUGAAUCUGGAAUGCCCUCCCUGGCCUUCAGCCCAUGUCUGGAAUGCUCUCGAUAUCACAACGACCUUGACGCCAUCGCAUCGCUCGCCCAUCACUCCAGGCCCACAGAUACUCACCUCAUUCCAUUCCCUUGAAGGGACUUAAUCAAUUCCCUCACCACGCCAAUUGUGCAUCACAAAGAUGCCACCAAAGCAAACCUUACAAAACAUGGACGUACGCGACCCGUGAAUAGGAAAAUAGAUGCACCAUUGGCCCGAUUCGAAGGCUAAAAUCCAAAAGAACCAUGCACAUGAUUCGAACCAAGUGCUCCAAUGCUAUCUUUACCAGAUUACAUGAACUACCCCCAUACACAUACUUAAGAAACCUAGAAUAUCAUCCAGAGAGAGAAGGAAUGUCAGAUAUAAUCUAAAAAUACCUCAAUUAAUAACAUAAAACAUCCCCAUGAUCAGUUGAAACAAGAUCCCAUACUUGAUUGAGACUGAACGGAUUCCAUCGCUACACAACUAGGUUGAGAAGACUUCCGCGGAUAUCGAAGGUUGCCUAAACCUGAGUCUGCUAUUAACCAAGUUCCCACUCCACCAUUGAGGGUAAACACACUCGAAGGACCAAAGAACAUAGAUCAUACCGAACUUGAUGACAGAUUGGCCCGACCACUGCAUCUCGGCUGACACAAUUAAACUUCCGAGUGAACUUUUAUUGAAUGAUGAACCCCAAAAUUAGUGGUCGAGGACACAUUGACACUUAAUCCAGAGAAUCAAGACCCACAUGGAACUGAACAUACCCGCUUCUGGAAAGAUCCACUGACUAACGUCUGCCUAACUAAUCUGAAAAUAGCAAUCCAACAACAAACUCGCAUAUCCCUCAAUGGCUAAAAAUACUCAACCUUAGAAUCCCUAUUCUCCCCCACUUUAGGCUCAAACUACCACUUACUGGCGCUAAAACCAAAUCAUAACUCAAACCAUCUUGAGCAUGUACUACCCUUCCUAACCCUGGAAGUUACGAGUCUGCUCACUGCUUCCCCGAACUCGGAAAAACUGAAAGGGCGUAACCCUAUAUCUUAUAUUCUUCAAACCUAGAGAUAUGAGUUGUUACUAUGAGUUGGUUAUACAUUUGAUUGCACGAAAACGCAUUGGUAACUCGAUGAUAUAAAACGUGCCUUUGUGUAUGAUUCAACAAGUAGUAGAACAAGCCAUAUGAGUCGAAGUUUAUCCAUUCCUUUUACCUUCAGGAUAAAAGCGAUAUCCAUGGGCCCCUCGAUGAUUUAUUAAUGAUGACACAUGUGAGUGCUUGGGCAAGCCAUGACUGAUUUGAUCUGUUCAAUCAGUCAGUCAUCAUGAAUCGGAAAUCAGGAAACAAUAAAUGGAUAGAGAUAAUGAUUUAUAAUCCAUGUCUUAGUCCAUAUGAUAUUUAGAAUGGAGGAAUAUAUGAUCCCUUAUCUAAUGGACUAGUCAUUGACAAAGGUCAAAGUUCAUCGACGAGGUCAGAGUUCAACAACGGCUUUUGAGAGUUACGAUUGCCAGUUGGUUUUUGAAGUCAUCCUCAAUAAUAGUUUUAGACUUAUCCAAGUAGGAGACUAUUGGAUUAGUGUCUAAGUCCAUACCUAUAAUUGGUAUGUACUUGACCGUACUCGUCAUUGUCCAUUUGGGUUGCAUGGCAUCGGAACAUUUGGAUAAACUGUUUGUGAGAAAAGGACAUUUGUGACAUAUUAAUAUAUUAUAAGUUCUAAUAUAUUAAUAUUAAAUCAUGUUAUUUAAUUAGUAUUGAUCAAGAAUUAAUUCAGACUUAAUUUAGUGAUCAAAAGAGACUAAUUAAAUAUAUGGGGAUUGAUUGUGUAAAUCAUUCAUUCUUAUAUAUGUGGGGUUAUGAUCCAUUAUUCCUUAUGUUGGGUUUAACCCAUGUGGUGAUCCAUGGAUACUCCAUGGAGGUUAAAACCCAUGAAGCAUAAGGAAUUCGUAAAGUCAUGGGUUACAUAGUGUAACCCUAAUGCGCACACUAUAUAAGGACCCCUUUAGCUCAAGAAACGGCACUAGUGAUACUUAUAUGAGGGCUAGCCGAUUUCAACAUAGGGUUCUUCUUCUCAUGGUUAUUCCAAGUGUUGAUGAUGUUGUGUGNNNNNNNNNNNNNNNNNNNNNNNNNNNNNNNNNNNNNNNNNNNNNNNNNNNNNNNNNNNNNNNNNNNNNNNNNNNNNNNNNNNNNNNNNNNNNNNNNNNNUUUCCAUUGCAGUCAGAGGGGCCACAAGAAGGCCCAGUGUCCGAGAUUGUAUCCAGUAGGGCAGGUGCCAGCUCCUGCCCUUGGGAUUUCGAGUACCGCCAGCAGUUGUCGAGGCCCGGCAAGGGUGCCUACGGCUCAGAGCCGAGUUUUCCGGUAGAUUUCAGCAGGGAUUCGAGCAGCACUGAGUAAUGAAGGUACGUAACUUUUGUUUUUCUGUCAGCUUAUGUCAUGAUUAUAUUGUUAUGGUUCUGCAUCAAAUUGUGGUAUAAGUGUUGUGUUAUAGUGUGGCUUGCUUGUGAUUAUGUUAUAUGCCAUUUGCAUACCUCGGAUAAUUGGUUGGUAGUUAGGGAAUGUGCUCUUAUGGAGAAGGUUUCGGAGGAUGCAGNAUGGUUGGGAGAGAUUUGGUUCGUUUCGCGAGUUCGGAGUGGUUAGUGUUGGGUUGGAUUGGUUAGAUCCCUAGCUAUGGCAGGCUUGGGCUCCUUAGCAGAAUGAUUAUGGAAUGGCAGCAAAGAUCGGGAUCUCUUUUGAGUGUGAAGCAGCAAGGGGUAAGCAGGAUCGAAGUGGGGGAGAACCCUCCGGGUAUACAUGGAUAAGAGUCUCGUAGACUCAGAAUGAGUGCGCGGCCUCUGAGAAGAAAUGGUAGUAGCACAGUGAUGGAUGGAUUGAGAAGUUCAGAAUUGGGAGUUCGAGAACUUUUCCCAGCAGUUAGUUCAUGUAAUCGAGAUGGUUAGAAGCUGGUUGGGAAUCCAGGAUUGGAGGACCACCUGUCGGACGCAUGAGAGUCGGAAUGAAGAUCCUGAGAACGGGUAACAAGAGAUGUUUUCGUAUUAGUAGCCAGUGUCUGAGGCAGCAUGCAGGUUGUGUAGAUUCAGGAGUUGGGAGGUUGGAAACUUCCCAACAAUAGCUUCUUGUAUCCGGAUUAGUAGACGGUUGGUUUGGGAACCAAGCCGAAGGAUUCCUCGACGAAGCGCUAAGUAUAUCAAGGAUAUAAGAUGUCGAGGAUGAUGCAGAAUUCAAAGUCUAAGGACUGUUUUUUUUGAGAAAUCGGGAUGAGGAAUCACUAGCAGGACUAGGGAUAGUCAGGAUGUUCUCGAGAUAGUAGUAGUGUUGUAAGUCUGCGGGGGUAGCCGUAGCAUUCACUAGCAGUCAGAUAGCAGUAGUAGUGUUGUAAGUCUGCGGGGGUAGCCGUAGCAUUCACUAGCAGUCAGAUAGCAGUAGUAGUGUUGUAAGUCUGCGGGGGUAGCCGUAGCAUUCACUAGCAGUCAGAUAGCAGUAGUAGUGUUGUAAGUCUGCGGGGGUAGCCGUAGCAUUCACUAGCAGUCAGAUGGUAGUAGUAGUGGUGUUGUAAGUCUGCGGGGGUAGCCGUAGCAUCCACUAGCAGCCAGAUAGUAUUAGAGAGUUGUAAGUCCGCGAGCGUAGUCGCAGCCUUUUAUCAGAUUGGUAAGUAGCAUGAGCGCGUGUUAGACGCGGGAAAGCAGUUGUACCCACCAGUUCGGGUGUAGCAGUGAGGAUAUGGGAAUCCACGGGUUAGAUUUCGGAUUUCCCAAAGGGAUCAGUUACGGCUAAGUUAGCAAUUUGGGCUUUGGAUCGUCACAUCAGUUAUGAGAUCAGAGUAGCAGUGGACCGUUAGGGUUCAGGUAUGUUGCGGACUACAGUCAGUCUGGGAACCAUCAUGUUGUUAGUCGUGGAAUUGAUGAUGUCAGGAUGUGACGUAUGGACCCGAUCGGUUGGAUCGGAAAGUUGCUAGAGCCUCAGUGACAGGAUAACUAGUGGAAACUAGUCCUAGAGGAAAAUUUCGUUCAGAAGUCGUGGAAGCGACUAAGUGAGGAGUCCCUUGACUCCACAGUUGGGUUGGAGUUCAGUGUUCCAGUCAGUUCAGUGUUUCAGGCAGCUCAGCGUUUCAGGCAGCUCAGUGUUUCAGGCCGUUCAGCGUUUCAGUCGGUUCAGCGUUUCAGGCAGGUUCAGUAUUGCAGCUAGUUCAGUGUUUGGAAGGUUUCAGGGUUUUGGGUUAGUAUUGCAUUUGCGUUGGAAUGCAAGUGCUGACGGUAUAGUUGGUUGAUUUGGAAUUGGCAAGUCCCUCUCAGCAGGAUCAGUUGAGCCUUUUGCCGAGUAUAAGUGAUUGGUAGGGAUGGCUAGGCAGGUAGCUUUUCAUUCAGGAAGAAAGGCUCGAGUAAGUAGGAGAUGAGUAAGCAGGUGGGAUAAAAGCAAGCUGGUUCCAGCAGCAUCGUUUCAGUAUGAACGGCAGGAUGGAUAGAACAGUUAUAGAUAAUCAAAGUAUCUUUAGGAGUCGCUGGAAGAGACUAGGAGUUUGCGAUGGAGUGUAGUGACCGGUGGGAGUCCGGUAACUCAGAUAUAGGGAGAUUGGUUAGACCAGAGUAGUCUCAGUACAUCCGGUAGGCGGAUGGGAGGCAGCAGGAUUUUCAGUCGGAGGAAGUAACGUUGAGGAGAUUAUGGGAAAGAGAAGGAUUUAGUAUGUUCUAUCGGUAGUGAUCGGCACUGUGAGUGGCCGGAGUGAUGGGCAAAAGAGUGAGGGAUUUUCCAGACAAAGAGUUGGAGGCAGUUCGCAGGCAGUUGAUCAUAGCAAACUUCGAGGACGAAGUUUAGUUUAAGUAGGGGAGAGUUGUAACACCCCAAAGAUUGGAAAGUCAAGAAAAGAAAGAAGACCUCAAUUUUAAGAAGAGACUCGGCGAGUCCAAGGAGGGACUCGGCGAGUCCNNNNNNNNNNNNNNNNNNNNNNNNNNNNNNNNNNNNNNNNNNNNNNNNNNNNNNNNNNNNNNNNNNNNNNNNNNNNNNNNNNNNNNNNNNNNNNNNNNNNNNNNNNNNNNNNNNNNNNNNNNNNNNNNNNNNNNNNNNNNNNNNNNNNNNNNNNNNNNNNNNNNNNNNNNNNNNNNNNNNNNNNNNNNNNNNNNNNNNNNNNNNNNNNNNNNNNNNNNNNNNNNNNNNNNNNNNNNNNNNNNNNNNNNNNNNNNNNNNNNNNNNNNNNNNNNNNNNNNNNNNNNNNNNNNNNNNNNNNNNNNNNNNNNNNNNNNNNNNNNNNNNNNNNNNNNNNNNNNNNNNNNNNNNNNNNNNNNNNNNNNNNNNNNNNNNNNNNNNNNNNNNNNNNNNNNNNNNNNNNNNNNNNNNNNNNNNNNNNNNNNNNNNNNNNNNNNNNNNNNNNNNNNNNNNNNNNNNNNNNNNNNNNNNNNNNNNNNNNNNNNNNNNNNNNNNNNNNNNNNNNNNNNNNNNNNNNNNNNNNNNNNNNNNNNNNNNNNNNNNNNNNNNNNNNNNNNNNNNNNNNNNNNNNNNNNNNNNNNNNNNNNNNNNNNNNNNNNNNNNNNNNNNNNNNNNNNNNNNNNNNNNNNNNNNNNNNNNNNNNNNNNNNNNNNNNNNNNNNNNNNNNNNNNNNNNNNNNNNNNNNNNNNNNNNNNNNNNNNNNNNNNNNNNNNNNNNNNNNNNNNNNNNNNNNNNNNNNNNNNNNNNNNNNNNNNNNNNNNNNNNNNNNNNNNNNNNNNNNNNNNNNNNNNNNNNNNNNNNNNNNNNNNNNNNNNNNNNNNNNNNNNNNNNNNNNNNNNNNNNNNNNNNNNNNNNNNNNNNNNNNNNNNNNNNNNNNNNNNNNNNNNNNNNNNNNNNNNNNNNNNNNNNNNNNNNNNNNNNNNNNNNNNNNNNNNNNNNNNNNNNNNNNNNNNNNNNNNNNNNNNNNNNNNNNNNNNNNNNNNNNNNNNNNNNNNNNNNNNNNNNNNNNNNNNNNNNNNNNNNNNNNNNNNNNNNNNNNNNNNNNNNNNNNNNNNNNNNNNNNNNNNNNNNNNNNNNNNNNNNNNNNNNNNNNNNNNNNNNNNNNNNNNNNNNNNNNNNNNNNNNNNNNNNNNNNNNNNNNNNNNNNNNNNNNNNNNNNNNNNNNNNNNNNNNNNNNNNNNNNNNNNNNNNNNNNNNNNNNNNNNNNNNNNNNNNNNNNNNNNNNNNNNNNNNNNNNNNNNNNNNNNNNNNNNNNNNNNNNNNNNNNNNNNNNNNNNNNNNNNNNNNNNNNNNNNNNNNNNNNNNNNNNNNNNNNNNNNNNNNNNNNNNNNNNNNNNNNNNNNNNNNNNNNNNNNNNNNNNNNNNNNNNNNNNNNNNNNNNNNNNNNNNNNNNNNNNNNNNNNNNNNNNNNNNNNNNNNNNNNNNNNNNNNNNNNNNNNNNNNNNNNNNNNNNNNNNNNNNNNNNNNNNNNNNNNNNNNNNNNNNNNNNNNNNNNNNNNNNNNNNNNNNNNNNNNNNNNNNNNNNNNNNNNNNNNNNNNNNNNNNNNNNNNNNNNNNNNNNNNNNNNNNNNNNNNNNNNNNNNNNNNNNNNNNNNNNNNNNNNNNNNNNNNNNNNNNNNNNNNNNNNNNNNNNNNNNNNNNNNNNNNNNNNNNNNNNNNNNNNNNNNNNNNNNNNNNGUCAGCUUCGGACUUCGGUCCGAUGGAGGGGGCAAGGCCCCAGUCAGUUAGCUUCGGACUUCGGUCUGAUGUCAGCUUCGGACUUCGGUCCGAUGGAGGGGACAAGGUCCCAGAUAGUCAGCUUCGGACUUCGGUCCGAUGGAGGGGGCAAGGCCCCAGUCAGUUAGCUUCGGACUUCGGUCCGAUGUCAGCUUCGGACUUCGGUUCGAUGUAGGGGGCAAGGCCCCGUUAGUCCGGACUUCGGUCCGAUGCAGUGGGCAAGGCCCAAUAUGUGCUUUAUAUGUUUUGUAUGAUAUGUGGUAGAUUGGGGGAGCUCACUAAGCUUCGUGCUUACGGUUUUCAGUUUUGUUUUCAGGUACUCGAUUUCCAAAAGAGGAGCUCGGGAAGAUUGCAGAGCACACACCAUAGUCAGUUAGCCUGGGAAUGUUUGACUCUGAUAAUGAUAUUAUGUUUUGAAUUGAAUACUCAAAAGUUAUGUUUGACUUAUGAUACGUUGUUAUAAAUCUAUUUUUAGUAAUGUUUAAAAGAAAUUUUUAGUCAUGAUUUUUGGGUCGUUACAAAUACCUUGGAAUAUUCAUAUUUGCAUGUAUAAUAGAGAAAACGUAGAUCCAAGGUAUUUAGGGUUGCAUGUACACCAUAGGAGUGAUAGAGUGCUCAAAACCCAACAAAUAGGUCCGAGUCCUUCAUUCUAAGAUUAUUUAACCUUCAUAGCAUGUAAUUUAUUGUAUUCACUUGAUGGUUAACUCCCAUCAACAUGGGUUCCACAAAGCUCAAAGCAAGGAACAUUCGGGCAGAGAAGUCGGUUGUCACUAAAACGCAACAAAAUUUGACAGAUCCUCAUACAAAAUCCUCAAUCUCAAACUCCCCGCACCACGGGUGCACCUUUGCCCUGCUCUCACUCUCCCCAGAGUGGCUAAUCAUUCCUCGUGCUGACCAGCUAUACACUGUACCCACUCAUGAAACUUCCACCAACCCUACAACACUCUUGUAUGCUAGCUGUACAUAACACUGGAUCCUAUAGACAGUCGAAUAUCUGAUCCGAACCUAAGUCCUUCAUCAAACAAGAACAGAAAAUAAGGCCGAAUGAAACAUUCUCAGGCUAAAGAAUCUUAGUUAUGUACAACUAUAAUGCAUACUCUAAGCAAUUGUAGUAAUGAUGUCAAUUUCAUCUAAGGAAGAACCCUAGGCUAUCAUGCAUCAUAUAAUCAGGAAACUCUAUCAUGCAAUUCCUAUAGAUCCCUAGCCUAUCACUAACAUGCUAUUUUAACAUAUCACAAGAUCAAUAACAGUGUAGCAAUUUGGGGUCUACUUACUGGCUCCGACUGAUCUUACACAUAGUAUCCUCUUUAGUUUGAAAGCGACUUUGAAAGUUAUUUUUAAAACCUUUACUUUGAAAAUUAUUUUUUAAAAAACCCUUUUUCCUUAGUUUGAUACUGGAUUCACACGAGUGUUCCUCCAAUUCACUCAAACCAAGGCUCUGAUACCAACUUGUAACGUCACAAAAAUUUCAACAAAUUGAAACCUUUCGAAACAACCCAUUUAUUAAGAAAAGUGUUUUGACCCGUAGGCGCUUUGUACGCCUUGAACUCCCGGAAUGAGGGAGUUCGAUUCCUAAUCUGACCCGUAGUGAUCUCAGCUCAGAAAGAACAAUUUGCUCCUCUAUAAUCUCCAUGAUCCCCUCCUUGACGGUAUUGAAAAUCACUGGGGUAGCGUUAAGGAUGUCGCGAGUAACAUCGACUACGAUAAUCUCAUGCAACCUCUCAUCAAUCGGCUUUGCCGCAGAUCCUGAGCCCGAUCCCGAACCUGAACCUCCUCGCGUAGCCAUCACCAUCCUCAACUGAAAAAUACAACGUAGAAAGCAAUUGAUAAGGAAUAUCAAAAGGAUUUCUCCCCACCAGACUGAUGGUUUUUGAGCACUACACCAUUCCUAUGGUGUACAUGCAACCCUAAUGCUUCAGAUCUAUGUUUUUCUCAAGUUAUACAUGCAAAUCAAAUCAUCCAAAGCAUAAACCCUAAAUAGCAUACAAUUUUUGGAAUUUGUAACUUAAAAAAAAAGUUAGAAGAAUACAUUUUCCUUGUAGCUUGUAGAUCUUGACCUUCAAGAGCUUAGUGCCUCAAUUGUUGCACUCUAGUGAGUCACAAACACCAAGUAGCAAUUUGGAAGAAUAUGAGAGAGGUUAGGAGGCUCAAAAUCGGCUAGGGUAUUAUCUUAGAAGCAAUUGACUAAUUUCAAGGUGUCAUGGGGUAUUUAUAUAGUUGUGCAAUUAGGGUAUUUAACUGAAACCCUAAUUCUCUGCUUAGGCCUUAAGCAAUCCAGUAGAUCCUUCCAGAAGGCCUCUUAUGGACGAAAUCUAUGUGGGCUAUACAUAAGAUUUCGUCCAUCCCUUCUUAGGGAUCCACAUGCUCAACUUGGCAACUACCAUAUAAUUGCAAUAUCAGUCCUUGUAAUCUAACCAGUCUCUUUUGAUCACCAAGUUAAUUCCAAAUCAAUUCCUGAUCAAUACUAAUUAGUUAAUCUGAUUUCUCAAUUAAUAUACCAUUCUUAUAAUAUAUUAAUAAAUCAAAAUUAACCUCUUUCUCCAUAAUUCAUCUAGUCAAGUUGCUAUGGUGCAGGCAACCAAAAGCACCAUGCUACUAUCGGGUCAAGUACAUACAAUUUAUAGUUAUGGGCUUAGACACCUAAUCCAACAGUCUCCCUCUUGGAUAAGUCUAAUAACUAUAACUACAAGUAUGACUUCAAAAUCCGAUUAGCAAUCGUAGCUCUCAAAAGCCGCUGUUGGAAUCUGACCUAGUCAAUAUGUAACAUCCAUAAAUUUUACACCAAAUUUAAACUUUUCAAUCAUAAAUAAAAACCAAAUAGCAUUAUGUUUUCAAAUCAUUAUCCAUCAGAGUGUCCCAAAAUCAUAACAUAAGGAUGAGGAGUGGUAGGUCACGCCUACGCGUUGCUAGAUCUCCUGAAGUACCUGGAACAAUAAACCGAAAACUGUAAGCCCGAGGGCUUAGUGGCUACCCCCAAAAUACCUAUACCACAUUGACAAUACCAUAUCAGUAAUAAUCAAUCAAUCAACAUGCAUAUCGGGCCAUCGGCCUGACUGGACCGCCCUAUAGGGCCUACAGUCUAUCUGGAUCUAUCCCGAGCCUUCGGCAUGACUGGUCCGCCACAUGGCCCUACAGUCUCCCCGGACCGAUCAUAGGGUGUGCAUACUUUCAGCACAAAGCAGGACCGCCUCAACCCAACUAACAAUCAAAUAACUAUGUGCGCAUAACUAUCAUAUACUGGCAUAUACAAACAUCAAGCAUAUCUAUCACUGGUCAUCAAUCAUAGAAUUCCCUCGUAACUAGAGUACCGACCUAGCAGGUCACUAACAUACCAAUCCCUACGGAUCAUAAGAGCAUAACAUACUGUCUACCCUGAUUCCGAUCAAACAGAUCAUAACCACAUAUAGCAUACCAUAACAAUAAAAACUAAAGGGUCGACCUUGGUGCUGUAGACCCUAUCGAUAUAGUGAGGAUAACUCACCUCAUAGAUGUCGACUCGGAAGGUAAACUCCAAAUCUCGGAUCAAUUGACACAGGCCCCACCACAUAUCGCAUAACAUACACGUAAGUCCUUAACCUUAUAAGGUACUCCAUAACCUACUAGUCAACCCCUGAUCAAAGUCAAAGUCCUCAGUCAAGGUCAACAGUCCAUGUUGACCUCAACUCGCCGAGUUCCUUGAAGCAUAUUCAAACUCGCCGAGUCAUCGGGGUGACUCGUCAAGUUCCUUUGAUUCUCGAUCAAACUUUAAGGCCACCCGUCGAGUUCCCUCCUUGCAACUCGACGAAUACACAUGCAUACAUAUCCAGGAGAAAACUCAUCCGCCUCGCCGAGUUGUUCUUCAACUCGUCGAGUCUAUGGAAAUCAUCAUCGGACUCGUCGAGUUGUUUAUCCAACUUGUCGAGUUCACGACCAUCUUCAUGUGACUUGCCGAGUCAACCUUGCGACUCGCCGAGUCCAUUCAGUCCGUUUUCCAUACAGAUCUAUUUUGAGUCAUGCAGCGGCUCCAACUCACAGAUCUAAGCUUCUAGGACAUGCUUAUCACGUAAGGAUGCAAACUUUACGUGCAUGCAUGGCUUUAAAGGCUCCAAAUGCCAAAUCUAAGAUCUUAAUGAGGCUUCAUGCUCAAUAGGGACCUCAAUCACGACCAAAAUUGUAACUUUAUGCUUCUAGAAUCCGAAGAGGGUCCAGAUCUGAAGUUACAACUUCAGAUCUAGCCCAUAGCUCAUCAUACCAACUUGAUAUUACAAGAAAACCCUAAAACUCAACCAAUAGAGGAGAUUCAUAAGGAAAAUGAUGGUUUGGGUACGUCUGGAAGAUGAUAUCUGAGAUGAGUGUUGAUUUCCACACUCUAAAUGCUCCAAUCUCCUUCUCCUCCAAGUCUUCUCCUUCCAAAGAUCCUCUUUUCAAGCUUCAAACACACACAAGGCACCCACACACGAAUAAGGGCUCUCAAGGACUCUUUAGAACUGUAAAUAGGUCCAAGGGAGGCUAAGGCCCCUUUAAAUAGGGAUACAAACCCCAAGAUUUAGGGUUUCAUCUGCCAACUCCUACUCACCAAGUCCCAAUAUGGAAUCGUCAAGUAGGUCACUUAACACGGGAUCUCACCCCGCUGCUACUCGACGAGUAGGGCAACCAACUCGUUGAGUAGAGCGUAACUCAAUACAUCUUAUUUAAAACAAUACCUAAGAACCGGGGCGUUACAAAUCUCCCCCACUUGAACUAGACCUCGCCCUCGAAGUCCGCUGGAACAAACAAUGUCGGGUAAUGCUCGCUCAUCUCCGCCUCCGGCUCCCAUGUCCACUCGGAUCCCCUCCGAUGUUCCCACUGUACCUUUACCAAAGGUAGUUCCUUGUUCUGCAGAAUCUUCUUCUUCCUUUCCAAAAUAGCCACAGGCCUCUCCACAUAGUUCAGGUGCUCAUCGACCUGAAUGUCAUCCAACGAUACCACUGCCUCCUGGUCCAUAAUGCAUUUUCGCAAUUGCAAAACAUGAAACGUGCUGUGGAUCCGGCUGUGCUCCUCCGGAAGCUCUAGCCUAUAAGCCAGCCUGCUAACCCUGGCAACAAUCCUGAAUGGCCCAAUGUAACGGGGACCUAAUUUUCCCCUCUUCCUGAAGCGGAUCACACCCUUCCAACGUGAAACCUUCAGGAGGACCAUGUCACCCACCUGAAAUUCCAGUAUAGAUCGGCGUCGGUCGGCAUAACUUUUCUGCCGACUCUGAGGGGUCUGCAAUCGCUGUCUAAUCUGUUGUAUCAUCUCGGUAGUUUGCUGAACUACCUCUGUCCGACCCAUUACCCUGUGGCCAACCUCGCCCCAACAGACUGGGGUCCUACACUUCCGCCCGUACAACAGCUCGAAAGGCGGGGCGGGAAUACUGGAAUGAUAGAUGUUGUUGUAGGCGAACUCUACAAUCGGUAGGUGGGAAUCCCAACUACCAUCGAAAUCAAUGACGCACGCCCUCAAAAUAUCCUCGAGGGUCUAAAUGGUCCGCUCACUCUUGUUGGAUAAGGUGUCUAAGUCCAUAACUAUUUCUGGUCAGUACUUGACCCGACCCGACAUGGUCCAUUUGGGUUGCAUGGCACCAUGCAAUUGGAUAGACUAAAUGAGAGAAAUAACACUUGGAGAUUAUUAAUAUAUUAUAAGUUCUAAUAUAUUAAUAAUAUUAUUUAAUUAGUUUGAUCAAGAAUUAAUUUAGAAUUAAUUAAAUGAUCAAAAGAUAACUAAUUAAAUAUAUGGGUUGAUUAUGUAAAUCAUCCAUAUCUUGUAUAGUGGGCUAAGAGGCUCCAUGGAUUAUCAAGUUGGGUUCUACCCAUAGGAUGCUCCAUGGAUGCUCCAUGGGAGUUACAAACCCAUGGGUCAUGGAAAUGAAGAGUCAUGACACAUUAGGGUUUACAUGGUGUAACCCUAGAUGUGUCAACACUAUAUAAGAAUCCCAUUCUCCACCAAAAUCUGACACACAUAUGAAACAAGAGGGCUAGUCCGAUUUCAAGAAGUGUGUGUUCUCUCAAAAGUCUUUCCAAGAGCAUUUGGUGUUGUGUGAAGCAUUUAAGGCAUCACACUUGGGGUGCUAGGCUCACAAGGUUUCAAGGAACAUAAGCAACAACAAGGUAAGUUAUUCUAUCUUUCAUUCAAGUUAAAAAUUGUUCCCCAUGUAUGCUAGAUAGGAAUAUAACCUUGGAAUUCAACUUUGCAUGAUAAUUAGACAAACAUAGAUCCAAGGUUAUUAGGGUUGCAUGUACACUUAGGAAGUGUUAGAAUGCUCAAAACCCAUCAGUGGUAUCAGAGCCUAGGCUUGUUUGUUUGUUAUUUGUGCUUAAAAGUUGAAGAAAGUCGAAAAUCUUGCUGUCUGACUGAUGGACUCGGCGAGUCCAUGGGGAGGACUCGACGAGUUCAUGUGUAUCUUCAACCUACUCGGCGAGUAGGUUUAUGCACUCGGCGAGUAGGGUCGACAGAGUGCAGAAUUUCGACUUGUGUUGCUGGAAAUGGAUUAGAAUCAUUACCCUAAAAUGUUUUGGUACUUGAAAACUUAUUUUAGAAGGUGUAAUGUCUUUUCUAACUCAUUUACAACAACUAGUUAUCAAAAUUACAAAGAUUAAAUGUGAUUUUGAUUCUUGAAAGUGUUCAUAUUCAUAUUCUUGUUCUUAUGAUGUUUAGAUGAUCAUAGGAAUUAUUUGUAACCUAUGUGGUAGAUUAAUUCAUGAUCAUAAUGUGUUUUAAUGGAGUCCAUAACUUGUCCUCAAGUUAUGGAAAACCAAAAGUCUCUUGGAUUAAAAAACAUUAAAAGAACACAAGAGUUAGGAAAAAUGAAAAGUCCUCAUUUUAUUACUCUAUUAAACUCAUAAGUUACAAGAAAUGAAAAGUUUUGAAAGUUUACAAAACUUGCCCUCAAGUUUUGGAACAAGUAAAGUUAAGUUAAAACUUUAGUUCCAACCCCUAGAAUUUUAAAAGUUAAAAUUCAACCCUUAUACUUAUAUUAUUAUGAUUUAAUAAUUAUAUAUAUAUGUAUAAGAACAAAGUCGUCUUACCGCUAGUACGCCUCAUUCACGAAGCCGGUCUAUAAGGUGGGUAUAAGGUUGUUGCCUAUAAAAUGGUGACUUAAUGGGUGUCCACUCUCACCCACCGCUUGCUUGAUCGGUGGAGGGUCGUUAGCCGAACGGGUAAGACAAGGACUUAUUAAUUCUCAUUCAAAGUAUGAUGAAUAUUAUAAAGUAACUAAAUGUUUUAUUAAAUUCCCAAUCUUAGUUACUUUAGGAAAAAUGUGAAUAAGGUGCUAUUCCAUGAAAUUACACUUUACACUUUGAUUAAGUCGUUGGUGGAGCGUGUGUGGUUAACCGGCACACUAACUUGGACUUAACAAGGUAGGUAAAGGGUGACUUAGGGUUUAUUAUAGUAUCGAUGGAGCGUGUGUGGUUAACCGGCACAUCGAUUGAGUGAUAAACUUUAAGGGUACCAAGUGAUUUGCAUGGUUACUUCACACCUCGUUUUGUGAUCCUCGGUAUCCCAGUCACAAAACUUGGAGGGCACACUCGAGAUUGAAACAUGCCUUUGAAAAGUUCAUUGAAUCUCAAAGAAUCUAGGAAUUUCUAAGAACCAUUCAAAAACCUAAUACUAAAAUAUUGCGGUUUUCGUGGUGGAAAUUGGUGAAUCGUCAUUCACCUACCUUUCAAAUAUGAUAUAGCUUAGAUUACGGCAUACCUCUUCUAAGUUAUAUUAUAUUGUGAUUGGAUCCUAGCCUUAAUAUUACAUUUGGGUGUUUUAUUAAGGACUCUCUUAUAUCUAAACUAAUCUUGUCCUCUUUCCUUCAGAUGUCUUUCAACAAUGCUUCUGGCUCUAAUCCUAAUGGCUCCUUUACCCUUAUGAACUUGUGUGGGAAAGUCACCUUUGAUGGAUCCAACUUCAAUGAGUGGAUCAGAAACAUCAGGAUGAUUACCCGCUACGAGGACAAAGAAUAUGUCCUUGACAAGGAGCUUAAGGAGAUUGAUGAGUCCACUGCAACUCCUCAGGAGAUCGCUGAAUUUCGGGCACAUGAAAGGGAUGCUACGAAAGUGGCUUGCAUCAUGAUGGCCACGAUGACAGCGGAACUCCAAAAGUCUUAUGAGGAUUUCUACCCUUAUGAAAUGCACCAAGAUUUGAUGGAAAGAUACCAUCAAAGUGCAAGACAAGAGAGGUAUGAAAUCAUCUGCUCCAUGAUAACAACCAUGAUGAAGGACGGGGAAUCCGUCACGAGCCACAUGCAGAAAAUGCAAAGGUAUGUGGAUCGUUUGCUGAAGCUUAAUGUGAACUUCCCGGAGGAUCUUGCAAUAGAUAUUAUUUUGCAUUCCUUACCAUCGUGCUAUGAUCAAUUCCGCAUGACAUAUCACAUGAACAAGGAAGAAGUCACCCUCAGCAAACUUCAGGGACUUCUCAAGACCGCAGAAUCAGGUCUUAAGGGGAAGUCGGUUGCUAUCACUCCUACUCAAAACUCUACUCCGGUUUUGGCAAUCGGGAAAAGUCGAGGGAGGAAGAGAAAGAGCUCUUCUAAGGGUACCAAGGUUCGGACCCUUGAUGGCUCUUCUUCAAGUGGAACCAAGAAAGGUUUCAUUACUCCUUCUUCUGACCCAAAAGAGGCUGAAUGCUUCUAUUGCCAUGAAAAAGCUCAUUGGAAGCGGAACUGCCCAAAAUACCAGCAAGAUGUGAAGGAUGGGAAAGUUAAACCCAACCAUGCAGGUAUUUACACUAUCAUUUCUAAUAACUCACCCCAUUCUAAUUCUUGGGUCCUUGAUACCGGGUGUGGUAUUCACAUUUGUUGUGACUUGCAGGGACUAAGAAGAAGUGAGGAUGUGGAGCAAGGAAGGAUAAACUUGAUCAUGGGGAAUAGGAAAGCUAUACCUGUUACCAAGAUUGGAGUUUAUACUUUAUCGCUAAGUAGUGGGUUUAGUUUAGAUUUGAAUAAGUGUUGUUAUUCGCCAGGAAUGGCAAGAAAUAUUAUUUCCUUUCAUGCUUUGUACAAACAAGGGUUUACCUUUUCAUUUAAUAAUGAAGUUGGUUCUAUAGAUGUUUUCUAUAAUAAUGUCUUUUAUUUUAAAGCAUUACCUUGUGAUGGUGUGUAUGAAGCUGUAUCUGUUGUAGAUAACUUGGGAAAUAAUGUUUUGUGUAUUGAUUCUACUAAUAAUAACUUGGAUAAAGCAUCUUUAUGGCAUUGUCGUCUUGGACAUAUAAGCAAGAAACGCAUAGGCCAACUCCAAAAGGAUGGAGUCUUGGAGUCGUUUGACCUAAAGUCAGAUGAUAGUUGCGAAUCAUGCUUACUUGGAAAAAUGACAAAGUCACCCUUCACAGGUUCGUGUGAGAGGGGUGAAGGUUUGUUGGACCUUAUACACACGGAUGUGUGUGGACCAUUCAAACAUGCCACAAGGGAUGCUAAUCGUUAUUAUUUGACUUUUACUGAUGAUUAUAGUAGAUAUGGAUAUGUCUACUUGAUCAAGCAUAAGUCAGAGACUUUCGAGAGGUUUAAGGAAUUUAAACAGGAAGUCGAGAAUCAAUUGGGCAGGAACAUUAAGAUGCUUCGAUCCGAUCGUGGUGGUGAGUAUCUUAGUUCAGAGUUCCUCGACUAUCUAAGGGAAUGUGGGAUAGUCUCACAAUUGACACCUCCCAGGACACCACAGUUGAAUGGUGUGGCUGAGAGGCGUAAUCGAACCUUGUUAGAUAUGGUUCGUUCCAUGAUGAGUCGAGCUACGCUACCAAUCUCAUUCUGGGGGUAUGCCUUAGAGACUGCCGCCCAUAUUCUUAAUCUAGUCCCUACAAAGAAAGUUGCCAAAACUCCUCACGAGAUGUGGACUGGUAAAGUACCUAAACUAGACCACAUCAAGAUUUGGGGUUGCGAGGCUUUCGUGAGACGCGAGACUCAUGAUAAGCUCGAACCUCGAAGCGAGAGGUGUAUUUUCAUCGGUUACCCACAGCGAUCCUUUGGUUACCUCUUCUACAGACCUAGUGACAAUGUGGUCUUUGUAGCAAGAAGAGGAGUCUUUCGAGAAAGAGAGUUUAUAAGCCAAGGAGACAGUGGGAGGCAAAUUGAUCUUGAAGAAAUUCAAGAAUCAAGCGGUGAAGGAACUUCAAACUCUAGCCCUCAACUUGAGGAGGAAACUCCUGUUGAGCCAAUUGACAAAUCUGUACCUCUGAGACGUUCCACGAGAGUUAGGAGUGCACCUGAGCAUUACUAUGGAUUCCAUAUUACUGCAGAAGGUGAGACACUUAUUAGUGAUGAGACACUAGUAAGUCAAGAUGACCCUAACAGCUACGAGGAAGCCAUGGCAGGCCCCGAGUCUGCUAAAUGGAAAGAGGCUAUGGAUAGCGAGAUACAAUCCAUGUAUGACAAUCAAGUUUGGAACUUGGUUGAAAAUGUACCAGGUCGUAAGACAGUAGGGUGCAAAUGGGUCUUCAAGAAGAAGACCGACAUGGAUGGUAAAGUACACACUUAUAAGGCUAGACUGGUUGCAAAGGGCUUCUCUCAAAUUCCUGGAGUGGAUUAUGAUGAGACCUUUUCUCCGGUAGCCAAGAUUAAGUCUAUUCGGGUUCUGUUAGCCAUAGCUGCAUUUCAUGACUAUGAAAUAUGGCAGAUGGAUGUCAAAACCGCUUUCCUUAAUGGAAAGUUGGCUGAAGAUGUUUACAUGAGUCAGCCAGAGGGUUUUGUCAGCAACGAGUACCCUAAUAGAGUGUGUAAGCUUGAGAAAUCCAUUUAUGGAUUGAAGCAAGCACCUCGCAGAUGGAAUCUUUGCUUUGAUGAAAAGGUCAAGGAAUUUGGCUUUUCUAGGAGUGAAGAUGAAUCUUGUGUGUAUGUCAAGGCUAGUGGGAGUAUAGUUAGCUUUUUGGUAUUGUAUGUGGAUGACAUACUACUCAUAGGAAACGACAUUCCAACCCUGCAGGAAGUAAAGUCCUGGCUUGGGAAGUGUUUCGCUAUGAAGGACCUUGGUGAAGCUGCCUAUAUUCUAGGGAUAAGAAUCUUGAGAGAUCGGAGUAAAAGACUAAUUGGACUUAGUCAGAGUACCUACUUGGAUAAGGUGCUGAAGAGAUUCAGCAUGCAGGAUUCCAAGAAAGGAGAGUUACCCAUCCAGAGUAACACCAGAUUGAGUAAGACACAAAGCCCUAGCACUGAGGCUGAGAUAGCAGAAAUGAGUCGAACACCUUACGCUUCGGCUGUAGGAUCGAUCAUGUAUGCUAUGACGUGUACUCGACCCGAUGUAGCUUUUGCCUUGAGCAUGGUUAGCAGGUAUCAGGCGAACCCUGGCAAGGCACACUGGACUGCGGUAAAGAAUAUCCUCAAGUACCUACGGAGGACUAAGGACUGGGUCCUUACCCUCGGUGGGAGUGAUGACUUGAGAGUUGUAGGGUAUAGUGAUGCUAGCUUCCAGACUGAUAGGGAUAAUUUCCGCUCUCAGUCGGGCUGGGUCUUUACCCUAAACGGAGGAGCAAUUUCUUGGAAGAGUUCCAAGCAAGAGACAGUGGCAGAUUCUACUUGUGAAUCAGAGUAUAUUGCAGCUAGCGAAGCAGCAAAGGAGGCGAUAUGGCUGAAGAACUUCAUUGGAGACCUUGGAGUUGUACCAGCUAUUAAAGAGCCAAUGGAAAUUUUCUGUGAUAGUGAAAGUGCUGUUGCCUUAGCCAAGGAACCAAGGGAUCAUGGGAGAUCCAGACACAUCGACAGAAAAUACCAUUUCAUUAGACAUCGGAUCGAAGAAGGACUCCUCGUGGCAAAGAGGGUAUCAUCGGAUGAGAACCCAGCAGAUCCCCUCACGAAGGGACUGAGUAGGGUUAAGCAUCUCCAGCAUGCUCGGAGCAUAGGGCUGAAGGAUGAUAUAAGUUUUAGUAGUUAGAUAACCCAGAAAUUUGUAAAGUGUAAUUGACAUUUGAUGAUGAAUAAAAGGUGUUUUAUUUAUGAGUAAAGUGUUGCUAUCUCUUGUCAAUCGUUUACUAUAUUUCUUUUGCAUGUUUUGACUUCCAGAAUAAUUUUGUUUGGUGUAACAUAUUAUUCAAACCUCCACAGUCGGUCAUAUGUCGGAAGUAGGUAUGAAUCAAGACUGUCAUGAUGGGUUGUAGAGGUCUAAGGUGUUGGACAAGGCUACAACAAUCAUGAGUGCUCAUAAGUUCUGAGCAUUGGACUCAACCCACGCUCACUGGAAUCACUUCAUGGAAUUCUAUCUCGAGUGAUCGUGAGACGGUAAUAUCAUAUAAGUCUUCAAACCUAGAGAUAUGAUUUGUUACUUACAAGUUGGUUAUGCAUUGACUGUACGAAACCGCAUUGGUAACUCGAUGUUAUAAAACGUACUUUUGUGUGUAAUUCAAUGAGUGGUAGAACAAACAUAUGAGUCGAAGUUUAUCUGUUCCUUCUUGGAUUAGAAGCUGAUAUCUGGGCCCCUCGAUGAUUUUGUUUUGACCCAUGUACCGGGCCCGGUCAGAACUAAGUUGAUGUGUUCAAUUAAGUUCUAUGUCAAACAAAUCGGAAAUCGGGAAACAAAUGCUGGACAAUAAGCAAGACAAUGUUCCAUGUAUUUGUCCGGCUGAUAUCUAGAACGGAGGAUUAUAUGAUCACUUAUCUUAAAUGGCGUACCAUCAUCUUCUCAGUUCCGAGAGACCUUGAAAGAGCUACGAUUGCCGGUCGGUUCCUGAAGUACUAGAGAUAUAGUUAUUAGACUUAUCCAAGUGGGAGACUGUUGGAUAAGGUGUCUAAGUCCAUAACUAUUUCGGGCUUGUACUUGACCCGACCCGGCAUGGUCCAUUUGGGUUGCAUGGCACCAUGCAAUUGGAUAGACUAAAUGAGAGAAAUAACACUUGGAGAUUAUUAAUAUAUUAUAAGUUCUAAUAUAUUAAUAAUAUUAUUUGAUUAGUUGAUCAAAGAAUUAAUUUGGAAUUAAUUAAGUGAUCAAAGGAUAACUAAUUAAAUAUAUGGGUUGAUUAUGUAAAUCAUCCAUAUCUUGUAUAGUGGGCUAAGAGGCUCCAUGGAUUAUCAAGUUGGGUUCUACCCAUAGGAUGCUCCAUGGAUGCUCCAUGGGAGUUACAAACCCAUGGGUCAUGGAAAUGAAGAGUCAUGACACAUUAGGGUUUACAUGGUGUAACCCUAGAUGUGUCAACACUAUAUAAGAAUCAUAUUCUCCACCAAAAUCGGCUACACUAAGAAACUAGAGGGCUUGGCCGAUUUUGAGAAGUGUGUGUUAUCUCAAGAGUCUUUCCAAGAGCAUUUGGUGUUGUGUGAAGCAUUUGAGGCAUCACACUUGGGGUGCUAGGCUCACAAGGUUUCAAGGAACACAAGCAACAACAAGGUAAGUUAUUCUAUCUAUGAUUCAAGUUAAAAUUGUUCCCCAUGUAUGCUAGAUAGGAAUAUAACCUUGGAAUUCAACUUUGCAUGAUAAUUAGACAAACAUAGAUCCAAGGUUAUUAGGGUUGCAUGUACACUUAGGAAGUGUUAGAAUGCUCAAAACCCAUCAACUCUGCCCAUCAGUCUGCGGAUGGAACGCCGUGCUAAAAUGUAGUCUCGUGCCCAGUUCCUUGUGGAACUUCUGCCAAAACGGGAAGUAAAUCUGACAUCCCGAUCGGAAACAAUGGAAAAUGGGACCCCAUGGCGAGAGACAAUCUCGCGGACGUACAGGUCGGCCAACUUCUCUGCCGAUGAACUCUCCCAUAUGGCUAGGAAAUGGGCACUCUUGGUCAAUCGAUCCACGAUGACCCAUAUAGCAUCAAACCCCUUUUCCGUCUUCGACAACUUCGUGAUGAAAUCCAUCGCGAUCAGUUCCCACUUCCACAUGGGAAUCUCUAGAGGCUGCAGCUUACCGUGCGGCCUCUGAUGUUCGGCCUUGACCAUCCUACAGGUCAAGCACCUCUCAACAAACCAAGCGAUAUCUCGCUUCAUACCAGGCCACCAAUAACUCGAACUCAAAUCACAGUGCAUCUUGGUGGCUCCCGGGUGAAUACAAAACUGAGACUUAUGAGCCUCCUCCAUCACUGUCUGCCGGACCCCUUCGGACAUCGGAACCCAAACCCGACCGUAACGGGUCAACAAUCCGCGGCUAUCCUGAACAAACCGGGCGCUUUCACCCUUAAUCCUUUCCAACUUCCAGUUCUCCGGCCUCAUACCCUCAAUCUGAGCAUCCCUGACCAAACCCACCAGCGGGGAAUCCACCGUUAUCCUCAUACACUUGGCUGGGGGUAAAGGACCCAACUGAAUUACGGCUCAGAGCAUCCACAACUACGUUCGCUUUACCAGGAUGGUAAAGGAUCUCAUAAUCAUAGUCCUUGACCACAUCCAGCCACCUGCGCUGCCUCAUGUUCAGGUUCGGCUGAUUCAUGAUGUGUCUCAAACUCUUGUGAUCCUUGUAUAUAGUACAACGGACCCCGUACAGAUGGUGCCUCCAAAUCUUGAGAGCGAAGACCACCGCUCCCAACUCAAGAUCUUGCGUGGGGUAUCUCAUCUUGUGCGGCUUCAAAUGACUCGAUGCAUAAGCUAUCACUCAUCCCCUCUGCAUGAGGACUGCCCCCAAAUCUGUGAUGGACGCAUCACAAAAUACCACAAAACCCUCAACUCCCUCGGGGAGUGUCAACACCGGCUGAAUAUACUGUUGAGCCCUAGCUGCCGAACAAAACCCUGAUCCCAACCUGGUGCCCUCACCAUAUGUAGUGACAAAGAACAUGGUUUGGCAUGCGGAAUUAAAGCUUGCACAAUUGAACAUGGUGAUUUGGGUGUUUAAGAGAUAUAUUGAAUGUAUAUGGUGUUACAAAAAGGACUAGAUCUAGACUACAUAAUUAACACACACUUACACACUCACUUCUACAUCUCUCAAGCACACCUCUAUAAGUGGACAAACCCACCUUAUAUAGAGGGGUUUACAUGCCUCUCUCUCACUCUAACAAUCAAAUGGGUCUAAAGGCUAAAGCACCACAUGCAAGUGGGUUUUACAAAAGUCAAACAUUUACAAAGUCAUGAAUGAAGAGCUUUGCACCCCAACAUUCUCCCCCUCAAAGUUAGGAAUGAAUCACCCAUUUCAAAUCUUCCAAAAUCAAGCACUACGCGGUUCGAGCCUCAAAGGUGACACAUGUCGAAACGAACUUCAAUCUUCAAUUCUUCCAUGACUCUUCAAUUUGGGCUCUAGGAUGUGAGACCUUACAAACCGAGCAGCAACGAAUGAUUAAGAGUAUUCCAAACUCCAAAUAAUCACCCAAAAGUUGCGCAUAAAAACACACCCCAAAAAUCUUCAAUAAAACCAAACCCAUUUCGAAUACAUCACUUCCGAACAUCCAAUUACAUCAUCUCGUAGGCUUCAAAACUUCAAGAUCACUUCGGUCUUCAAAUCCGCGUAAUAUGAAAAAUUCAAGUUCGAAUUUCCAUAUAAAACUUCUCCCCCUUUUUAUAAUCGAAAUUUGAUUAUAAAACUCCAAAGGAAAAAGAACGUGCUAUAUUCGGAAUUUUUCAUGUCAAAACUCCCCCUUAACAUGUGGCAUAAACUUUGAGCUUCAAUCCGGAAAACCCAAAAAAUAAUCAAUUUGUUUUUCCAUUGCUGUUCAUUGAUCUUGAAGCCCUUAACAUGUGGAAUUUUUCACGGAUCGCCUUUGACAAAAUUUCUCAAAAAUGGGUAGAAAUUGUCAAUUUCAAAAUUCUGCAGUGACCCGUUGCGCCCAAAACAGCAAAAUAUGCAAAACUCUCCCCCUUUUCCAAAUCUGGGUAGAAAGCGUCAAUUUGCACAAACUGCAGGGGCCUGAAAUGCACAAUCUUCAAAUUUUAGCAAAAAAUAGUCCUUUUUCGAUUUUGGGUGAAAACUGCCAAAAAUUCGAAGUCUGAGGGACCAUUUUCGAAAUUCUGCUCUUUGUUCACAAUUCAUACGAAGAUUCCGCAAAUAUUCGAAGCUCCAAAUUUUUUUUUGAAAUCGGGUGAAAAGUGUCAAAUAUUCAGAAAUUGUGUUAAUGUUCGAAGUGCCAAAAAUUCGAAGGAUCAGGGGCCGUUUUCGAAAACUUGCCAUUUCAUCAAAUCAUACGAAGCCUUUUUCCAUUUGUCAACUAUUCAAAACAAUAAGGGCCAUUUUCAAAAAUUCUAUCUUCCUUCUUUUUAAUUCAUAUGAAGACUUUUUGACAAAACAUAUCAAGCAUACGAAGAGUGACUGUGAACAGUAAUGCACAAUGAUACCCUUCGUAUGUUAACCCAGUUCUUCGUUUUUUUUUUCAUCUAUUACCCUUCGCCUUUUGCAAUCCAUUCAUAUACCCUUCGUUCCAAAAUCAUCAAAAUCAAUAGAUCCUUCGUUCAAACACCCUUCGUAUGAAUCUUUUAACAUCUCUUCGUACAAAUCCAAGUUUUUCCCAAACCAACACCAACUUAGUCUUCGAAAAUUAGUAACCCAAACCAAUUCUUCGCUUUUUGGUGUAAACCAUCUGUUCUUACAGUUCUUCUUCACUUCGUACAUCAAUCACCAAAAACCAAUCCUUCGUUCAUUAACCAUGUAAUGCCCUGUCGUCCAAAUUGAUUUCAUUAAAAUCCAAAUAGGCUUCGCUUUUCCAGUUGAUGCCAAUGAACAAACGUGAUCAACCAUUUGAUUUUACAGUUCACUCUUCGAAUCUUAACCCAAAUCGAUCAUUAACCCUUCGUUUUUUCAGUUUAUCCCAAAACUGAUUCCACUACUUUCAUUCUUCACUUUUCAGUUUAACCCAAAACGAACGAAAUCGUUUCUUUGUUCCUUACAGUUCUUCCCAAACUCAUCGACAUCAAGAACAAACACAUCUAUUCGUUCACUACUUCAAUCGAUAUCAACUUAAUCAACACAAAUCAAGCUUGCAAAAUCACAGAAUGAACGGAAUCAACAAACCAAACUUGAUUAUCAACCAUACGAAAUCAAAAUCAUCAGACUUCUCUAUUUAUGUAAACUCGAUUUUGACUUUUUGGUUGACCCUGACAAACAACAAAACUAUUGAUCUUUAAUCCAAUUUUGGAUCAAACACCCAUUUUUAACAUAAAUCGUAACAUUCUUCAACUGUUCUUCAUCGAGUUCUUGACCGAUUUUAUCAAAAUCAAAAACUAAAUUGUUGACUUCUCAACUACAACUCGAUCAUAAUCGACUGAUAAUUAUCCAAAUCAGAUUCAGUCAAUUCAUAAGUUCAGAAUCGCAAAUCGUUGAUCAACUUUCAUAAGCGAAAAAGAAAACUCAAGAACAUUAUGAUUACAAGUCAAAAUAUGUUUGAGCUGAUUACAAGAACAUUAUGGUACAACCGAUAAAAGCGUACGUACAUAUCAAACAAAGAACAACGAAUUUUAGAAUUAAAUCACAUUGGAUGAAUUUUGGGUUCCAUCAAAGAUAUCGGAUAAAAAAAUAUGUAUGGGCUCAAAUUUAAACAUGAACAGUGACAGAUUCGUACAUUGGAUCAUAAACGAACAAAAUAUUGGGCUGUUGAUAACCACACAUAUCGAAAUUAUCAAAUAAGAGUAUGAAUUGGGCUCCAAGUUCAUUUAUGAACAGUAAGAUGUCAAAAUUUUUGGCUAAAUCAAAAUAAAUGGAUCAUAAUGAAUUUUGAGCUCAAAUCUCGAUUCAAACGAACAACUGUAAAAUCGAGUCGAACAAACAAAUAUGAGAUUGGAUCGGACUUUGAUCAACGAAAAAAUUAUUGGAUCAUAACAAAUGGGUUUUCAAAGAACAUUUGAUCCAAUGAGUCAAACGAUCAAAAAUUAAGAACGCAACGCACGAUUCAAAGAGAUUAAGAGAGAUCAUAGAGAGAGACUCACCAAAAUUGAUCAAAUUACGACAAAAUUUGCCAAACCGGGAAUCAUUCUUCAAAUAUCACCUUGAUCUUGAAGACCCGCUCUGAUACCAAUUGUUGUGACAAAAAUACUACAAGUUCUCCCCCACUUGGGGUUCGAACCCCCACCCGCUAUCCCUCAUAGUCGAUCAUGGCGCCAAAACGGCUAAGCCAAUCCAUCCCUACAAUCCCAUAUACAUCCCCCAUGGGGAUAGGAAUCAAAUCUAUCGGGAAUGACACCCCGAAAAUCUCCAACUCGCAUCCCCGGUAGACCGAAGAAAUAGAAACCCCGUGCUCUUUGGCGAUCGAAACUCGCAACGGGCACUCAAGAUCAUCCAUCGGCACACUAAACCCUCUAGUGAAAGUCUGAGAUACGAAUGACCGACUGGCCCCCGAGUCAAACAAAACCAAAGCAGGCAAAGAAUUUACUAAAAACGUACAUAAUCAUAGGUACAACCAAUAAGUACAACACAAAUACGAUAACUGAGACAGAGAAUAGAAACGUACCAGCAACCAUAUCCGGUGCUGACUUGGCCUCCUUGGUCGUGAGCUGGAAGGCACGACCCUGAGCCUUCGGAGGCUCCAACUUAACUGGCCUCCCGUCUCAAAUCAUUACAGUAGCUGGCACAGAACCCUGCACCGACUUCGCGGCGAGCUGCGGACAACUGGUCUUCACAUGACCAACCUGAUGACAAUGGUAACAAAUCCUCAUAUCUGUGGGAGGGGCGGGCUGAUGGUAGCCCUGGCAUAGUGCCCCUCCUUUCCACAUUUGUGGCACCCACUUCCUGCUCUACAAGUUCCCGAAUGAACCCUGCCACACUUUCCACAAGUGCGGCUCUGCUGACCCACACCGUGUAUCAGCGGUCUUAGCCCGCUUAGGCGCCGGCUGAGACUGUGCCGGUGCCUGACGCUGCUCCUUCAGCUGCUGCUCUAUCUCAACUCACGCUGCCUCGCGGCUUCCUGAAGGUCCCGGAGGGUAUCACAACGCUGUGUAGCCACAAACUGCCAUAUAUCCAUCUUAAGCAUACUCAGAUAACGAGUCAUCUGAGACUGUUCUGACGCAAACUCUGGGCAAAACAUAGCCCUCUCAGUGAACAUCCGGGUGAUCUCCAUCACCGACUCCCCAUCUUGUCUCAAUGUCAAAAACUCCUGAGCAAGCCACUCCCAUUCCACGCGCGGAACGUAGCGGGUGCAAAACAUAUCCCGGAACUGCUCCCAAGUAAUAGCAUCCCACUAAUCAUCAGAAUAUGAACCUGUCUUCAAUCUCCACUAGUCCUUUGCCCCGAGCCUAAGCAGUUUCAGAGCACACCUGACCUUCUGGUCAGCAGGACAUGAGCACGUGAAGAAACAGCCCUCCACGUCAGACAACCACCACAUAGCCCUGAUCGCAUCCUGUGUACCAUCAAAUGUCGGGGGCUUCGUAUUAUCGAAGUCCCGAUACUGGAAAGCCCUGCCGGCUCCUCCUCCAACCCCUGCCGCAGUUACAGCCUAAGUGGCUGCAACGACAGCUAUCUCUGCUAGAGCUGCAUAUCGCUCAACAAAAUACUCAACCAUUGCGGUCUUAAUCGACCCAAACAUCUCUGGCAGCUGUGCUCGGAACAUAGCAACAAUCUUGUCUUGCAUGAUCUCCCGGAUCCUGGCAUCCAACUCCUUGGUCCCUAUUUGUACCACGGGCUUAGGUGCUACCGGCACCUCCAACCCUCAGUCUCCCGACCCCGAUCCUGAUCUUGAUCCAGAAGCAACACGUCUCGUCACCACCAUACUGAAAUAUAUAUACAAGUCAUCAAAUAAAUAACAUAAUGUCGGGAGACCAAAACCCACAAACCCUAGGGGGUGUGAUUUCCUUGCUAAGCAUAUGGGUCCUGUGCUUUAAGUAGUACGGGCCCAUACUACCUUCCACACCUACCCAUAUUUGUCUCAAGUAACACCACAACGCCCUAACAAUAUUAUCAACAUAGAAAUGCGCUCAACCCUCACUUCUAGGGGAAUACCAACUAUCUCGCACCUAGUCUCACCACUUAUCAUGACUCACACAUCCAUGAAACUUCCAUCAUCCCCUGCCGCGCCAGUGCAUGCUAGCUGUACGUAACACUGGAACCAAUAGACUUUCGAAUAUCCAAUCCAACCCAAAGGUCGAAUCAACAUUUUCAGGCUAUAAGGUCUUUAUUAUGAACAACCGUGAUGCAUACACUAAAAAUCUACAGUUAUGAUGUCAAUUCCACAUACAAGAAACCCUAGGCUAAUAGGCAUCAUGUAACUAGGCAAAUCUAUCAUGUGAUUCCUGAAGAUCCCUAGCCUAGCACUAGCAUGCUGUUCUAACAUAUCAUAAUAUCAAAUAACUAUAUGGUAUUUUGGGGUUUACUUACAGGCUCCGGCUGAUCGUACCCUCUACAUCCUCCAUCCUUUAUUUUGAAAACCAUUUCAAAAACUUACUUUCUGAAAAUCUCCUUGAUUUGAGACUGAAUUCACACGAGAGUUCCUCCAAUUCACUCAAACCAAGGCUUUGAUACCAACUUGUAACAUCCAUAAAUUUUACGCCAAAUUUAAACUUUUCAAUCAUAAAUAAAAACCAAAUAGCAUUGUUUACAAAAAUGUUUUCGAAUCAUUAUCCAUCAUAGUGUCACAAAAUCAUAACAUAAGGAUGAGGAGUGGUACGGUCACGCCUUCGCCACUACAAGAAAAAGACCCUUUUACGACGCGCAAGCAACGACACUCGGAGAUUUAUGUUACGCAAAAGAGAGUGACGUUAAAAAAAAUGUUAUCUCUUUAAAAAAUUUAAGAAUUUAGGUUGCACAUUAUUGCGUGCCCUUAAAUUAGUGUCUCAUGUAAAAAAAUUAAAAACACGAAGGGCACUUUAUCUAAAAGGUGCGCCGUCUAUGAAUGUCGUUUUAUAUUUUUUUAAGGAACGCGCUUCUCCUUAGAGGGAAAAUGAAAUCUCCAAAUUUUUUAAACCCCCACCUUCUUCUCCCUCGUCUCCACCCCCUAAUCGAAGCUACCAGUUGAACAACCCCUAAUCCACACCACCACCUUCUCGUCUCUCCUUCUCCACCAGGUUUUCUCUCAUCUCUAUCCUCCACCUUCUGGAUUGUAAAGGCGUCAUUUUAUAAUUCUUUUACCAAACGCACAUCCAUUAUCCUCAAUUACAAAAGGCGUCCAAAUCUAGGGGUUUUUUUUCAAGAAGAAACCAAACGGGAGUGCUCUCUUCAACAUUCGAUACCUCCGCUCGCCCCACCUGCUGGCGACCUUGGUUCUUAUAUCCUCCCAGUUUUUUGCGUUCUUCUUUCAGAAAUUUAAUCGAACAAGAUCUUGUGCCAGGCAGUUAAUCUAACGAUGGCGACAUUUUGAUUUUGAUCUCAAAAUACAUCAAAUACGAGCUUAUGUUGGAACUGAUUACCUAUAUAUCUUUUCCUUUAUGGGAUAAAUACAUCGAAUACGAGUAACAACAACAAUAGUGUUCCAAUCUUGCAUUGAUAUACACACACGGAUAUCGGAGCAUCCUAAUCAGCAAUUGGACCGCUAUUAUAACAGGUGAUAUACAAUUUUUUACGUAGAAGAGCCUCUAGCUUUUGUUAGGUCCAAAAUAAACUAAACAUGGUCAUACUCUUUCCUACAGUUUACAGCUUUAGGGAUUAAUAGCAAGUCGCCCUUUAUCUGAACUAAAAACCGCUGAGGAAGUUGCAGCUGCAACAAAUUCUAAAGACGAAGCCAAUAUUGAAGAAAAUGAAUGGGAAUUUCAUCCGGAUGCAGUGGAAAAACCUUCUAAACCUGUAAGUGAAGGCGUAAUAGAAGCUGAAGAGGUGGAGUCUUAUAUUGCCAUUAGAGAAGAGCUGUACAAGAAGGCUAAAGAAUUUGAUUCAAAGAUUAUUGAUUUUGGGACUGCUAUCAGAAGACCCUACUUGCAUAAGGUUUUUAACAUUUUUUUUGAUAAUGUAUACAGAGGCAACCGGAGAUUCACUUAUUCACUUGAUCUUACUUGUGAACUUUGAAUAUGUGUGGGUCCGAAGGGCUUCAUAUGGACGGAAAAGUGAUAUAGGAUAACGAAAGGAAUAUAACUGUUAACAGUUGAUCAAAAUCAAAAGAUACAAUUGGUAUUCUUUGUUUAGGUUUUGUUACUGCUUAAUAUAUAACUUCUGCAUGUUAAUUGCCACAGAGACGACAACCUUUAGGGUUUGCGUUAAGGUUGAUUGUUACAGAGAUAUGGAAACUUUAAUGAGAAAGCUUAACUGAAGAACUUAUAAAACGACUAGAGUAUAGAGUUUCCUUGGCUGAUGAAUGGAUUAUCUCUAAUUAUGUAGCAGGUACUCCACACUCAAACAAACACUGAUAUAGUUUCGUAGGCUUUCAAGUUUCAAUAUUGUAUUCCUAUUUAACAUACUGAGUCUACUCUUGCAAAAGUUGUGGCGAAUUUUUUUUUCUUCAUGCAACUGUAUCACAAAUAUAGCUAACUGGAAAUAUUAUUAUGAUUAGGUUAUCUAGUUCUUCAUUUAGACCUCUACUUGUAUUGCCUAGUUAAAAUAUAUAACUUUUAGCACUUUUUGUGUUUAUUUGGACUGAUUAGAUGUUACAUGGUUGAGAAUUUGGAACUGCUAUCACCUUUGUAUGGUUACCUUGGUUGUUCACGGUUGUUAUCUUCUAUACAGGUUUAAGAUACAAUCAAUCACCUAUUUACUAUGGGUGAUAGUGAAACAGUUGUUGCUCAAUCAUCAGCUAUCCAAGAGCAUCCAUCAACUACAGUUAAUAGAGAUUUGGCUGCUUCUACAGGUAUCGAUACCAUGGAUGUAGACAAUGUCAUUCCUCAUGAGGAUGAUCGAGCAUCCAUCCAGGUAGUAUCUUACUGCUGCUAUAGCAACCCCCUAUGUUCUUUAGAGUUCUUGGGCAUAAACUUCCUCUUUUUGGUUCAUAUGGUGGCUUUUUUAUAUAUAUUAGUAGAAAACCAUGUUACACAUCACCCAAAAAACAAAAUGAAAAGAAACUGAACAAAAAACUAUGAGUUUUGAUUUAUGUUAUAGAUAAUAACGGGCAUUUGAUUACUUAAUAGUUUUUAGAAUCAGUCGGGAGUCUUUCCAAGAAUUCAGAAAGUUUUCAAGAAUCAAAAGCUACAGAGUCUUCUUUGCACUUUUUGAAUAGCAACUAGCAAAUCCCUUCUAUCUUAAUGUUCUUUAUAUAACUUAUUUGCUGCAUGAAAUCUUUUCUUAAUGCAUAAGAAUUUCAUGCUUUCAGACUUUACUUACAUGGUUGCUUUUUAUAUCAGGCAUCACCCGAACAUUGUUCUAUUGCUUUUUAUCAAGAGGGGUAAGAACUAAGAAUUACUUUCUUAUUUUAUCUUUUUCUGUUAUUUUUUCAAUCUGAUAAUUUAUAUAUAUUUAAAAUGACUUGUGAUAUUAAUUUGUCCAAUAACUUUUGAUGAGCAUGUGCGUAGGGGUAAAACGGGAAGAGGAAAUGCUCGGGAGAUGGGCUUUGAGAGUUUCCUUGACUUUGUUCUAGCCCUGGAAAACAAAGACACUCCAGAGGGAAUUACAUAUCUUUAAUGAUGUUUAGAUCUUAAUGGAAGAGGCUUCUUUACAACAGCUGAUAUUCACACCCUUUUCAGGUAUAACUAAUUAUUAUUAGGAAAUAGGAAAUUGAAAAUUGGAAGUAAAGGAGGGGAGCAUUUAAAGUUUAAAUGUUGCCUGAUAUACCCUUCCUACAACAAAAAAUAAAAAUGAAAAAUCUCUGCUUUUCCUACUUGUUGCACGCGAGACACGUCUGCAAGCCUCUUGACUAUGAGAUACAUAUUUUCACCAUAUAUUAGUAAUAAAAAAAUAAAAAAAUGAUUUGAUAAUUGAUUGGUACACUACACUACAGGGAUGUGCACCAAAAUUAAAUUUAUUUACUAUUAGUGGAAUUCAAGAUAUGUACAGGAGUGUUUGUUGCCUUUAUAAUUGGUACAAUGCUAACAUGGAGGACCUUGGCAUUGACAGGUUUUAAAUUAGUCUAAAUUAUAUUUAUUUACUACUAGUGGCAUUCUUAUGGAUAAAGAAAAUAAAAGGUGAUGAAUUCUAGUGUUCUGUUUGCAGGAUUAAUCCCUUGUGCUGUUCUAUUAGUGGGACUUUUCUUUGUACCAGAAUCUCCUAGAUGGCUGGUAUGUGAAGUAUCAUGAUUCAUGAAGCUGUUUAAUUUAUCUUCAAGAAAUUAUGUUUGACAUCAUGCAUGCAGGCAAAGAUUGGAAGAAAGAAAGAGUUUGAUGCAGCCCUAAGAAAACUUAGAGGGAAGGAUGCUGAUAUAUCUGAGGAGGCGGAUGAAAUCCAGGUGUUCAUUUCAAAGCUCUCAACUUUUUUUCUUAUUUUUGUUAACGAAUAAAAAUUAUAGAAUUCUUUUUAUGUGUUAUCAAUGGGGUCUUGAAUAUGUUGAUAGGAUUAUAUAGAAACACUACAAAAGCUCCCGAAGGCCAAAAUAUUCGAUUUGUUUUAGAGAAGAUAUUUGCGAUCUGUCACUGUAAGUUUAUUUUCUUGAUAACUCUUGUUGGCUACUUUAAAAAAAAGAUUUUUAUAAUUGUAGUCCGAAUCUUGUUUUGACCAUACAUGGUACUUUUUUUUUUUUUCUGUAAUUGUAGUCUGAAUCUUGUUGGCUACUUUAAAAAAAGAUUUUUCUAACUUGCUCCUGGACGUGAUUGUGCUAUUGAGUUUGAUCUUGGAAGUGGAAGCUAUAAUGUAACUUGCUAUUGCUCAUACAACUUUUGUUGGAAUGUGAGUAUCAUAAUUCAUGCAUUUUUAUAAAAGUUUAAAAUAUUAGUUUAUGUUUUUUCUAUAUAAAAGAUAAAAUAUUUUUGUUGCUAUUGUUGUAGUGUACAAAAGAAACUCAUCGCCUUGUGGACUGUGAAACUGUGUCCAAAUGGAUUAUGAAGAAAAGUGCAGAGUCUGAAAAUAUGAAUUGGUAAAGGUCUAAAUUGCCCCUUGGCAGGUAUGCUGAUCGAAUUGCUAAUGCUAAAUGGGAAGUUAAAGAACAUGGAAUGGAACGCAAAGGUGAUUAUUUUUAAUUUUAGCACCAAAUAUUUUAAAAUAUCAUUUUUUUUAUGUUAAAUCAUAACUAUAACUCAAGGUGCUAUAUCUUUUAUCUGUUGUUUGUAAUGUUGAUAUGAUAACAUUAGUUAAUAACAUAUUUAUAUAACAACUCUAUCAGUUAGCUAAAACUGAUUAUGUCAUUAAUAUAUUAAAUUUCAUAAUUAUUAUUUAUUACAUUAAUGCUUUUAAUAUGUUCUUUAGUUGCUUACACCAUCAGUUCUCAAUGGUCGAUUAGUUAAUGCCCACCAACAUCUCCUAGCACUAAGGAUAUCAGAUUAUCUUGGAAUACACCAAGUUCUGUGAUAUUUUCAAUACCAAUCAUAAGGAGGAAUUACAAUAUGGUGUUAUGGAAGGAGUCAAUCUCUUAGGGAAGUAAUGGAGCCAAAAGAAGGUAGUCUACUCUAGGUGCAGUUUGUUAUUAUUCUAUUGGUGAUUUGAAGCAUGGAGUUGAUUCCUCCUGCAAGUGAAGUUACUUAGUUGGAAUUUGAUGUACAUAGUAGAUUAGAUGCAAAUUUAUUUAUUGUAAGAAAUAGAAUUGUAUGACAUUAAAUUUAAGCAAUGGAUUCUAUUUUUUGUAUAUAAUAUUUUAUUUUCAGUUAUGAAACAUUAAAUACAAAUUUAAUUAGAAAAUAAGUAAACCUAUAAAGAUUUUUUUUAAACAUUUAAAAUUAUGAUACGCAAAAAUGUGUGUCAUCUUCAUUUAUGACAUGGCCUUUCUUGACAGGGGCUUUCUUAAUACGCAUUACGUGUCAUUAACACGCGCGGCGUAAGGUUACGACACGCGAAUGCGUGUCAUCUUCCUUUAUGACAGGGUCUUCCUUGAUACGCAUUGCGUGUCGUAAACGCACGUCGUAAUUGCGCGUCGUAAAUGAGCGUCGUAAAUGCGCGUCGUCUAUAAACGACGCGCAAAAGCGCGUCGUCUCUCUUUAUGACAGGGCCUUCCUUGACACGCAUUUGCGCGUCGUCUGAGCCUUUUACGACGCGCAAUGAGCGUCGUAAAAGGCUGUUUUUCUAGUAGUGCGCCCUAGCGGCAUAUCACACACACUCUUGUUUCCGCAGUUAUGAGUUCAUUAUGGGAUUGAUACUUUGAUAUUUUGGUUGUUUACAUGUUGUGGAUUUCAAAUUUGGGUUUUCGAUGUGAAAUGGUUUAAUUGAACAAUGUUUUNGGCCAUCGGCCUGACUGGACCGCCCUGCGGGGCCUACAGUCUAUCUGGAUCUAUCCCGAGCCUUCGGCAUGACUGGUUCGCCACGUGGGCCUACAGUCUCCCCGGACCGCUCAUAGGGUGUGUGGGCCUUCAACACAAAACAGGAUCGCCUCAACCCAACCAAAAACAAAUAACUAUGUGCGCAUAACUAUCAUAUACUGGCAUAUACAAACAUCAAGCAUAUCUAUCACUGGUCAUCAAUCAUAGAAUUCUCUCAUAACUAGAGUACCGUCCUAGCAGGUCACUAACAUACCAAUCCCUACGGAUCAUAAGAGCAUAGCAUACUGUCUACCCUGAUUCCGAUCUAACAGAUCAUAACCACAUAUAGCAUACCAUAACAAUAACAACUAAAGGGUCGGCCUUGGUGCCGUAGACCCUAUCGAUAUAGUGAGGGUAACUCACCUCAGAGAUGUCGACUCGGAAAGUAAACUCCAACUCCCGGAUCACUUGACACAAGCCCCACUACCUAUAGCACAAUAUACUCGUAAGUCCUUAACCUUAUAAGGUACUCCAUAACCUACUAGUCAACCCCUGAUCAAAGUCAAAGUCCUUAGUCAAGGUCAACAAUCCAUGUUGACCUCGACUCGUCGAGUUCCUUGAAACACAUUCCAACUCGCCGAGUCAUCAGGGUGACUCGUCGAGUUCCUUUGAUUCUCGAUGAAACUUUAAGGCCACCCGUCGAGUUCCCUCCUUGCAACUUGACGAAUACACACGCAUACAUAUCCAGGAGAAAACUCAUCCGCCUCGCCGAGUUGUUCUUCAACUCGUCGAGUCUAUGGAAAUCAUCAUCGGACUCUCCGAGUUGUUCAUCCAACUCGUCGAGUUCACAACCAUCUUUAUGUGACUCGCCGAGUCCAUUCAGUCCUUUUCCCAUACAGACCUAUUUUGAGUCAUGCAACGGCUCCAACUCACAGAUCCAAGCUUCUAGGGCAUGCUCAAAAGGGACCUUAAUCACGAGGCGAUCCUGUUUUGUGUUGAAGGCCAAGUUUCUAGGGCAUGCUCAAUAGGGACCUAUUUUGAGUCAUGCAAACUUUACGUGCAUGCAUGGCUUUAUAGGCUCCAAAUGCCAAAUCUAAGCUCUUAAUGGGGCUUCAUGCUCAAUAGGGACCUUAAUCACGAUCAAAACUGUAACUUUAUGUUUCUAGAAUCCAAAGAGGGUCCGAUCUGAAGUUACAACUUCAAAUCUAGCCCAUAGCUCAUCAUACCAACUUGAUAUUCCAAGAAAACCCUAAAACUCAACCAAUAGAGGAAAUUUAUAAGGAAAAUGACGGUUUGGGUACGUCUGGAAGAUUAUAUCUGAGAUAAGUAUUGAUUUCCACACUCUAAAUGCUCCAAUCUCCUUCUCCUCCACGUCUUCUCCUUCCAAAGAUCCUCUUUUCAAGCUUCAAACACACACAAGGCACCACACACGAAUAAGGGAUCUCAAGGACUCUUUAGAACUGUAAAGAGGUCCAAGGGAGGCUAAGGCCCCUUUAAAUAGGGGUACAAACCCCGAGAUUUAGGUUUUCAUCUGCCUGCUCCUACUCGCCGAGUCCCAAUAUGGACUCGUCGAGUAGGUCACUUAACACGGGAUCCCACCCCCGCUGCUACUCGACGAGUAGGGCAACCUACUCGUCGGGUAGAGCUUAACCCAAUACAUCUUAUUUAAAACAAUACCUGAGAAUUGGGGCAUUACACAAUAACGCGUCCUUUAGAUAAGGGAUCAUGUAGUCCUCCAUUCUCAAGAUAUCGUGUGGACAAAGACAUGGAAUAAAGUCAUACUCAUUGUCUAAUAGUUUGUUUCCCGAUUUCUGAUUUGUUUGACAUAGAAAUUAAUUAAACACAUCAAUUUAUUCCUGACCGGGCCCAACACAUAAGUCAACACAAAAUCAUCGAGGGGCCCAAUAUAUCGCUUUUAAUCCUCUUAGGAUAAAAGGAAGAGAUAAUCUUUGACUUAUAUUCUUGUAGUAUUUACUUCUUAAAUCGUACAAAAUAAUACGUUUAAUAACAUCAAGUUAUUGAUGCGUUUACACACUAUCAAUGCACAACCAACUUGUAAACAAUAACUAAUAUAUCUCGGUUUAAAGACUAUGCUAUUAUCGUCUCACAAUCAUUCAUGAUAAAUUCCAUCAAGUGAUUCAUAUGAGCUUGGGUUUAAUCUAAUACUCAAAUAUUAUUUCAGGAGCACUCAUGAACAUUGCAACAAACCUUUGCUAUGUCCAAACACUUAUACAAUCUACAAACCAAUUCAUGAUAGUCUAACCUCAUAGCCUACUUCCAAAGUAUGAUCGACUGCGGAUAAUUCGAAUAAUCCUAUUAUUCUGGAAGUCAAAACAUGAAAAAGUGAAACAAUAGUAAACAAUUUACACAAGAUAGUAACUUUACUCAUAAAAAAAAACCUCUUUAUUUAAUCAUCAAAUGUCAAUUACAUUUUAUCUAUUACAAGUUUCUAAACAAUUAUCUAACCACUGAAACUAAUAUCAUCCUUUAGACCAAUGCUCCUCACAUGCUGUAAGUGCUUAACCCUGCUUAGACCCUUUGUGAGGGGAUCUACUGGAUUCUCCUCUGACGAUACCCUCUUGAACACGAGGAGUCCCUCCUCUACCUGAUGUUUGAAGAAGUGGUAUUUUCUGUCGAUGUGUAUGGAUCUACCAUGAUCCCUUGGUUCCUUGGUUAACGCAACUGCUCCUUCGUUAUCAUAGAAAAUUUCCAUAUGCUCCUUUAUGGCUGAUACAACUCCAAGGUCUCUGAUGAAGUUCUUCAACCAUAUUGCCUCCUUCGAUGCUUCGCUCGCUGCUAUGUACUCUGAUUUGCACAUUGAAUCAUCUACAGUCUCCUGCUUGGAACUUUUCCAAGUCACUGCUCCUCCAUUCAGGGUAAAUACCUAGCCCGACUGAGAGUGGAAGUUAUUUCUGUCGGUCUGAAAACUAGCAUCACUAUACCCUAUCACUCUCAAAUUUUCACUUCCACCAAUUACAAGGACCCAAUCCUUCGUCCUUCGUAGAUACUUAAGAAUGUUCUUUACUGUUAUCCAGUGAGCUCUACCAGGGUUCCUUUGAUAUUGACUAACCAUGCUCAAAGUAAAAGCCACAUCAAAACGAGUAGACGUCAUAGCGUACAUGAUCUAGCCAACGACAAAAGCAUAUGGUACUCGACUAAUUUCCACUAUCUCGGCAUCGGUACUCGAACUUUGAGUCUUACUCAAUUUUGUAUUGCCCUGGAUUGGUAACUCCCUUUCUUGGAAUUCUCCAUGCUAAAACACUUUAUCCAAGUAAGUACUUUGACUAAGUCCUAUUAGUCUCUUACUCGUAUUUCUCAAUAUCCUUAUCCCUAGAAUAUAAGCAACCUCUCUGAGGUCCUUCAUAGCGAAACACUUCCCAAGCCAGGGCUUAACCUCUUGCAAAGUUGGGAUGUCGUUUUCUAUGAGUAGUAUGUCAUCCACAUACAAUACCAAGAAGCUAACUAUACUCCUACUAGCUUUGACAUGCACGCAGGACUCAUCCUCGCUUCUUGAAAAACCAAACUCUUUGACUUUCUCAUCGAAACAAAGAUCCAUCUGCGAGAUGCUUGUUUCAAUCCAUAAAUGGAUUUCUCAAGCUUGCACACUUAGUUUCGGUACUUUGCAUCCACAAAACCCUCUGGCUAAUUCAUGUAAACAUCCUCAGCCAACUUUCCAUUAAGGAAAGCAAUUUUGACGUCCAUCUGCCAAAUUUCAUAAUCAUGAAACACAACUAUGACUAGCAUAACUCUUAUAGAAUUGAUGUUGGUCACUGGUGAGAAGGUGUCGUGAUAGUCAACUCCCGAAGUUUGAGUGAAACCCUUCGUAGCUAGUCGUGCCUUGAAUGUGUCCACUUUCCCAUCCGUGUCGGUCUUUUUCUUGAAGAUCCACUUACACCCGACCGUCUUACUACCUGUUAUAUUGUUAACCAAGUUCCUAACUUGAUUUUCAUACAUGGACUGAAUCUCGUUGUCCAUCGUCUCUUUCCAUUUUGCAUACUCUGGGCCUGCCAUGGCUCUCUUGUAGUUGUUAGGUUCAUCCAUAUUUAUUAGUGUACUAUCACUAAUAAACAUAUCACCUCAGCAGUUAUAUGGAAACCAUAUAACACGGGCGGAUCACUAACUCUAGUGGAACGUCUAAGAGGUAAGGACUCGUCGAGUCCCACUAUGGACUCGUCGAGUUCAUCUGUCAGGGGCCAGAAAUCGAUUAUUUUCAGCUUUGAACAAUUAACCAUGACAUCAAAUACAACAUAAAAACAGCCUAGGCUCUGAUACUACUGAUGGUUUUUGAGCACUACAACAUUCCUAUGGUGUACAUGCAACCCUAAUGCUUCGUAUCUAUGUUUUUUUCAAGUUAUAUAUGCAAAUCAAAUCAUCCAAAGCAUGAACCCUAACUAGCAUAAAAAUUUGGAAAUUUGUAACAUAAAACAUAGUUAGAAGAAUACUUUUUCCUUGUAGCUUGUUGAUCUUGACCUUCAUGAGCUUAGUGCCUUAAUUCUUGCACCUCGAUUGAGUCACAAACACCAAGUAGCAAGUUGGAAGAAUAUGAGAGAGGCUAGGAGGCUCAAAAUCGUCUAGGGUAUUCUCUUAGAAGCAAGUGGUUGAUUCCAAGGUGUCAUCGGGUCUUUAUAUAGAUGUGCAAUUAGGGUAUUUGAUUGAAACCCUCAUUCUCUGCUUAGGCCUUAAGUAAUCUAGUAGAUCCUUCCAGAAGGUCUCUUAUGGACAAAAUCUAUGUGGGCUAUAUAUAGGAUUUCAUCCAUCCCUUCUUAGGGAUCCACAAGCCCAAGUUUGCAACUAGCAUAUAAUUGCAAUAUCAGUCCCCAUAAUUUAAUCAGUCUCUUUUGAUCACAAAAAUAAUUCCAAAUCAAUUCCUGAUCAAUACUAAUUAAAUAAUAUGAUUUCUCAAUCAAUAUAUCAUUCUUAUAAUAUAUUAAUAAAUCAAAAUUAACCUCUUUCUCCAUAAUUCAUCCAGUCAAGUUGCUAUGGUGAAGGCAACCCAAAUGAACCAUGCUACUAUUAGGUCAAGUACAUACCAAUUAUAGUUAUGGGCUUAGACACCUAAUCCAACACGGGCUCCUUAGAGCUUUCAGGUCUCUCCUUGUCUCGGGUACAAGUCUUGUGCUUUUAGUAGUACGGGCCCAAUACUACCUUCCACACCUACCUGUACAUUCCCCCAAGGCCAUACCUGAUACCUCUAAUUCACCAAAACAUAGAUAAAACAUGACAUACGAAACACAACACAUAUCCUAGAAUCCUUGGGGAUUUCUCAAUCCUCAUAGAACCAGAAGUCUCAAUCAACACCGCAGGUUGCCUUAUGCAUGCAAGUUAUACAUACAUAUAAUCACAUAGACUGUCAAGUGAAGUUUCUACCCUAAGACCAAAAUGAAGCAAGGAACAAGAAGUAAGGAAGAAUCCAUCGUUCUAGGGCUAUGAAAUCCUACACGUAUACAACUUUGAAAGAAUACACUUAGCAAAUAACAAAGACAACAUCGAUUUCAAGCAUUAUAUUCAUAGCAUUGAAUUCUAGCUAGUAGGCUACAAGGCAUCACACAAAUCAGACAAUUCUCAUAACUCCUGAAGGUAUCCUUAGCCCUAUUCUAGCAUGCAUUUCACACAUUAACAUACUGGUUGUAAUUCAUAAGCUUGGUUAAAUUUUUGGAAACACUUACUUGAGCUUGGCCGAUUGCGUGCAUUGCACUCUCCCUUUUUACUUAAGAAAACCGGUUUAAGAAAAAAUUUACUUUUGUUUAUUUUUUAAAAAGGGUUACCAUUUCCUUAGUUUGAGUUCUGACACACCUUCGAGUGUGGCCGAAUUUCUCAAACCAAGGCUAUGAUAGCAACUUGUAACAAUCCAAAAAUCUAGAUAAAAAUUUUCAUUUUUUUAAAAAUAGAAAUUACAAUCAUAAUUUGUUUAUGAAAAUCCAUUACAUGAUUUCAUAUCAAAAUAUCAGAGUAUCGCUAUCGAUAAAUGAGGAAAUUCUUGGGAGUGAUGUUGCGCCAUCAAGCUGGUCCAUUCCCAUCAAUACCAGAAGUACCUAAAAACACCCAAAUAAACUAUAAGCAAAAUGUAACAUCCCAAAAAUACAGGCAAAAAAUUUCAUUUUUAAAUACAUUAUUAUAACACCAGCAGUAUAAUAAGACAUCCAUAAUAUCAUGUCAUGUCAAAACUAAAGUAGAAAUAAUCAAAACAUGUUAUAAUAAAACAAUAUCAAGGUGUAAUCUCAAAGAUCUCAUGUGCGGAAAACCAUAGCGUGAUGCACUGUGAUCAAGCCGACUCCUUUCCUUUAAAAACGAGUACCUGAAACCAAAACUGUAAACCGUAAGCAUGAAGCUUAGUGAGUUACCCCAUCAUACCACAUACCAUACAACAUACAUGCUACGAAGCAUAUCUGGGUGUUGACAUACCCCUUUGGUAACUUUAACCGAUAUCCGGGGACUGUUUCACCCCUAUCACUACCACAUAAUAACAUAGCAUAACAUAUAUAAAUAUACUGUCAUGCAUAUAUGGGUGCCCGACCUACCCCUUCGGUAUCUUUCAACCGGUAACCGGGAGCUAACCUCCCCAUCGGUAUCUUUCAACCGGUAACCGGGAGCUAACUACCCCUUCGGUAUCUUUCAACCGGUAACUGGGGACUAUUUCACCCCUACCACUACCACAUAAUAACACAACAUAAUGUACUGCAAGGCAUGCAUGGGUUCUGACGAUCCCUUCGGUAUCUUUCAACCGGUAUCCGGGGACUAAUAUUUCACCCCUAAUACUACUAACUCAUAUAACAUAGCAUCCUAGAACAUAGAGCAUAUCAGAUAGUUGUAAACUAGACAAUUAUCACAAAGACAAUCAUCUCAUACAUAGUCACCUACUAGUGGGUCAGCAUUGGUGCCUUAGACUGUCACACCCCAAAACCGAGAACGGCGGAAAUGUUCUGGGGCGGAGGACGUCAUGUAUAAUAUCAACAACAAUGUAAAGUAGUAAACAAGCAACAACAUCAUCCAUUGCAUUAAUAAAAUAAUUAUUAUACAAUUGUAUUCUGUCAAAUUUUGAUAAACACUAAAGCAUAAAUCAAAAUGAAAGAUAAGUCUUGAACAAGCUCCAUCUUCCUUUCUCCUUGCAUCGGUACCUGUCUAUGAUGACCUGAGGAUACAAGUAAUUUUGAAAGCGAGUAUCAGCUUUAAAGCUGGUGAGUUCAUAAGUAUAUAAGUGUCAUUGCCUUGUUUGUGAAAAGCUGUUAUGAAGGCCAUGAAAACCUUUAAAUGAAAAUGUUGAGGUAAGUAUGAAAUCCCUAGAAAAAACCCUUAUUUUCUAUAAGUAUGAAAUGUAGUCUUCUACUAAGACCCGAAUGUUCUGUACGUAUGAAGUGUAGUCUUCUACCAAGACCCGAAUGUUUUGUAAGUAUGAAGUGUAGUCUUCUACCAAGAACCGAAUGUUCUGUUUGUAAAAUGAUAGUUUUCCCUUUGUAUUGACUAGUACUAAAAGUGCUUAGUCUAACUCAUCGUCUAUGUGAAUGCAUCACAAAAUAAAGUAAACAGGAAAAUGUACUACUGUAAGUGUUGUCACUGGGUACUAGGACCAACACAGCCUAGGUAAAUAUUAUCCCGAGGUACUAGGGUUAACACUACCUAAAAAUAAAGUAAACAGGAAAAUGUACUACUGUAAGUGUUGUCACUGGGUACUAGGACCAACACAGCCUAGGUAAAUAUUAUCCCGAGGUACUAGGGUUAACACUACCUAAAAAUAAAGUAAACAGGAAAAUGUACUACUGUAAGUGUUGUCACUGGGUACUAGGACCAACACAGCCUAGGUAAAUAUUAUCCCGAGGUACUAGGGUUAACACUACCUAAAAAUAAAGUAAACAGGAAAAUGUACUACUGUAAGUGUUGUCACUGGGUACUAGGACCAACACAACAUCGCAUUAAGCGAAAUGUAUAACCUAAUGAACAUCCGAAGAUUGUCCAAUUGUCCUCUGUAGCAGCAGCAGGUGGGUGGAAGGGUUAGUCCCAAAUCGAUCUUCCUAAUAUAAGUAGUAACCUUAGACCUCCGUAGAUGGUCAUCGACCACUGGUGCUAAUCAGUGGGGUUCGGAAUGGUGAGUCCCGCCUAGAUAUCCCAUUGAACCGGGAUAGGAAAGAUAAUUUACACAGAAAGUACUAAUAAAUUAUCCUCUUAGUUCUAAGUACAAGUAUCCAGGUAAGUGAAUACAGGAUAAUGCACCUAUGUAAAAGUGUUCCUGUAUGGCAUUCAUGUAUGUGCGUCCAUGUAACAGGUAAGUAUAUGUGAACAUAUUCAUGUAUCAGGUAAGCAUCUGUAAGUACUCAUGUAUCAGGAAAUGUACUAGUAUAGACUCAUGAAUGAACUGACUCUUGUGUGAUUCUUUGUAAUAGAAAUAAUGUUUGAUAUCUUCAAAUUAUCCCUAUGAUAAUUUACUGUAAUAUAACUGGAUGAUCAUGUAGGUUUAUACACUCUUACUACUCAAGGGUGUGGGAAACUAAAUGAAAGAUGUAAACUAUAAACUCAAUACAUAUAUAAGAAUAUAAGUGUAUAUGCAUAGUUUAGUUCAAGAAUGUAAAAAUGGUUUUGUAAGACCUCUUAUGGGUUUUGAACAAUAAUUAACAAUGACUUGAUGUCAUUUUAAUAAACAUUUCAAAGGUAAAACAUUUGGUAACAAUGUGUUUUUAAUAUGUAAAACCAUUUCAUGCAUCACAUUUUGUAGCAUGUGAAAUCCGUUAAAUGACAAACAUAGUUAUAAAAUGCAUAUCAAUGAUUCAAUAACAUGUAUGUUUCUACUUGUAUUCCCCCCAUUAAAGCAUUUAAAAUCAUUUAAAAUAUUGAUUAGGGGUAUGAACUCACUUGAUUGAAGUGGUUGAUUUGAAAUAGUCCAGAGAAGAAUCAAGCAGAACUUCGACAGGAAGAGCUGAAAACGCGGGAAAAUCUCAGGAUUCUCGGGAAUCUCGGGAAUCUCGAGAACACAAAACCUUCCUUCGGGACUUGAAGGUGAAAACCGGGGCUUUGGGAGGGUCUCGGGGGCUUAAACGCAGAGUUUCGGCGCGAGAAAGAAAGGAACUGAGCAAUGGAACUCGGAGCCCUUGAAAUCUAUUUAUAGGGGCAUUUUUGGGGUGUGCCACGUCGUGGCAAGUGAUGGCCACGUCGUGGGGAGUCAAACCUAUCCUCUUCCAUUGAUUGGACGCCCUCAGUCACUUGCCGGGUCGCGGCAAGCUUGUGCCACGUCGUGGGGCCUGACAGCAUCGGAUUUUGGGCCCCGAACUUGUAAAAUCCAUAACUUUCGCAUACGAGCUCCGUUUUCGACGUUCUUUAUAUGCACACAUAGCUAAAAAUAUGAUCUACAAAUCUCGUUUAGACUUCAAUUGCAAAUUUUGACUUUAUUUUUAAUUAUUUAUUUUUAACGGGUCGGGACACGAAAAGUCUGUUAAAAAUCCAUAACUUCUUCAUCCGGUGUCCGUUUUCGUCAGACUUUUCGCCGUUGCGCUACUAAUGUUGAGACCUUAGAUUCUCAUUUAGGUUGUUUUGGCACNUUUGGUCAAAAGUAUCUCGAGCUCUAUUUCGAGUUUUUAGCUGUCUACUGCUAUACUCGAAUCUUGGAAAAAUCAUAACUUUCUCAUACGAAGUCAGAUUUGGACGUUCUUUUUAUGUACGCUCACGGUUUGAGGUUAUCUAUAACUUUCAUUUAGAUACUUAAGGCUAAAAACUAUUGUAUUGAAACUUCGCGUUUUUCGUUUAAUCGGUGUUGUCGGUUUUGCCGAGAAUCUUCGGUUGGUCAUAACUUCUUCGUUAUAACUCGAAUUUUAGGGUUCUUUAUAUGUACUAAAACCUUGAUACGAUUCCUACUACUUUAUUUAACCCAAAUAAGAUUUUAGGAAAGUUAUAUUUUGACCUAAAUUUGAUUGGUUUUACAUUUCAUUGUCUCGAAAUAUCGGGUUGUCACAUAGACCCACCUCUACUGGAAGGUAAUUCACCUCGAAUGCAGAAGCUUCCUAAAGAAAUUCUUAUUGCUGCCCUGCCCACUUCCCGAGCUAUCAAUACCAAUCAAUAUACCAAAUUAGCAAUUGGUUCCCAUACCAAAAUCCUUAAUCCAUGCAUGGGAUAAAAUGACCAUUCUACCUAUGGCCCAGUAUGAUCCGGAAUUAUGGCCAUAACCCAAACAAAAGCCCAACACUAUAAUGUCCAUAAUACAAUCAAUGGCCCAAUUUUCUAAAUUGGGCCCAAACCUCUACGUGAGUCUUGCCAUGAGGCCCAAUCAUUCUUUCCAGUCCAAUACACCUCAUAUUCUGAUGGCCCAAUAAUAAUCCAAACAUUUAAACCCAAAAUGCUAAAACUCACUCAUGGCAUGGUCCAUGGACUAGUUUUCCAAAUUGGGCCCAAGACUUUAGUGGGCCUCUACAAAUAAAAUAUCAACCCCAAAACUGAUGGCCCAAUAGCGCCCAAAACAACAAGCCCAAAAGAUGGCCCAAACUGAAGCCUAAAAACCAAAGUCCCAUUCUGCUGAGUACGCGGGGCGUACUCAGCUUGUACGCUAAGCGUACUGGCUUAAGGGCUUGUACGCUACAUGUAGACGCUUGUACGGCCAGCGUACUCCUCCUGUUGACCAACUCUCAAUCCUAGCUCUUAAUCCAUUAAGCCAAGACGUCCAAAACCUCAAAAUGGCUUAAUAUAAGUGACUUGACCCGUAAAGUCGAAUGCUUUAAGCCUUUGCAUGGCUUAUUUAAUCCCAAACACUAAAGAUGAAUUCCAAAAGGUCAAAAUCACUCCCAAAAUGUCUUAGAACUUCUUAAUACCUUAAGACCUCAGUCCAAACUUCCAGAUCUGAUUUCAAGGGACUUCUUAAGUCAUAAAUUUUCCAACUUUAUGACUUAGCAUAACUCAAUGGGGCCUAAAUCUAAAACCUAAGUUCCAAACUUCAUUAAAUGAAUACCAAAUCAUGCAUGGAAGGUUUAUACCUCUCAAGAUCUAGACUUUAUGACUCCAUAACCUCAGUAAGGACCAAAUAAGAGGCUCAAAGGUUCUGGAGUAACUUCUACUCACAAGAACCACCUCAAAGGGACCAAAAAAACAUAACAACGUACCAUUUUGCUAGAUCUACAUGAAAAAGUUGUCAAUGUUGAGACUCUAUACCUUCAGAAGAUAGAUCUAGGUGCACAAAGCUUGGAUUCAAAAGCUCCAAGUCAAACAAUGACUCUUCAAGAAGUUCCUUCUUCCUCCUCUAGCACCAAAACACACCAAAAAUCACUUUGAAGCUCUAAAAUUACUCAAAUGGGGGCUAAGGGUCGAUUUCUAGGGUUUGGAGGGAUGGAGGAUGAAGGUAUUAGGGUUAGGUUAUGAGAUAAGGAGCUUAAAUAUGCUCCAAGACCCUAAAAUAGGGUUUUGAUCUAACUGGCGUACGCUCAACGUAAUUAUGGUACACCCGACGUACUCCAAAGAACAUUCGCGACCAUCCUGGUCAGUAUGUCCAGCGUACUCUAAGGUACGUCCAACGUAUUGCCUUCUUCACUAGUACGCCCUGCGUACUCUUUGUGUACGCCAUGCGUACUCGGCUAACCCUGAAAACCAUGAAACUUCUGAAGGCCAUAACUUCUUCGUUAUAAGCCCGAUUCCAAUGAUCCUUAUAUCCACGGAAAGGUGACGAGAAACUCUAUGCAUCCAUCAACUUAUUCUCACCUCAAAACCUUCUGAAAAAAAAAUCCAAAAUUUAUAAAGAUCUUCAACUACCACUUUACCGAUAUACCCCUUGGCUCCAAAACACGAACCGAACACCCGAAUCACUUAUAAUACAUCACCUGCACCCAAAUGGGCCUAGAUACUACCUUUUCAAAAGCCCUAAUACUUUUGAUGACCAGCCUUCAGGCCACAUCGUUAGACUAGAAGUCAAUCCGGAACAGGGCGUUACAUAAAAGCUUAGUGAGUUCCCAAAAUACAACAUAACAUAUAACCACAGAAUACCACGCUAUAUACAUAAGAUUGCCAUAGGAAACCCCUAUGGUCUUUACCUGGAAUGCCAUGGGCUACCCCCAUGGCCUGAUAUCCAAGUUCCAUGUGCUACCCCCUUGGUCUUUACUUGGAAUGCCAUGGGCUACCCCUAUGGUCUUCACACAAGUGCCACGGGCUACCCCUGGGGUCUUCAAAUAAUGAAUUCAUAACAACUAUCAAUGCACAUGUCAAACAAUGGGCCGAAAUUAGUGCCUUCGACCCAUUGAUAUAGUGAGAAGACUCACCUCAGACUGCUGAUAAAAAUACUACUCGGCUAUCGGUCCAGAUAUCUCACACUGAAUAUACACAAGUUAACCUAAUUAGAAUUAAGUCACAAACUCAAGGCAUAGGCCAAAACCCUAAUUACAAACUCCUCCAAUAAGGCCCAAAAGCCUUUCUCCUUUAAUGGGCCUAACAUCCAAGCUCCAAAACAAUUAUAGGCCAUAAGGCCCAAAAGGCCCAAACAUGCCACCUAUGGUCCAACAACAAGUUUAAAGGCCCAAAUACUCUAAUAGAUCCAGGCCCAAGGCUAAGUAGGGCCCAAAUGGAUCAAAGGCCCAACAAUAGCCUAAAACUCACUGGAAGCAUACGCCCAAUGUACAACAUAUAUACGCUUAGCGUACUGGGUUAUUUGGUGGUACACACAGUGUAAAAGCUAGUACGUCCAACGUACAAGCUGCUUUGCACAAAUAGCCAUUAAGUGCUUACUUCAUGAAGCCGCUUCGUCCGAUUCCAAAUCUUGGUCAUCAUAAAGGUUGUAGGGCAAAAAUUUUGUAACUUUAUGCCUUUGAAUGCCAUAUGGGAACCUAACACCUCGUUUUAUCCUUUAAGACUCCCUUUAAGAUCUUAAACUCAUGCAUGGUGUCAAAACAACCAUCAAGUUAACAUUUUUAUGGUUUUAACAUGCCAAAGGAACUCAAAUCAAACAUUUCUAACCUCUGGAGUUGCUCAAACUCACAAAAGAGGAUCCAUGGACCAAAAAUGGACUUAUUACCAAACCCUAACUCAAACUAGCGAAAGGAUAAGCAAGGUCUGGACUUUUUACCUCCAAAAGUUCCGCAAGAUGAAAUAGAUGCAGGAUCUAGAAGCUCAACCACGUAUAAGACUUGAUCACAACCUUCUCCUUCUUGCAAACACACUAAAAUAGCCACCAAAAUCACUUUUAAUAUCACGAAUCACACUCACUUGCAAAUUAAGGUUUAGGUAUGAUAAGAGGCAAUAGAAGUUGUUUAGGGUUAGGUCUAAAUGGCAUAAGAGUGUUAAAAUGGGGCUAAAAUUAGGAUUUUUGUCUUAGGCCACGUACGCCCCGCAUACAUUGUGCAUGUCCGAGUCCAAACCACCCUAAUAUGCUAAGCAUACACAUAUGUACACCCAACGUACGUAGGGACCUCCUUUGCAAAUAAGUUUCAUUCCAAGGGUUAAAAGGGUAACUUGCAUUCCGAAUGUUACAUAUAGAUAAUCAAAUACUUGAUUCUACCCUAAGCCCUUCAUCAACCAAGAACAUGAAAUAAAGCUAAACCAAAAAUUAUCAGGCUAUAGAAUCUUAAUUAUGUACAACUAUGAUGCAUACACUAAGCAGGUACAAUAAUGAUGUCAAUUCUAUAUAAGAAGUAAUCCUAGGGUAUCAAGCAUCAUAUAUGAGGAAAUUUUAUCACGUAAUUCCUGACGAUCCCUAGCCCACCGCUAGUAUGUUGUUGUAUCAUGAAUAACAUAUCAAAUAACAGUGUGGGUAACUUGAGGUAUGCUUUCUUACCGCGGCUGACCGUACACAUCACAUCAUGCAUUCCUUGGUUACUUUUGAAAACCAUUAAAAAAAACUUUUACAACUCCCUAGUUUGAGUUUGGAUUCACACGAAUGUUCAUCCAAUUCUCUCAAACCAAGGCUCUGAUACCAACUUGUAACACUCCUAAUAUCAUAGAAAAUUAAAAAUUUUAAAUUUCAACCAUUAACCAACAUUGUUUAUAAAAAGUGCUCAUUGCUUCAAAAGUAUUAUUCAAAAUCAUAGUUUUUCCCAAGACAUAAAAACACAAAACAGGAAGAUGUGCACGAUCACGCCUUUGCCUUCCCGCGAUUAUCAGAAGUACAUGAAAUAAUAAACUGAAAUUGUAUUUCAAAGCUUAGUGAGUUCCCCCAAAGUACCAUCAUGAAACAUAUAAAAUACAUAGAUUAACAUGAUGGGCCCACAACCUCCCAGUUGGAUUACCUUGGCCCACAACCUCCCUGUUGGAUUGCCCUGCAUACCAUAUACUGGGUCCAUAACCUCCCAACCGGGUUGACUUGGCUAGUUUGUGGAGUUUGACCUAUUUUGAGCCAAGUAUAUUUUGGAUAAUUUGGUAUUAAUUUAAGUUGGGAAAUAUUUUGGGAUAAUAGGUGUUGAGUAGAGCCGGGUGUCGGGGAAGACAUUUAUUCAGCUUGUGUUUAGACUGAGAGGUGAGUUUUCCUCACUAUACUUACAAGUCGAAGGCAUCAAGGCCGACCUAAUGGAUUGAUAUCCUGUUAGAUACUAAUUGAAGAUAUGUUGAGUAUGCGAUACAUCUGUAUGAUUAUAUGAUAGGUAUUGAUAUACAUUAGACUGGUAGAUCUGUAGGACUACAUGUGAUUAUUGGUUGUGUAAUCACCUGUUUGUUGUAUGUAUAUUAUCUAUUAUAUGUCGACAUGUUACUUUAGGGUUGAGAAUAUUGCUUUGUGCUGUCAUUCGACAGACCGUGACAAUCCAACCAGAAUGUUUUGGGCCAGAGUAAUCCAACAGGGAGGUUGUGGACACAACAUGCUAAUCUAUGUAUUUUAUAUGCUGCAUGAUGGUACUUUGGGGGAACUCACUAAGAUUUGACUUACAGUUUCAGUUUAUUGUUUUAGGUACUUUUGAUGAUCAUGGUACGAUGAAGGUGUGAUAACGCACAUCUUCCUAUUUUGUGUUAUUGUGUCUUGGGAAAAACUCUGAUUUUGAAGAAUACUUUUGAAGCAAUGACUCUUUUUUUAAACAAUGUUGGUUAGUGGUUGAAAUUUAAAUUUUUUAAAUUUCUAUGAUUUUUGUAAUGUUACAUUGGUUUGGCUUGUAACCGAUCUAAACCCCCCACAUACCCUUGUUAAUCAUAAAAGAAGAAUCCAUUUAGAACUAACUAUGUUCAAAAAUAAGAACCAUAGUGUGUUAAAUAUUCAUUACCUCAAAUGUAGGGAUCUUUUGAUGUCGAAGAACAUUAGUUAAGAUAAAUUAAAAAGGAUAUUCAACUAAACCAAAGGUCUUUUGGCCUAGCACUAUCAUAUGUUGGAAAUGUGACCCUUCCUAAUAUCAGAAAAACGUGUUAUUUCGAUUGCUUGGAUUACACUGAAAGUCAUGAUACACUUACGUAUUAAAGUAUUUCGAUGGUACAAUCAAAAUUUAAAUUGGAUAAAAUUCUGUGAGAACAACAGAGAAUGAAAAUGUUAUGAUUCUUGUGUGUACCAGAUUCAAAUGACCAAAAAGGGAUAUGACUCCUUGUCCGAAAAUUGUCAUAUUUCCAGUUACAAACUGCCACAAAACCAUCACUAAACUGACUUAGUCGGCUUAACAAACAAGAACUACAUAUUUAACAUACAAAGAAAAGCUAACAAGUCUCCUGAUACUUGUAAAAAUCAAAUGAUGUAAAAAAAUUAGAUAUCAAAAAAUCUAGUAUUAACAUAGAUUUAAUUAAACUUAUAGAUUAUCUGUUUAUAUAUCAUGGAAAUUUAUUCCCAAGGUCAUCCUUAACUCGUUAACAAGUUUUGGGUGUAACGAUAUAACAAUAUCUAAUCAUUACUCCUCUGAUAAAAUUUUGGAUUCUGUGGUCUAUAGGUUGCAUUUUUUGUUGCUAAUAGGAGUAGAAAAGCUAAAAUCAUUUGGGUCGAUUGGAUUCAUAAUCCUACUUCAACUUGCACUCUUAUGUAAUGUUUUUUUUCCUAGCUUACUGCUAGUUUUUAUAAAAUUUUAUCUUGUUCCGAAAAAACUCCUCUUAUAUAUUGGUCAACUUUGAGAUACAAUUAAAAAGGUUCUCUUGCCACAUCACACGCCAUCCACCCCAACGACCACCACACAAUAAUAUCGAUUUGGUAUAGACCAACAACUAUCUCUUUCCUCAUCUCCCUCAAAUCGGUCUUCAUUUCCUUUCUUUUCAGUUUGCUUUUUAAUAUUCAUACAUAGAGACUCAUUUUUGAGAAGUUAAGACACAUAAAUGUGUUUAAUAUUGGAAUCCCACAUGACAAAGUAGCAUCUAGGGAUGUCAAUGGGGGCAAACGGGACGGGGGUUGCAUUCCCCACCCCCACCCCCAAAANNNNNNNNNNNNNNNNNNNNNNNNNNNNNNNNNNNNNNNNNNNNNNNNNNNNNNNGCCCCCGAUUGAUUUUGGGCUACCUUAUUUGCACUAAAAGAAGUUCUUGUUUGGACUAAUAGAAACUAUAUUUUGGGUUAUAAAUAGAUAUUUAUAACAUAAUUUUACAUGUACAAACAACUUAAAACAUGUUUUAUUUUGAAGUUUUGUAUGCAAAAAUCUUUUUAUUGUUUAUUAUAUUUAUAUAAUUAAUAUAUGUCAAUUUAUAUAAUUUAUUAACGGGGCUCCCAUGGGGGUUUCGGGACGGGACUACCAACCCCUGCCCCAGCCCUUGAAAUUAAAACGGGGGUUAACCUUGCCCCUGCCCCCGUCCCCGAUUAUUUUCAACAAAUGCCCCCAUACAAGAUGGGGUCCCCGCGGGAUCGGGGUCCUACGGGACUUUUUGACAUCCAUCGUUAAGUAAAGAAUGUUUGUGACGAUGUAACUUCCUCUUGAUAUACAUAUCUUUUAUUAGAGACCGACCGAUGUCAUCCUUUAACACUGUAAAUUUUCAAACAAAGUUUUCAUUUUAAAACACAAUAAAACACAUGUCACAUUCCUUUCAAAAAUCACAAGUAUCAAUUUAUCAAUACAUUUUAAAAGUUGUUUAUCGCAAAUCCAGAUCCUCAAACAUAACUCUUUUCUCUUGUGUGUACAAUCAAACCGGUGCCUUAUCGUGAUCCUGAUAAGAACCUGAAACACAUAACACAUAACAUGGUAAGCAAGAAGCUUAGUGAGUUCCCCAAAACACCACAUACAGCUCAUUAGCCACUCGAGGCUAUAACACAGUAAGACCCUCCGGUCAAUGUAUCUCAGUGGGAUCCUCCGGUCCCAAACUCUGAUGGACCCUUCGGCCGAAUAGAAUUUUCCACCCGCGUCCAAGAUUCACAUAUACUCGACGAGUUUGGGGACUCCAACUCGUCGAGUCCCAAUGCAAAAAUGCAAAAAUUCAUAUGUAUAAUACGUAUCGGGAACCGGGCGUUAGAUAUUGGUUGUAUAAUCAUUUGUCUGCUGUAUGUAUAUUAUCUGAUAUAUGUCAACAUGUUACAUUAGGGUUGAGACUACUGCUUUGUGCUAUCAGUCAACAGAGAGUGGCAAUCCAAGCAGGAUGUUAUGGGCCAGGGUAAUCCAACCGGGAGGUUGUGGACACAACAUGCUAAUCUAUGUAUUUUAUAUGUUGCAUGAUGGUACUUUGGGAUCACUCACUAAGCUUUAGCUUAUAGGUUCAGUUUAUUGUUUCAGGUACUUCUGAUGAUCGCGGUAUGACGAAGGUAUAAUCAUGCACAUCUUCCUGCGUUGUGUUAUUGGGUCUUAGGAAAAACUCUAAUUUGAAUAAUACUUUUGAAGCAAUGACUUUUUUAAACAAUGUUGGUUAAUGGUUGAAAUUUAAUUUUUUAAAUUUCUAUGAUUUUUGGAGUGUUACAUUGGUUUUGGUUUAUAACCGAUCUAAACCCCCACACACGCUUGUUAAUCAUCAAAGAAGAAUCUAAUUAGGACUAACUGUGUUCAACAAUAACAACCAUAGGGUGUUAUAAAUCCAUUACCUCAAAUGUAGGAAUCUUUUAAUAUCGAAGAACGUUAAUCAAGAUAAAUUAAUAAUGAUCGUAACAUCCUGUUUAUUAAAUAAAUAAAUAGAUAAAAAUUUGAUGAAAGAAUAGUCGCCCUAAAUUCAUAUUAUUUAGUGGGGCGCUGGUUUUGGGGAGCCGAAUGGUAUAAUUUGGAUUAUUCGGAGGUUAAAAGUGUAAGUUCUAGAUUUAAUUUGAAAAUGAUUUUAGAAGUCAUGGUGUGUUUAGUAAUUAAUGGACUUAAAUAGAAAGGAUUUGAUGGCUUAAGGGGGUGAUUGGUAAUUUCGGGACCUAUUAUGAAACGACUUUCAGAGAGAGGGGUUAAAGGGGUAAAUUUCUGAUUCAUUUUGAAAAGAUUAAUAGAGGGAAGGCUACUGUUGUUAUUAUGGGGAGAAGUUUUAUGGGGAUUGGGGUAUAAGACCUGUCAGCCCGGUAAACCCUAAACCUAGCCAUGUGUCCCAGCCGCCGCCACCUUAUACCCCCCCCCCNNNNNNNNNNNNNNNNNNNNNNNNNNNNNNNCUCCGGCGCCGCCGCCAUCAUCCCGUUUCCGAUCAGCGAGCUGCCGAGAAGCUACUCCAUUGGACUUCUGCCACUCUUCUCUUAUCCUUCUUCAGUCGUUGCCAUGUGAGGCCUCAUCCACCACCCGCUACUUCAUCGUUGGAGUGCUACCACCACUGUCGGUGCACCAUUGUUGUCGCUGCUGUUGAGGCCAAGGAUGAAGACGGAUGUUGGGACGUCGGGAAUGAAGAAGAACAAGCCACAAGUCGCUGUAACGUUGGUUGUAGCGCUGCUGCUCCGCCACUGCCCAUUUCCGUUAAAGACAAGGUCGUCACUUGUUUCUCGUGGAUGGCUUAGUCGGAGGUGUCGUUCGUUUCCGUGUGGUGCUGUUCCUCCGUGAGCUGCUGCACUGGUGGUGCUGCCACUGUUGCCGUUAGUGUUGCUGCCACUCUCUACCGUUGUCGCCGUACGCCACCAGGUGGGUGGCAGGGUUCUUUUGCGAAUGAAAACAGUUUGUUUGUGUGUGUGUGUUGUAUGUGGUGAUGUUUGGCCUGAAUUAACGAGAACAAUCACCACCACCUUCGUGAGGUGGUAGCUGCCACCAUGUACCACCACCGGCCACCACAAGGGUGGAUGUGUAUGUGUGUGUAUUGGCAUUUAUGUUGUAAAUUGUAAUUAGUGCUAGUGUAAUCAAAAGAAAAACUCAAAACCACCACCGUGAGGUGGUGGCUGCCGCCACCAGUCGCCGUGUUGGAUGGCGGUGUGCUCUGUUUAUAUUUAGACUUUGUUUGGGUUGGACAAAAUAGACUAGACCCAUAACCACCACCGUGAGGUGGUGGCCGCCGCCGUGAGCCGUCGUUGACCACCACUACACGAGGUGGUAGUGGGUGGUGCCUGACUUAGGAACACCCUAAUUGUCUUAAUGAAACCUUAAUGGGCCUAAGGACUUAGCUUUUGGGCUUAAUUGGAUUGUAAUGGGUUGGAAACCCUAAUUAGGGUUUAGAAAACCCUAAUUUUGGAAUUAUUGGUUUGGACUUAUCGGGACCCACAUUUGGGACCAUUGGAGUGAUGACUCAAGCCCGUUUUCAUUGUAUGCUUGGACUUAAUGGAUUAAUGUAAUGACCAAAAUUCUCUAUGUUAGUGAAGUUGGUUUUCCGUUACAUAGAAUUAAGUCGUACAUGCGUCUAGGAUGUGAGAUUAGACCGGUUUAUAUAAAAAAAAAUAAUAAAUAAACAAAAACAUAUUUUUUAACAUUUUAAGAAUUUAAUAGGGAUUAAAAUAAUUUAUAAGAUUUAGUUAAUAAUUAUAAUGAGCUAAAGAUAUUUAAGUAAUAUUACGAGUUAAAUAAAUACUCAAAUUAUUAAAAAGUGGCUUAUUUUAUGUGUAAAUUAAUCAAAUUAAACGACUAUAAAGAAAUAAAAUAAAAGAAAAGGUAAAGUAUAUAUAAUAUGGCCAGGGUUAAUAAUGAAUUGAGUAUAAAAGAUCAGGGACUAUAACUGUAAAUUGGAAUUCAAUCGGUGAAUUGAAUUCUAUAAGCUCGUUACCACUGAUAAUAAAUUUGUUUUAAUUAAUUCUAUUCGAUUGCCGCAACCUAUGUUCUUCUUAUUCGUUUCCGUUACCAGGCAACUUAUUCGCCUUGCCGAUUACACCUUCUCUUUAGGGUUGCCAUAUUUGUGUCGACCAGAAAAAAAGAGAGAGAAUUGAGUGUGAGAGAGUGUCUGCGUGAGAAGGAAUGAACGAGGCUCACAUCCUACUGCUAUUAGAUCGAAACAAGGUAAGCUCUUGAUCCCGAAAACCUGUCAUGUUUUUUUUGUUCAUCAAUGGCUUAUUGUGAAUAUCUUGCUGCCAAAAUACUUGUUUUUAGAAGCCACACAAACCCGUGAACUACUUCAAUUCAUCUCUGUCAAGCCUUAGGGAUGAAGCACCCAUGUUUGAGUCGUGUCGGGCUUAGUCGAGACAACCCCAUAAGCCAUCAGAACACCAGAAUCACAUUUUGGAAUGGUGUCUUCUCUAAAGCGUAGCCUCAAGUCCCUUAGACGCUUUGUUAAGGCUUUGAAACAGAAGCAGGGGAAGCUAUAUGUGUUCUUUCGCAAUUUUAAUGCAUGCCUCUGAAUUGCUACCGGACAAUCAAAAUAGACUAAUGCUUGAUGGAAUAUGAUAGUUACAGACAUAAUGGUUGUAUAGUUUCACUAAUGACUAAUUCAUAUCUAGACUUAGCUAUUUAAAUCAAUAGAAAGAGUCUGGAUAACAUAUUUCAUGAUAAACACUUAAAGAUUAAUUCAUCGUCUUGUGUUAAUGUAUGUAAUUCCAUAAAAGUUAAGAUGUUAAAAAAAUGGAUUGCCUACGUAAUAUUGUCUAAUUAGAAGUCUACUUCACACUAGGGUGUCUUAUAAAUAUAUGAGUGUAAUUUAUAAAAGAGUUUCAGUAUUAUAAAAAGUGAUUUAAUCACUAAUUAUAUGUCAAGGAGCAUGAUAUGAAAUAGUUGAUUAAAAGCAAUUGAUUACAAAUCAGUGUCAUCGGCUAUAAGGCUUCCUUAUGGUUAGUUAACAUUACAUUAUUCAUGAUACAACUUAAUUAUACUAUAGAUUAAAAUUGUCUAUCCUUAGCUACAGUAAAUAUGCUAAGGAUUUGGCAAAAAUGAUCCUCCAUCUAUAUGGGUAUUUAUAAUUCUGGAUCAUUUCUUUUAAGAGGUUAUAAUUUGCUAUUUUCUAUAUUUUGUGUAUACGUGUCGUUCUUUUUACUGAUCAAAGGUUUGAUCGUGUGCGUGUCAUGGACACGCGUUUUUUUCCUGUGUUUAUUAUCGAUCACCCUAUUCUUUUCAUCUGCCCACCGCCCUUACUUCCAACAUAUAUUCCACCGGCUUCCUCAUUCAUUUUUUCAUUAUCCCACCCCUUCAUUGACUAACUUCACCAACUGUGUUAUUCUUUCUUUAAAGAAGCUCAUCGGUUCCUUAUAUGUUUUUUUCAGGGCCUAUGUUUGUUGGAAUCCUUACGCUUGCUGACGUCUUUUGUGAUUAAGGGAUAAUUUUGUUCCUGGUUGCAUAUUUGAGUCUCAGGCACUCACUUCCUUUCUCUUUCUCUGUUUUCUUUCUACUCAUGGCAUCUCUAAUGGCAUUCUAUUACCGUGUUUGUAGGUUUACGCUUCGAAUUGUGUGAUUUUGUAUUUUUCAUUUCCGCUUUCGCUCUUGAAGAUGAGUAGUAGAAAUCGAUUGGAUGGUGAUUACAAAUACCUCUUGUCAUAUCGAUUUGAUUGUAAGUAUCUCACCUCUAAUUUGUUUUCUUUUUUUGGACUUUGUUGUUUUUUCAAAUAACACUUCUUACCUUCUAAAGCUCGGUUUCAUACACUUCUAUCACUUUUCUGUUAUCAAAGCUUCUUGACUAUGGUAAAUAUGGAAAAUCCUGUGACAUGUAUGUUUAUGCCCACAAAGUGUUUGAGGAAAUGCCUUUUGUGUUUAGGUGCCUGAUUGUUAUUCUGUUGAGUGUAUAAUUUCACAAUAUUGCGUAAAUUUUUAUUAUUGAGGCUCAACUGUGUAACUUGAACUGUUUUAUUGUAGUCUUACGGUUCUCUCCGUUCGAGGCAACAUACGACACUCACAUUCCACUACGCUGAAGCAUGAGACUUUCCGAUUUGUUGGUCUUGCCAAGUAGAUUCAGAUAACAUUUUCUUUCCAUAUAUUCUUCUAAAAAGCAGUAAUUUAUGAAAUUCUCAUUCUACAAUCCAGAAAACUGUUAAAAAGGAGCUUGAAAAUCUCCAAAAAGAUUAAUACUUUUAUUGAUUUGGCUAUUACCAGUGCUUUUUCAAGGGAAAUUAAAACAAUCAAAGGGAAUUUUCUACAAAAUACGUAAAUAUGUUAAUAGCUGUGUGUUUUUUAUUUUUUUUUUUGAUAGCUAAUUAGCAUUGAAGUGGUAGAAUGAAUUGGUUAUUAUUUACCCAUAUACCAGAUUAUGUCAUCUCUCUAUAUGUUUGGAAUGUUUGUGGGUUUGAUAUGUUUGCUGCUACUGUCACACCACAGUUGAAAAAACAUAUUUCCCUGCUAAAGGGGUUGUGUAAUUGUGACCAUUUUACAGUUUUGAUUUCAAAAUUAUAUUAAAAAAUUUAAAUUGCAAUCAAACUCAUAACAUGUGCAUGUUUGACUGAUUGAGUUGUCCUACAUCUCAAAAAAUCAGGGAACAAUCGACGGUGUUGACAUUAAGCCAACUUCAAAUUCGUGGGUCACAGUAACUGGAGGUAAUUUUCUUUCUUGAAUGCUUUUGGUUCACCUGUCAAUUUUAGUAUUUAUUUGAAGUAUAAUUUGUGUUUUGUAAUGUAAUAAUAUACUCUCACACAGAAGUUUUUAAAGCAGUGCUAUAUAGGAAAAAAUUAUUAAACUUCUACAAAGGGCAUUAGCAAAGUUAUGGGAUAAAACUUUAAACGGCCUAAAACAUUAACAAACUGUGAAACAGGGAAGACAAAAUUCAAUGGUUUUUAAAGAUUUUUGUUUUUUGGUUGUCUACGUUAACGAUCCUGCUGUUAAAAUGUUAUGAUUAUGACUAUUUUGUCCUUCCUUUCAUUACUUUCUGAAGGUGGUAAAGAAAAGGGAUAUAAUCCAAGGGUAAAAUGGUCAAUUUACAAAUUUCACAGCUGUGAUGUUAAGUUAGAUGGCCUAGGGAUGAAACACAUUACCAAACAGUGACAUAUGAAAUUUUUGUACGACGUUAAAGUUUCAUAUCUAUAUUUCAAAAAAAAAAUUCAUUUGCAAUUUUCAUCUGUAGUUCCCUGUUUUUGACUAUUUAUUGCCUCUUUUAUAUUGUGAAAAUUAUGUUUGGGUUGUUGUUUAUGAGGUAAUUGGUAUUGAUGUCAAUACAUAACUUUCAAAAGUGUUAUCUGCCAUACAGGAGAAUUUGGGAAAACAAGCACAUAAGCAAGAAAAAAGAAGGGAAGGUCAUAAUGUAAAAAGAGAAGGUUAUGACGAUGAGAAUUUAAUUUUGCACCUUCAACUUUAGUCACUUUCAUCAUUUUUAAUGACUCAUAGUUUCUUGCCAUUCUCAGUCUAUUUUGAUUUUUAGAUAAACUUAUUUUAUUGAAAACUUUUUUGUAUUAUCAAGGAACAUCAUUCGAUAUCUCAACUGAAAAUUAUGAUAACAACAUUACUAGAUGAGGUUGUUUAUGAAUUUUUAGCUAUAUAUUUUGCUGCUAAAAAAAAGAUAAGAAUACCUUGACAUUCUGACCCUCGCGAAGCGAGGCUCACCCUCUAGUUAAUAUUAAACCAAGGUGAUUUGUAAUUUAUAAACUACGAUAGACUUAUCUAAUCAAUUAAUAUGACAUAAACUAAAUAUAGUUUAAUAUUAAUCAUGUUUAUCUUAGCCUAAACUAAAUAAAUAUAUACUUUUUGUUUAGGUAUUUGUUGAGUAAAAGAGCUACGAAUUCACGUUUUGAAGUGAUUUCACUACCGAACUAAAGGUGAGUCAAUAGACUUUUCAUAAACCCUAUAUAUAGUCGAAAACUACUUUCCGAAAAUGGCUCGAUUAGUCAAAUUAGAAUAUUAUUAAUUGUUGAUAUUAUGCCUAUAUGUGCAGUAUGAGAUAUGCCAUUGUUUUGCUUUCUGUGACAUUUACAUGCUUAGUAAAUUUGGUUUAUAUGUCUAUCUUGGUACUUGAUACGAUUAAUUGCAACUAUGAUAUGCUAUAUGAAAUGUUUGAUAUUUGACUAUGACCUUGUUGAGUAUCUUUUAGUAUAAACUAGGUUACAACCCGUGGAAACCAUGGGUAAAAAAUUUAAAAACAAAUUUAUAUUAUUAAUAAGAGUUAAGAUUGUCAAUCCUUUUGUAUUGAUUAUUUAAAAUUAAAAUUAAUACAAAUUUGUAAAAAAGUAUAUAAAUUUGAAUAUAUGUUAAAUAGAAACGCAAUCAAUCCAUCGAAAGUUAAAUAUGAAUAUAACUAAAAUGCAUCUUUGAAUAUGUGAAUGAUUUAUGAAGUGUGAGGGCAAAUCAUUAUUUUUUGUAAUGAGGGAGCAAUCAAGAAACACCAUGUGGCGUCUAUUAAAGUCUGAAAAUCAAAUAUCGAAACGAACUGAAUAUUAUGGAUUACAAUUACAAUGCUAUAUAAAGAAUAAAUUAUUUAAAAAAAAAAUGUUACAAAAAAUAGAAAAAAACACAAUUGUUAGAAGUUAAUGGGUACGAAGCAUUUAUAAAUUCCUAAAAACUUCCUUAUACACAACAUUUGAAGUUUUGUUUGUAAGUCUACCAUCCUUAUCUAAAAUUAACAAUUUCAAUCCUUCUCUACUUUGAACUCUAGAUAAGGCAACAUACUGUUGUCCAUCUGAAAAAAGGAUCCUUGAGAUACAGACCAACCUUUAAUAACGACUGGCCCUGACUUUUAUUAAUUGUCAUUGCAAAACAUACAGCCAAUGGAAAUUGUCUUCUUUGAAAUUUGAAUGGAAUUUUCUUUCCAGAUGGACUUAAAGACAUUCUUGGAAUAAAUGUUUGCUUUCCAAUAUUAGUUCCAGAUAUGAUAAUUGCCUCAAUAACACGUUUGCCCAGAGAUUUCACUUGUAGUCUAGUGUCGUUUCAUAAUCCAUUUUUCUGAUCAAUGUUUCUUAGUAACAUAACUGGAACACCGACUUUUAGAAUUAACUUGUGAUUUGGCAAACCUGAUACUUUAAGACCAUUUAAAAUAUCCUGGGAGUAUAAAUUGGGAUCAAACUGAUCAUGAACAAACUCUGAUUGGCAAAGAGUAUCUGAACUUAAAUAUUCUACUUCAUCUUCGGGAAACAAUGCUAGCAAACGAUCAUUGAUUUGUUGGACAACUUCAUUUUUUGGAGCUAGUAUAGCUCUUUCUUGAAAAUAACUCGUACCGUUGAAUUUUUCAAAGAUUGAAGGAUAUACAAACUCAAUUAAUGAACCUAUAGGAUCAUGUGGAUCAUUAAUGAGAAUAUCAUUCGGAACAUCAAUAAUCGAUUCACCAUCCUUCAAACCACCAACUUUUCCUUCUCCUAUGUCCAAAAGCCAGUUUGCAAAAUUAUGUAUUUUUUGAAUAUCAUAUGGAUCCUUUCCAACGGUUAGUCUCAUCUUUUUUGUUAAUCUAUGGACUUUGCAUUGUUGCCAUAUAUAUGAAGAGCUUAAAGAAGCAUUAACGAUAUUUUGUCUGCUACCUCCUUGAACAACAGGUAGAAUCUGUCUAAAGUUUCCUCCAAAAACAAUCGCUUUCCCUCCAAAUGGAAUAUUUGAGUUGGUAGACUUAUCAAACUUACAUACAUCUCUCAGAGCUCGAUCUAAAGCUUCAAAUGCAUGUUUGCGGACCAUAGGUGCUUCAUCCCAGAUAAUCGAUGAGCUUUUUCUUACUAAUCUGCUGAGUUCACUAUCAGGCGGUAUCUUACAAACAGAAUACUCCGUAAGAUUCAACGGAAUUAUAAACCGAGAGUGUGCUGUCCUACCUCCAGGCAAUAAUAAAUAUGCAGUACCACUUGAAGCAACAUUUAAAACUAUAUCACCAUUACAUCUAAUUGCUGCAGAUAACGUCUUCCAAAGAAAGGUUUUGCCUGUUCCACCAUAUCCAUAAACAAAAAACACACCUCCUUUAUUAUCAUUGACUAUAGUCAUGAUAUCAAGAAAAAUAUUGCUUUGCUCGUUUGUUAAUGCAUGAAACAUACUAUCAAACUCUUUCUUUAAAAGCGGUAUGUCAUACUCUAGCUCCUCCAUGAUAAAUCGAUUUGUUGAAGAAGAAACUGUAUCGAAAUCAGGGUAAGGCCUUUGUUUAUAAUUUUUAAGACUGGUGUUGUUAUGAAGUAAAAUCUGUUCGAUCUCGAACAAAGUCAGGUUUUUGAGUUGAUCCUUAUUGAGUGAUAAACCUGUAUAAAAUGAACAAUAUGUCAAAAAGAAUAUAAUAUUAAACAGUUUAAUGGUAAUAAAAAAAUUAUACCGUGCAUAUUGAUAAUAUAUAGUAUCCGUUUUUACAAAUACUGAUAGGAAAUUAUAAUACCUGGAGACUUUAAUCUACGCUGUUGGUUGUAAAGAAUACCAUCCGACAAGUGUUGCCAUGUAUUUUCCCAAACAAACUCUGGUCUACCCAAACUGUUAGACAUUAACAUCGUAGCAAAUAAGAAACGAAGAUAAAAACCAGUUCCUGAAUGACUUGCUUCCUUAAUUGCAUCAACGUAUUCUUUGUCAUCAUCUAAGAGGCCCAAAGCAUAGCAUGCAUCUCGAAAAGUAGGAAAUUCUUCACCGUUUACCGUGCGAAUUUCUUCAAAUGAUUUUGGACCUUUCACUUUAUUUAAAAGAAUCCGUAAGAAGUAGACUUCGCCAAGUUUAGGUGAAACAGAGUGAAUCCUUCCUAUUGAACGUCCAAUUUUCCUUGGCUUCCACAACUUAUCAUCAGGUUUCCAAACAAACUUUGUAGGAAAUUCAACAUAUGUAAGUUUUCGUGCAUCUUUAUUAAUUUUAUUACAUUCCAUCCAAGAUGUGAACAUAGAAGCAGCAACUGAAGGUUGUUCAAGAACAUCGUCAAUAUCAUCGUCUGCAGCAUAUAUGACUUGUUGUUGAUCAGGAAGAUAAAAAGGUAGUCGCAUCACAGAAGGAUAUCGGUAAUGGACAUCGUAUUUAAAUAUUCGCCAUGAUGCUUCACAUGCAGAUAUAUAUCUACAAUCAUAAUAAUCUUUUAUUUCAUCGACAACCUUUUCGUGAUUAGAAUCAGCGUUGAUGUCAUCAACAAUUAUAGCUCUAUCUGGACCUUUGUUUAUAUAUUUAAACAUAUACUUUAUGGAAGAUCCCUGAUUGCACCAUUCAACAUUAAUGUGUGCCUGAUAUCUUUUCAACAUAUAUUUGUUAUAUGGAACAACAUUUCUGUUGUCUAACUUGACACCUGAUUUUUCGACAAAAUAUCCAUUGUUUCUUCUCAUAUAUAAGGGAUAACCGUUGACAUCAACCGAAGAAUGAUCACAUAAUUGCUUUGGAAAAUUUUUCGAACAUUGCUUGUCAACCAUGCAUGGACAAUUCAUAUUUUCCAGCUCCAUAAGGACCAUGUAUCAUGAAUUCACUUACAAGUGAAUACAAUUCUGGAUCUUCAUUGAUAUUUGGAAUCUCAGCAGAAAUAAUCGGAUCAAUAUAUUCAACAGUAGGCCGCUUGGAGUCGGCAUGCAUAAACAAACAAAUAUGACUAUGUGGCAAACCUCUUUUUUGAAAUUCAAUUGUAUAGACCACUGCAAAUUAAUUUUAUAAAUAAGAUAAUCUUUGUACUGGAUGAAAUAUAUUUGCAAAUAACAAAAAAUAUUAAGAAACUAAAUAAUCAUUAUAAAAAAAUAUUAGAAAUAAAUACAACUUUUAAUACCUCCUUGUACAAUGUCGAAAAUUUUAUUUUCCCGUAUGUCUUUAAUCAAAGCAUCGAGAUUUAUUUUGAAUAACCUACAUAAGAUAUCAGGUCAAUCUUCUGGAUGUAGUGAAGUGUUAUGAAGAAACCUUUUAACUUUAGGCCAUUUUGGAUUACAUGUAAAGGUUAUGAAGAAAUCAUGAUAUCCAAUCCAUUUACAUAAGGACAUGGCAUCAAGGUAGUUUUACAUCAUAUAACGUGCACCACCAGUGAAUGAAGAAGGUAAGAUUACACGUUGUCCAACAUUGGAUAUAUCUUUAUUCCCUAGGUCUUGUUGAUUACGUAAAUUUUCAUAAGACUCACAUCUAAGAAUUUGUUGUUUGCUCCUUAUGAAAUGUAAUCUCUCACUUUCAAUCAUAGUAUAAGCAUCAACCAAAAACUGUUGGAACAACCUUUUUGAAUUAAUAAUUAGUGAAAAAUAUUGAUCCCUGUCUUGUAUUCUAUAAGAAAAAAAUUCUCUCAUUGUACAGUUGGGCCUCUUGCUGUUGCUUAUUGGUGUAAUACCUCGAUGUGGUAUGUCAACCCUAUAACCAUCAUCACCAUAUGGAAACAGUAGUGGAUUCUGAAAGAGGAAGGUAUGAUGGAUGUAAUUUACUAAUACGCCGUAGAGAACCUGAUGAAGUUUGAACAACAAUAUAUCUUUUAUCAAUUGAAUCACCAAUAUCUCAAAUAAUUAAAGCGGCAACCUCAGAAGCAGAUGGUAGGUUGUAUAUCCUUCCAUCUUGGUCCCUGAUUCCAAUAAGUCUCAACUUGAUAUCAACAUGAGGUUUUUGAUGAAAACAAUCCCUAACCAUUCUAUAAGACUGAACCAAGACAUUAUUUGAAUCCAACAUCAACUUCAAAUCUUGUAUAAUAUCAUUAUCAAGGACAGAAGAAUUUGAUGUAGAUCGUUGAUUCUCUCCACUACAAGUAACAUGAACAUAUAAACAUAAGAUAAAUAAAUAAUAUAAUGUUGAUGAAUAAGAUAUCUAUUAAUGUGAUAAUUGUGAAAAGUGUACCCAAAACAUGUUCGUCUAUUCGCGAUCUCAUUAUCAGUAUCGUAUAUGUACAACUGAGAGAAUUUUGGUUUUAACCCCUGUUCCGGUAAAAGGCUUCCGAUACUAUGAUAAUUUUGACCGCUAAGUCUAAAAAUGUAUGGAGCAUUUCCUCUAUUGAUUGAGGAAUCAAUCUUUCCACCCAUUGACGUAAAAGAAAACAUAGAAUUGUAAGAACGAAUGUUCUUCAUGAAGUGUUUGCUUUUAGAAUCUCCCGAUGUAAAAAGAUGAACAUAACUUGAAGGUGAAUUCUUUAAAGCUGGUAGUUCUACUUUGCCAUAACCACAACAUAAACAAUAAUUUUGAUUCGACUUUUUUUUUUUUACAUCUGAUAGAUUCAUCUUUCCAUAAUUUUGCAAAACAUGUUUGGUAUACAACAAUCUGAUCACCAUGAUCCAAAUAAUCUGUCAAUUAAGGUUGACAUAAAAAUGUUAAUCAUGUAAGUUUAUAUAAGUGAAAAAUAUUGAAUGAACAAAUGUAAAUAUUAUAUUUUUAUCAAAAUUACCUUUUGAUAUACCGUUGUAUAUGUUUUGAUCAUUUUGGCCAUCGAUUUUGUCUUGAUCGGAUCUCAGACCAAAUAUUGGAAUAGGAGUUAAAUUUGGCAUUUUUUUCUUUGCUUUAUUAUUUGGAUUAGUUAACAUGACUGAAGACGAUUUUGAUGUUAUUGUAGAUGAUUUGUCGGAUGUGUCGCCAUUUGAAAAUACAGAGAAUUGUCUAAUAUUUGUUAACGGCGAUUGACAACUAUUAUUGAAAAUAUCCAUGGCUGGGGGAAAAAUUGAAAGUAUGCAUUGUUAAAUAUGAUACAAUAAUAAUAUAUAUUAUAAAAUAAAAUGGUAAAAUAAAUGAGUUACCGUUGGAAAUGUUAGAUAACGGAGUUCUAACAUUUAAAUGUGAAGGAGGAGUUUGUAACAUUGCUUGUUUUGUUAUAUAUGCACUUGUUUUAGAUCAGAAUGUGCUUUUAUUUCGAUGUACAACUCCUUUGAAUUCAUAUACAAAAAAAUGGUUAUGAGAAAUGUAAAAUUGUUUAAUAAUUAUUUUAAUAUUAUAUAAAUAUGAAUAUUGAUAAAGAGAUUAUAUAAAAAGACGAUGAUGUAAUAAAUUUUAUUACAUAUAUUUAAAAAAAACUUAAAAAGUUUAAAAGCAAUCAAGUAUGUUACCGUUUGAAUCCAAUCUGAUGUUUGGUAACGGUGUCUGAAAACUGUUAUUUGGAAUAUCGAUGACUGAGAAAAGAAGAUUGAAAUGUACAUUAUCAAAUAUGAUACAAUAACAACAUAUAUUAUAAAGUAAUAUGGAAAAAUAUAUGAAUUACCAUUGGAAAUGUUAGAUAACGGAGUUCUAACAUUUAAAUGUGAAGGAGGAGUACGUAACAUUGGUUGUUUUGACAUAUUUGUUGUUGAUGUAGAUGUGGAUACGCUUUUAUUUCGAUGGACAACUCCUUUGAAUUUGAUUGGAAAAAAAAUCUUAUAAGAAAUGGAUAAAUUUUAAAUAAUCUUGUAAAUUUUUAAAUAGUAUAUGAAUAUUAAUAAUGAUAAAUAGAUUAUAUAAAAAAAUGUGGAUGACAGAAUUUUUAUUUUACAAAUUUAAAAUAGAAAAAAAAAGUGUAUAAGCAAUCAAGUAUGUUACCGUUUGAAUCCAAUCUGAUGUUUGGUAACGGUGAUUGAAAACUGUUAUUGGAAAUAUCCAUGACCGGGAAAAGAAGAUUGAAGGUAUACAUUAUUAAAUAUGAUAAAAUAAUAAUAUAUAUUAUAAAAUAAAAUGGUAAGAUAAAUGAGUUACCAUUUGAAAUGUUAGAUAACGAAGUUCUAACAUUUAGACGUGAAGGAGAAGUUUGGAAAUUUGAUUUUUUUGACACAUUGGCACUUGAUGUAGAUGCGGAUAGGUUUUUAUUUCAAUGCACAAUUCCUUUGAAUUUGUCUGCAAAUAAAAAAAUUGUUAUAACAAAUGGAUAAAUUUUAAAUAAUAAUGUAAUUUUUCAAAUAUUCUAUGAAUAUUAAUAUACAAAAUACAUGACACAAAAAAUGAGCAUGUAAGAAUUUUCAUUUUACAUAUUUAAAUAAAGAAUAAAGAAUAAAAGUGUAUAACCAAUUAAGUAAAUUACCAUUUCCCUUCAUUUUAAAAAGAUGUGAUGUUGAUGAAGUUGUAUGAAUUCAUUCGGUCAUAACUUUUUUUUUAUUGUCCAAGUAUAAUUUUCUUAUUUUUCUUUUUUCUGUAGCCUGAACAUGAUAGAUGUUCCUAUUUGAAUCUGUAUAAGCAUAUAUACACACAUAAAAUAGUUAUAUUCAGAUUAAAAACAUUGAUAAAGAAAGUUGUAAAAUAUAUAAUGAACGUACUGUUAUCACCUGGGUUAGUAACAUUUGUAGAAGAUGGAAUUCGACCGACUGAUGUAGUGUACAAAGGUAAUUGUUUUGUAUUAUCCAGAUAGAAAUUAUUUAAUUUUAUCUUCUUAUUAGUCUUAAAAGAGUCCAUGUUAGUAGCUGCUAUCUGAAAUGGAAAAAGAAAUAUAACUUUAUACAAAAACAUUAUAUAUUGAAAAUUAUUUUCAAAUUUAAGAAUAAAUAAAUAAAUAUUUCAAAUUUAAAAUAGUAUGCAAUAAACCCAAAGAAAAGAAAGUAUUAUGUAUUAUUGAUGUGCACAAAAGUACCCACUAAUUUUAAUAUUUAUAACCUAACAAACUUAGAAUAACUAUGCACUUAUAGGCAGUGUACCUAGUCAGAUUACAAUAUAGCUUAGGUAAGUCGGGUGUCGAUCACAGGGAACGGUGGUGAAUUAAUUUAAUAUAUUUGAUUAUAGGUUACAGGUCACAUGAAAAGAAUAAAGAAAUAGUUUAAUAAAUCUCAAACUAACAAUUAAUUAACAACUUUGGAUAAACUAACUGGAAAGCAAAUCUCUUCAGGUACUUUGGUUUAGAUAAAUUACACCUUAAAAAACAUAGACAAUUGUAUACACAAGUUCAUUUAUUCAUGUUCACCGAUUCCUAAAAUGAUUAGAUUCGCGUUCACUAUAACUAAUCCUUUAGCAAACAAGUCAAUUCAAACAGUGAUCAGUUGAUUAAACUAACAUGCUUCCUAGUGUUCAGUUCGUAUCAAGCAAGACUUGUAAAUAUAGUUAAUCAAAUUACUAAUUCAAUUUAACCUCUUGUUGAUGGUCAUCAAACAAGGCUCACACAUUAACUUACUUAUUCCCAAGUUAAUCCUAGUUUCACAUUCGUUAUUCCUAGACUUAUAAUCUCGAUGGUCAUCAAAAUCAUAAGAGACAAGCAAUCAAACAGAUGUUCAUAUAACUCAAUUUACUUAACAAUUAACAUCAAAUAAUUAUCAUUAAUACGUAAGGAUCUUUUAACAAGCUUGGCAAGAUAAAUUAAACAUAAACAAACAAUUCAAUAUAGCAAUUAGUCUAAUAAUCAAGGUUUCAUUCAAUCAUAAACACAAAGUAAAAGGUUUUUACACCCAAAUCAGAAACUAAAUACAGAAUAGUAACACAAUGGAAUGCUAAACAUGGUCACGUUAACAACCCAUAUGAUUACCGACAUGUAUCCACUCUCCAACCCUUCCGAUCUUCACUCCUGUUAGCUUAACGGCCUUCCGGCCGCCUUCUAGACCCUCAAAACGGCUUAACAGAAGUUUAAUAUCGACUAAAUUAGGUUGGAAGUCGAAUCCCCCCUUCUGGUUAGCUGAUAAUCGACUUUUAUAACCUUUGUAACCGACUUACGUACGCUGGGCGUACUAAGGGUUUAUACGCGAUUGGAGUUAUCCGAUGCCAGCCGUUACGUGGGGCAUACACAAGAAUUACGCUGGGCGUAACUCGUCUUAGCCAUUACGCUUGGCGUACAAGUAAAUUACGCGGGGUGUAAUCGUUCCUCCAGCAUUUUCCUUUCUUUUAGCCUCUAAGCCUGAUUUCCGCUUCAGUCUUUUCUUUUGUGCUUUAUCGACAACGAAUAGCUGCAAAUCAUAAUUUAAAGCAUUAUGAGUACUUUUUAGUUCUAAAAGAGAAUAAUAAAGGCCAAAAUAUUAAGAUAUAAUGCAUAAAAAUAUAUAUAAAAAUACACAUAUCCAAAUACCCCACACUUAGUCUUUGCUUGCCCCCAAGCAAAUUUUAAUUUUAUUUUACCAUUAUCGCAUUAAACAAUCCAUUUAAAACUCAACCAUUAUGCCAAGACCUCAACGCAUGCAUUUGUGUCUAAAAUUUUCCUAAAAUACCCCCCUACUUUAAAUACUCACAAUCUUCAUAAACACUUGCCCACUUUUUACGAACAAUGCUCAUUUUAUGCAACCCUCCGAAUCCAUCCGCAGAAAACCUCCUUAUCCUCAAGGUAUUUUCCUUGAUAAUUUGAUCUUUGAUUUCUUUGAAUUCACCAUCUUAUUUGAAUUGAUUUCUGGUAUCUUCAACUUUUUUGAAUUUCUUGGAAUUUUGAUCUAAUUCUUCACUUUAUUCGCUCCAAAAUUCUUCAAACUUUUCUUGCAAUUCUUUUUUUUUUUCUUUUAACAUGUACCUCACUUUUUUCACUCAAAACCUACAAGCUUAAGCAGAGGCGCUCAACCUCAACCUUUAUCGGUUAACGAUAAUAAUUUUCCUGGAUACAUUUCAGGUUUAGGCUGCUAAACAUAUUGCAUCCCUCAAACCAAGCGGGGUUAUGUUUUUGUUCCAUGAUUUCACUAAAAUAAGGGAGGCCACAAAUGCACUAUAACGUAUAUUGGCUCAACUAAACAUUUGAGUUCUCAUCGGAUCAUCUCAUACAAUAUUAGCAAAAUUUAAAUUAUCACUAGAUUUUUCUAAAUUAAACUAUUAUUUCAAGUUUUAAAAUUUUUAAAUUUCCUAAAUCUAGCAAUUUCCUAACUAUUAUUUUAUUUUUAUAAUUUACUAUUACCGACCCCCUACCCCACACUUAUUUCAUACAAUGCCCUCAUUGUAUGCUAAAACGAAUUAAGAACAUAAAAAGGGAGAAAAAGGAACAGACUCCCCUGGGUAGUUGUGGCGAGAUCGAAUGGGGCUGCUACAAGUUGCUCCAAAUAUCGCUGAAAGACUGAAAACUGAACUGCUGCUUCUGAAUUUGUCGAAAAAUAAAAUCAAGACUGCCGACUUCAAAAAAUGUGGUGCACAAUAUUGCAAGUAAAUGCAAUGUGUAGUAACCAUGACGUGGGAAAGUGUUGACCACAUCAUGUCUUCAAAAAUGACAUCCUCUUCUCGCGAUGAAAAAUCCUCCACAGCAUAGGAAAGUGUCAGCCAUGUCGUGGCAGCCGGGAUGAUACGUCUUCCUCGCGUCAAAAUAGAACUCUAUGGUGUGGGAACAGCUCAUCAUACCAUAAAAGGUAAAAUAUCGUAAAAAUGCCAAUCGUCUAAAUGAACGCUCACGAAAUCAAUAUGCACCCCACACUUAUGACAAAUUGUGGGUCUUGACUAUACUUUUCGAACUCUCACACGACUCUCUCUAGCAACAGUCGGACCUAGCUGCUAAACUUACUGCCAGCUUUCUAAGGGCGAAAAUUCUGCAGAGAUCUAAACAACCAAAGAGCAUCAACAUGGAAAACAAAAAUAGAACAUCCUAAAUUAAAGUUUAAUUACAUACCAAAUAAAAAACUAAAACUAGAAACACAAAAAUAAACUAAAAAUAACAUAAAAAUAAAAAGGAUAACUAAAUCACUCAUCAUCUCCAUCAUCAUGCUGCUGUGUCCCAGAAGUACCGGCCCCAUCAUGUCGUGGCCGGAAUGGUGGAGGGUAAGGAACCGAGUACUGAAACCCCUAGUGGGAAAAGAAUACGGUCAACGCAUCCCCAUACCACUAUUGUUGCCUGUCCACAUGUGCAACAUACUCACUAAGGUUCUGAACCCUCAUGUCAAGACAGUCAAUGCCCUGAGCUAGGUAGCGCAUAUCAAUCUUCGGCUCAGGUCCCUGUUGCGCUCCCCGAGGAGCAGGUCUACGCUGCUGGACCCGUCUCGGCUGUGGCUCGGCAGCACCCUCCUCGUCCGCCACAUCAUCUGCUCGUACNNNNNNNNNNNNNNNNNNNNNNNNNNNNNNNNNNNNNNNNNNNNNNNNNNNNNNNNNNNNNNNNNNNNNNNNNNNNNNNUGAUCUCUCGUUAACAACUGAUAUGAUCGGGCUAGUCGCGUGAUAAAAUGCCCUCUGCACAUCGGGCUAUCCUCCCGAAGUCCCCUGGCCCUCUGUCCCAAAUAUGCAGCUAAAGCAACUGGAAGGUUCAGGUGCCUCCCUGGAGUAACAAGUGCCCAUAGGAAAUACAAGUCUAUCGAAGGCACUCUCUCACUAUUCUUAUGAUGCGUGAGAGUCAUGGAAAUCAACCGGUGCAACAGUCUAUAUGUAGUAGACCGAAUCAUCCUACCCCGUGCAGUAGAUGGCGUAUAAACUCCCCCUGUAAUCUCAGCCCAAAAAGUGUGCUCAUUAUAUUCAUCUGGCCGCUCCGUGAGACAAUCAGCAAGGAAUGUCGGGAAGUGGACACUCCUCGUCUCAUCUGCUGUGUAUAUACCCACUCAAGUCGCAAGCUCUAUGACACUGCACUCCCGACUCACACCCCCCAGUCUAAAGGCAAAAGUUGUCCUAUCAUCGGGUGCCUUCCUAGGAUCAUAGGAAACUGUAGCGUAAAACUCCAACAAAAAUUCCCGAUAAACAGGCUCCUGGAUCCUGAACAAUCGUGCCCACCCCUGCCAUACGAACAAUUCCACUCCAAUCGCGUCCGAGUGCGUGUAUUGCAAAAAAAUCCUGGAUCAGUGUAGCAAGUCCAGUCCAGGUCGCCAAUUCCCAGUCGAAUGAUGGUGCUAUGUCGAUCUCCUUGGUGAGCAGCAAACUCAAACUGUUGACAUAUCGUGCCCGGGUUGCAUCGUUCAGAGUUUGCGGAAAUUGUAAGAAACGNUCAGAGUUUGGGAAAUUGUAAGAAACGGUGAUCGGUCACAUCCUCGGGUGGGUUGGUCCUUUGAGUUCUUCGGGCCAUAAUCUGCACACAUAAACACAAAACCAAACAAAAUAUAACAGCAUUAAAAAAAUUUUAAACCAAAAAAAAAUGGUGCUGGAUAUGGACUGUACGCUGGGCGUACGUCCAGGUUCCACGAAUAUGUGUUCUGCUUCCUUUUCUUGUGCUAAAGUUAUAACCCAUAUCAAAAAAUUUCAAAUUAACCAACUGCAAGCAAUAAACACAGCAGGGCAAACACAUGGGGCAUAUCGAGCUUCGUGGUCCAAGACAGUAGAAAAACGGGACCACUCUAAAAAAUAUGAACCAUUCUCCUGUUCGUUCCUUAUCUUAUCAAGAUUAGAAAGCACUACAAAAGAAAAACUUCAUUGGGGCAGUCAAGAAUCGAAGUCAACAGGGUUACGCUUAGCGUCCGUCCCCGAGCUCAAAAUGAUGGGUCUAUCACGGGAUUAAGACCAAAUUAGGUACUAGGGUUUAGUCCAUUGAUGGAAAUCGGUCUUUUUAAGUCCUAAUCAAAACAUACAAUUAUGAAAUCGGCCCUAAUUCAAGAACCCUAUAAACCCUAGAUUUCGAACAAAGGCAUUUUGCAGCUUAUUCCAUCGAUUUAAACACAAAUCCAAAACAUUGAGUAACCGAAAAACUUACCUGUGUGCUGAAUUUUACAAGAAAAGAAGCAAAAUUGAAAAUCCUUGGGAGAGCUUGCCGUCACAGUUCGUGUGUGCGAAGGAAAGGAUUUUGAAAAAGUAACAAAAAAGUCAAGGGUCAAAAGAUAUAACCUGGUCACCGAUUUACGCUGGGCGUAAAACAAGGUUACGCUGGGCGUAACUCCAACUCCAUGAAAAGUCCAUCCGCGAUCCGGGGUUUAUUACGCUUGGCGUAAUUAAAAUUACGCUGGGCGUAAUGAAGUAUUCCUUUUCUUUAACUGAAAUUUCUUUUCUUUUAACUAUUUAAUUAAGGGACUAAAAACUUAAUUAUUUUUCUUUUUAAUUUCUUCAGCAACUGAUGACUUUCCGAUGAGUAAAAAAAAUGAGACGUCAUAAUCACUUAUCUUUGUCAAGAUCAAACAACAAUGGUUGAUUAAAAACCUUUGCACGCAAGAAUUGGUUUGCGAAAACACCCACUUUCGGGACCCGUUAGAAUAUUUCCUUUGUUUUCUUUGCACCUUUAACUAAAAGCGGAACAAGAAGUGACCUAACUAGUCAAGAACAGCAAGAGUUCGGUCUUCCACUUAACCACCACAAUACGCCUUACUAUACUACGCCUCAUGGAUUGAGUUGGACAAAUCAACAAAGUAGUAAGCCAACCAGGUCAAGAAUUUCCUAAUCGCUUGGAUUCUCGAAACCCAUGCAAAAAGUAAAGUCAAGCAAUGUGUACAAUCCCAAAUUCCUGCAAUUAACAACAAGAACCUUCCCGACAAGUGAAAUGAUAUCAACGAAAACCAAACUAAAAAUAAAAACUAACUAAAAACAAAUAACGAAUAAUCAAAAAAACUAAAUUAAUGACAAGCUGUUCCCGGCAACAGCGCCAAAAACUUGAUGUGCACAAAAGUACCCACUAAUUUUAAUAUUUAUAACCUAACAAACUUAGACUAUCUAUGCACUUAUAGGCAGUGUACCUAGUCAGAUUACAGUAUAGCUUAGGUAAGUCGGGUGUCGAUCACAGGGAACGGUGGUGAAUUAAUUUAAAAUAUUUGAUUAUAGGUUACAGGUCACAUGAAAAGAAUAAAGAAAUAGUUUAAUAAAUCUCAAACUAACAAUUAAUUAACAACUUUCGAUAAACUAACAGGAAAGAAAAUCUCUUCAGGUACUUUGGUUUAGAUAAAUUACGCCUUAAAAAACAUAGACAAUUGUAUACACAACUUCAUUUAUUCAUGUUCACCGAUUCCUAAAAUGAUUAGAUUCGUGUUCACUAUAACUAAUCCUUUAGCAAACAAGUCAAUUCAAACAGUGAUCAGUUGAUUAAACUAACAUGCUUCCUAGUGUUCAGUUCGUAUCAAGCAAGACUUGUAAAUAUAGUUAAUCAAAUUACUAAUUCAAUUUAACCUCUUGUUGAUGGUCAUCAAACAAGGCUCACACAUUAACUUACUUAUUCCCAAGUUAAUCCUAGUUUUACAUUCGUUAAUCCUAGACUUCUAAUCUCGAUGGUCAUCAAAAUCAUAAGCGACAAGCAAUCAAGCAGAUGUUCAUACAACUCAAUUUACUUAAUAAUUAACAGCAAAUAAUUAUCAUUAAUACGUAAGGAUCUUUUAACAAGCUUGGCAAGAUAAAUUAAACAUAAACAAACAAUUCAAUAUAGCAAUUAGUCUAAUAAUCAAGGUUUCAUUCAAUCAUAAACGCAAAGUAAAAGGUUUUUACACCCAAAUCAGAAACUAAAUACAGAAUAGUAACACAAUGGAAUGCUAAACAUGGUCACGUUAACAACCCAUAUGAUUACCGACAUGUAUCCGCUCUCCAACCCUUCCGAUCUUCGCUCCCGUUAGCUUAACGGCCUUCCGACCACCUUCUAGACCCUCAAAACGGCUUAAAAGAAGUUUAAUAUCGACUAAAUUAGGUUGGAAGUCGAAUCCCCCCUUCUGGUUAGCUGAUAAUCGACUUUUAUAACCUUUGUAACUGACUUACGUAUGCUGGGCGUAAGUCGGAUUACGCUGGGCGUACUAAGGAUUUAUACGCGAUUGGAGUUAUCCGAUGCCAGCCAUUACGCGGGGCGUACACAAGAAUUACGCUGGGCGUAACUCGUCUUAGCCAUUACGCUUGGCGUACAAGUAAAUUACGUGGGGCAUAAUCGUUCCUCCAACAUUUUCCUUUCUUUUAGCCUCUAAGCCCGAUUUCUGCUUCAGUCUUUUCUUUUGUGCUUUAUCGACAACGAAUAGCUGCAAAUCAUAAUUUAAAGCAUUGUGAGUACUUUUUCGUUCUAAAAGAGAAUAAUAAAGGCCAAAAUAUUAAGAUAUAAUGCAUAAAAAUAUAUAUAAAAAUACACAUAUCAAUUAUGUAUUAUCAAUAUUAAUUUUUCUUCAAAAUAAGUUGAAUAUAUCAAGAUAAAAAGUAUAUUCAAACUAAGAAAAUAAACCAGAAACACACAUACAAUAUUUUUGAACAACAAAAGCAUAAAAGUACAUACAAAAAAUAUAAAGACAAAGAAUUUACCAUUAUGUCCCUAGAGUACUAAUAAUGAGAAGAACAAAGAGAAACUGAAAUAUAAAUUUAUAUAGUUGCACUCAUGAAUGACUAAAAUAACACGAAAUGUAUUAAUUGUCAAUGUGGUUGAGCGCAAAUUACCAUUAUGUCCCUGGAGUACUAAUAAUAAAAACAAAAAUUAUAAAAUCCUUAAAAUAGUUCUAUAGAUGGUAUACUGGUAAUUAAAACAAUCAGUUUUUCCACAUGCCUCUUAAAAAAUCAUUUACAACCAUAAAUAAGUUUACCAAUAUACCCGUAACACAUUAAUUUUGUAUAUGUAAUAUGUAAGAUAUGAGAUAUAUGUGGCGAGGGCAUUUUCGUCCUUUAAACAUACUUAUAACAAUUAACAAACCUCAUGAUACAUUAUAACAGUGGAUAAUGGAUCGACAUACAUAUAUACUUUUCCUUUUAAUGAAGAGGCGUGAAAUAUGCAAUUGACAGAAAUGCCCCUUCUACAAGACACACCUAUUUAAAUUGCAUAAAACCACACCGCUUAACCUAUUUAUUCAUAUUUGAUGUUAGAGUUCUAUAAUUACCAAGGUGUUUUUAUCUUUUACUUAAUAGAAAUAUGUCUCGAUCAAGUAAGUUCAGGUAUAUGUUUUUUUUAUCUAAUGCAAAUAUAAUGACAUAAUAAGUAAAAUAAGAGAAAAACUACAAAAUAUUGGGUAAAAUUAAAAAACGAGCCACACCCUUUAAACAAACCAUCAUUGGGUUAUCAAAAUCAGUAACAUGAAUGUAGUCACUAUAAAUUAUAUGCAAAUAGGUAUACAUGAGAAAUAGCUAAAAUGAAAAAUGAUAACUACCUCCACCUUAUAGUUUAUAAAAAAUAAGGCAAACACCUUAACUACAUGCAUAGAUACUCUACUCCCAAUACUAAAGAAAUUAGUCUACAAAUGGCUUUAGUUAAUAUGUUUUUGGUUUAAACCGGUUCAGAUCAAUGACAAAAAAAUAUAAUUAUAGUAAAACAUGACAGAAAUGCCCCUUAAUUCAAAAUGGGACCAAUCAAUCAAGUAAUACAAAAUACAAUCACGUAAUACCUAAGCAGAGAAAAUAUAACACAAAAAACAGAAAAAAAAUUUAUUUCUAUAAAACAUGACAGAAAUACCCCCGAACUAAAAAAAUAAAAAUAAUCAAAAUUACAUUUCUAUUCGUAUGAGUUUGACGGUACUUUUAGGUUUCUUUGUGUAAUCCGUCAAUGAAUCUGGCCUAUGAGUUUGACGGUACUUUUAGGUUUCUUUGUGUAAUCCGUCAAUGAAUCUGGCCUAUAAACAUGACCUGAACCAAUUUUUUUACUUGGUGAACCAAUUUAAUAGAAAAAAAAAUUUGUUCUAAUUACCAUUCUACCAUUUGUAACUUGGGAAUGAUUAAUUAACAUACAAAGGUGAAUUUUCUCUACCUGCUGCCUUACGUUCAAAAUGACAAAAUUGUAUUGGUAAACAUGAACCAAAAUGGACAAAGGUUUCAAUUUUGGACAAACACAGUAAAAAUAUGAACCAAAACAAUAAACAUUGAUAUAAUUUUGCGAUGGUAUUAUCUCCAAAAGAAUAAAAAAUUUCAAUUUUGCGAUGAUAUAGUUUCAAUUUUGCGAAGAAGCAACGUAAGCAGUAAACCAGAUUGCGGUGAGAGAGAGAGAGAGAGGGCCUGCCGCCUGCGAUUGGUAAUUUGUGAUGGUAUCUCUCGACCGAGAAAGGGGAGCGAUUGAUGAACAGAACCAUAUUAAGAGGAAUUAUGAUUGUCAAAUAAGUUUUUGAUCGUUCUUUUGAUCGUUGUUAUUUAGGACAAUAUCUCAUAGUGAAAUACGAAUAAGGUAUCAGUUAAAGUGUCACACACACGCAUACACAUUAAGAAGCAUAAAUAACUUUCAAUUUUGCGAUUAACACAGACAUUGAGAAGCAGGGGCUUACAUAUACACAAUGAGAAGCAGAAUUGAGAAGCAGAAACUUACCGAAGGAUUGAAGUCGUUGACACAGACUCCAAUAACUGAAGUGUCGAUGAUGCUUGAUUGUUGGAAGACAAUGCUGUAAAGAACCUUGGAAACACGAUGCUAUAAAUAAAUUAAGAAGCAGAAUUGAGAAGAAGAAACUGAAAUCGAGAUUGAAGUCUAAGAUUGAAUAUCCGAUAAAUAAUUAGUCCAUGAUUCAGAAACUUGAAAACAUAAUGCUGUAAAGAAAUAUUGAUUAUCAUAUUUUUGAAAUAUAUAUUGACAAUAAUAUGAUCAAAUCGACAUAAUAAUCAAAAUUAAAUGUAAUCGAUGUGAUUGAUAUGGAUACCAUAAUAACAUGCUCUUAAUCGGGUAAGAAAUGAUUUUGAGUUAAUGUGUACAACUGGUAGCAAAGAUAAAAAUCGGUAAUUAAAAUAGGGAGUUAUAUGGAUUCCAUAUUGGAUUCAAUAUUCAAUUUCAAAUUUCCAUAUUCCACAUCGAUUACUACGUGAAACAAUAAAAUAACAAAAACGGUAUUUUACAUUUGUAGAAUACUAAUUAAUUGCAGAAUACUGAUUUUUUGAAGUUUAUAAUUUCACUAUAAAAAACUGUAAUAACAUAACCAUUUUUAUUUUUCUGAUUUAUUUGAAGUAAUUUAGACUUAUAAUACCUGAAAUAGUGGUAUGUGUUUUAGAGUUUUGUACAAGAGCAUUGUGUUUUUUAAAAGUAUUUACAUAUCUACGGUACUUUUAAAUUUAUUUACUAAAAGAUUGUAAAAUUUUAAAAUUCAUGUGGACCUAUCCCUUUUAUACCAAAAAUAUAAGAAAUUAAUUAUGCGCCUCCCCACCGCUCAUUUUUCUCGCAUUUGUCGCUGGAAAAUGAUGGCCAACAAGAUAAUUUCAAAACAUUAUAAAAAGAUUUCUCUUUCGCUUGUUUGCUCGCUAGAAAAUGAAAACAAACAUAAACGGUCAUAAAUAAAAACAACCAAACACGAAUUAAAUAUAUUGACAGAUUUAGAUUCUUCCGGCUGCGAACUUGGUUUGCUCAUUGGAAUAUGAAUACAACCAAACAAUUUGGAAAUCGAAAAGGAAAUUGUUGGAAAUGCACCACGUUCAUAGAUCUUGUGCCAAAACAUUUCUCGUAUAUAUUUGUUUCAAACAUUGGUCGUUCAAUCAAUGUCAUAUAACUUGGAAAUUUGGAGGGGGGAGGGGUUGUUUAACAGAUGAUACCGAGGGUUAUGAAUGGGUUAGUCGGUGGCAAGGCGGAUGUAGAGGUUCAUCCGCAGUGUGGUUUGGGGAGAAUUUCAGCAGUGUUUUGGAGUUGACGAUGUCGGACGGUGAUCGUGUCAUAGGUGUAAACACUGCACAACACAACAUGUAGACUAGGUAUUACUGGCAAUGCUUGUUAUGAAAAAAAUAAAAAACCAGUAGACUUCAAUCGUUGAAGCAGGGAAAAUGUGGUUGUGGUAGGUUCAAUGGAUGUAUGCGCACUCAUGCACAGUAGGGGUUUGCAGCGGUGCUAAGGGUUGCCAAAUGGUUUUGCAAGUAAUGUGAGCAUCAAAAGACAAUUAACAUGAUUUCAUUUAUUUUAUUUAAGUACAAUUAAAUGGGAAAUAAUUUUAAAAGUACUAUAUUAUAGUAAAUAUUUUUCUUAACCGCUACCUUUUAGUAAAAAACUAUGUGUUUUAAACAGGUAUAACUGUAUAAAAAACCUAAGAGUUUGCAGAGGUUCAUGGGAUUACAUCUUAGUGGUAUGUGCUUUAAGGGUAAACACAUUUUUCUUCUUUUAGGCUAGAUUUAUUACAUCACAAGGAAUCCCGUGGCGAGGGCAUUUUCGUCCUUAGGAUAUAUAAAUUUUGUUUCCGGUACUGUUUUGUACUUUGUAGUGCUUAAGAAACGGGAAGAUAUGAUUAAGUUGUGAAUGAUCUGGAUCCAUAUCAAUGAUCCGGUACUAUUCUACCCUUUGUAAGAGAAAAACACAUAAAGUCACAAACUAUAUACCCCUGUUGUGAAAAUUACCAAUAUGUCACUAUAAAAAAAUGAGCAUUAUUUUGAACAGGUUGUUCUAAUUACCAUUCUACCCUUUGUAACUAGAGAAUGAUUAGUUAAUAUGUCAUGCAUUGUUUCCUCCUGUUGCGUGUUCAAUAUUAUAACAAUCAAUAAACAAUUUUAAUGGAAUUUAAAUGAUUGAAAUUGUAGAGAUGAACAAAAGAAUUGACAAAGGGCAAAAUUGACAUCUAAUGCAUUGUUUCUUCCUGUUGCGUGUUCAAUAUCAUGACAAAUCUCAUUUGACAGCUUCAUUACAAUUUUUGUUUCAUACAUUACCUCAAAUAAUAUACAAGCACAUUCCCAAGAAUGCAUUCACCGAUAUACCAUUUUAUUGUGAAAAUUACCAAUAUGUCCAUGUACAAAAAAUGAGUAUUAUUUUCAACAGGAUUUUAUUGAAUUUAUUCAUAUUUGAGACAUCUUUUUUAUAGAGCAAAUAUACUUAUAACACGAAAAUGAAAAGUAGAAUGGUAUAUUUUUUAAUUUUUUUGAAUUUUAUUGCAAAUAUAUUGGUAAAAAAAAUCUUUAAAAACAUAAUGGUUUCCUUCUUUUACACUAUCAAUAGACACACAUAUAUUAAAAGAAGAUUAAUCUAAUUACAGGCAUAACCCAAAAAGCAGUUUUUUACUUAAGAUAGAGAUUAGCAGCGUAAAGAAACCAAGAACUAUCAAUGUUUGAAUACUGAACACCACGAAGAGCAAAACUGUCAAACAAAAUCCCCAAAAAAAAUAAUUCAAGAAUAUUGUUGGUGCAUAAAAAGGACAAUCUAAAAUUACUUUUCAAGCUUUGGUAUUAAUAGACCUGUGUUUCCAUCCACCCUGGAAUUCAAGCGAGGUAUUUUUGUCGACGAAUUCACAUUAUCAUACUCAUCAAUAUCAAUGCUAUCUCCAACGUUUCGCUUUUUUACCAUUGUGGGCGAAUUAAACUUGAACGGACUUGUAGCUUCUAUUUGUCAUGCAUGGAAGGGGUCAAAUUAUCACUGGUUUGUUAUAUCGCGUCCUUAAAGCAAAAACCCGAAACAGCGUUAGUACGAUAAUAUUAACAAAUUAACAAAAAAAUAAUUUAUAAAAGGAAUUUAUAUAAAAUUAAAAAAUGUGGAUUUAUAUUAUAACCUUUAAUGACUUUGUUUCAUGAGAUGCUUCGUGAGAUGCGAUUUUGUAUCGUCAGCAUUUGUAGAAUUACCUCCCUGCUUCAAAAGUUUAAAUAUGUAUUAUCAUUUGUGGGAUUAAAUUUUUGUUCCAUCAAGAUUUACAAUUAAUUAGUGACGAUCAUUAAAUAAAAGUAUGCAUCAUAAUAAUUAAUUAAUUUUCAAAAAACAUAAAAAUAUAUGUAUAUAAAUACCUCAACAGCUAACUUUUUUUCCAAAACAUUGAUAAUGUUACUAUCAAGCGUAUAGCCAAGUAUCCCAAAACGAUUGUAGUUAUUGGAUACGUUAAAACUAUUAACAUCUAACACGAAUGCCAUCUUUUUAUGCACCAGACAGUUGAGGUCAUAAGGAUACAAUCUCGGAUCAUCACCAGCCUGGAAAGAAUGAGUUAUGUAAUAUUAUUAUGGUUAAAAGCACAUUAAUAUAGAUAAAAUCAAAUAGAUAAUAGAAUUUAAUAAAACAAAUAAUAUAUUUAUAGUAUGUCUGUUUGAUUUUCUCUAUGGGUUCACUUGCACGUUUUUUGACGAGUUUAUAAGCAUCUCUAUCAAACAUAGUGAGUGUGAUUGUUCCAGAUUCAUCUUGGACACGAAUAGGUAUUUUAUACCUACAAAAAAGUACGACAUAAAUAUCAUAUUAAAUAUUAAAUAUGUUUAAUGUGUAAUGUUUGUUAAUGUAUUUAAUUUGUGGGUGAACUAUUGUUAAAUUUUAAAAACCUUGGAACUGAAGAUAUCUCCUUUUUUUACACUUAGAAUUAUAACAUUCAACAACCACACUUGCAUCACCACUAUCUGGACCGCUGAAAACGUUUCUUGGUUCAACCUUCCUUCCACAUUUUGAACACGCAUCAUAAUACCAAUCAAUAUCUUGUCGGAUACCAUAAAUGGUACCAACAAUGAUAUAUUUCCCGACCUUAAAAAAUAUAAAAUACAAAAAGAAUCAUAAAAAAAAAUACAAUUAUAAUAUUAUAAUAAACGAAUAAUAGAUAACAAAAUCACAUUAAAAAAAACUAAAUUAUUCACAUACCUCUUGUGGUUCUAGCAAAUCGACAACAUUUUUAACGUUGUGAUUUGUCAAAAAGUCAUCAUAUUCAUUGCAUGAUUGAGAGCUAUCAACGGUCAAAGAAGAAGAAGGAUUUUGAAUUCCUCGUAAUCCAACCAUGUUGUUUUUUUUAUUUGAUAGAUUAAUUAUGAAAUUAGUAAAAUUAUUAAAAAGAAACAAAAAAAACAAUGAAUUAUUAAAAUAGAUUGUUACCUAUCUGUGAAUGUAACAAUUUCGGGAAGAUCAACAUUUAUGAACAUCGGUGUGUGUUUAUAAUAACUGUUAAAAUAGUUAAAAUAAUGAGCAAUAUAAAAGCCUAAAAUAACAAAGGGGUCCUUUUAUAAGAAAUGUACCGUUAUAGACAUUAAGUCUUGCAAACUGCAAAAUAACAACCACACGACCAACUUCUUUAUGUGCUUCAAGAUAAGAAAUCAAUUGGUAUGCAAUAUCUCCAAACAAUGUGACGUUAACCUGCAAACCUCUGCAAAAACAGUACGGGUUAAAUGAUAAUAUAAUAAUAAAAUUACAUAUGGCAGUUGUAACCUAAUCAAUUUAAUAUAUAAUAAUAAUAAUAAUAAUAAUAAUAAUAAUAAUAAUAAUAAUAAUAUAAGAUAUAAUAUAAGAAAAGUUAUGAUUUGUAAAGUUAGCCGAUGUUUGGAUUUGCUGACAUCACGGGAAUCAAGCUUUCCUAACGAAACAACUUCACCAAUAACAUCUACAAAAUGAUAAUACAAUAUGUCAAAAUGAUGUAAAAUUAAAGAAUUAAAUAUAAGAUGCAAUUAAAUAGGGGAAACAUUUACCAAUUGAGUUAUUAGAUGUAGCUGUUGCAGAAAUAAUGCUUUCAAACGAUACACAACAAAAGUCAUAUGUUGUUUUGGACUAAAAAGUUAGACAAUCAUUAACAGUUUUUCGUCCAUGCAAGUUUAACUUGGAGAGUACAUCACUUAUUUUAAAAAUGUAUCUGUUUGGAGCUAUAGUGGGGGAUCGGAUGUAAAUUGCUUUAUCUUCUUUCAGUUUUAAAAGUGUAUCUCUUGGGUAGACACUUGCUCGGAUUUUUGUACCCUAUUCACAUAUCGUAAGAAUAUUAUAUAUAUUGCGAAACAAUUGUAUAUUAAUUUAUAUAAAUUGGUCAACAUUGAAUCAAUUAUUUGACCAUGAAUGAUUUUAAAUAAUAUUAUUGGAAUGAGCAAAUAAACAAAAAAAAAUAAUUUUGAAUAAUGUAAUUAGAAUAGGAUAUUUUACCAUCUCAUCCAUUAAUAUCAUUUCAAGUGCUUUGACAAUACUAGGGUUAACUUUGGAUAAUGAUCUCCACAGCCGGAUAAUACACACUUUUAGUGUUUAAUCAUCCCUCAUGUUGUCUAAGUCUUUGAUCAAAGUGACAUUUCUAUCUGCCAUUGUCACUAUAAUAGAAAGACAUAACAUAUUAAGAAAAAAUAAUGGAACAAAAUUACACAAAAAAUAUAAAGACAAACAUAAUUACAAUUAUGUCCCUGGAGUAGUAGGCGGAUAAAAAGAUUCUGAAUAAUACAAUAAAUUAUUAUAAAACAUUCAAACAUAUUCAAACAAACUAUAUACCGCUGCUGUGAAAAUUACCAAUAUGUCCCUGGAGUUGUAGGCGGAUAAAAAGAUGAAAAACAAACAGGGCAUUUUCGUCCAUUGAACUUACUUAUAACAUGAAAAAUAAAAGUACAAUGCCAUUAUAUGUAAUAUUUUCGAAUUUUGUUGCACAUAUAAUUUUUUUUUUUGUACUGUACUGUUGGAAUACAUUUUUCUUUCCUUCUGUUAUUUUACUUUGUAACUAUUGGAACUAAUGUUUAUUAUGUUAUAUAAAGAUAAGCAUUGAUGGAAAGGAUACUAUUAGGGAGGAUGAUGUUGAUGAAUUGACUUCCAAUUCCAUAGUUACAGAUUAUGAAAUAUCAAGCAUAUCAGGUUCAGAACUAAAAUAGAACAAAAUUACACAGAAAGACAUAACAUAUUAAGAAAAAAUAAUGGAACAAAAUUACACAGAACAUAUAAAGACAAACAUAAUUACAAUUAUGUCCCUGUAGUAGUAGGUGGAUAAAAAGAUUCUGAAUAAUGCAAUAAAGUAUUAUAAAACAUUCAAACAUAUUCAAAUAAACUAUAUACCCCUGAUGUAAAAAUUACCAAUAUGUCCCUGGAGUAGUAGGCAGAUAAAAAGAUGAAAAACAAACAGGGACAACCUCAGUGAUUCAAGCAUAUCAGGUUCAGAAAAAACAAAAAACAGAGAAUUAGAUAAAAAGAUGAAAAUACAUUCUCCAUAUUUUACAGAUUUACAGAUUAUGAUAUAUCAAGCAUAUCAGGUUCAGAAAAACAAAAAACAUAGAAUUUGACAGCCUCAGUGAUAAAAUCGGUAAUUAUAAGUAAAACAAUAACAUACAACGUUAAUGUGGCCUAAGUCCUAAUUCAUAUAAAUCUGAUUAUUUACCAAUCGCAGGCGUACCUUCAAUAGUUCAAUGGGAUAGACUCGAAGAAGCAACGUAAGCAGUAAAGCAGAUUGCGAUGGGGGUAGAGAGAGAGAGAGAGGGCAUGCCGCCUGCGAUUGGUAAUUUGCGAUGGUAUCUCUCGACUAAGAAAGGGGAGCGAUAGAUGAACAGAACCAUAUUCAGACGAAUUAUGAUUGUCAAAUAAGUUUUUGAUCGUUCUUUUGCAAUUAACACAGACAUUGAGAAGCAGGGGAUUACAUAUACACAAUGAGAAGCAGAAUUGAGAAGAAGAAACUUACCGAAUGAUUGAAGCCGCUGAUUGAAUAUCUAAUAACUGAAGUAUGGAUGAUGCUUGAUUGUUGGAAGAUGAUGCUGUAAAGAAUGAUUCAUAUUUGUAUGCUUCAAGUAUAUAUUGAACAUAAUAAGAUCAAAUCGACCUAAUAAUCAAAUUUAAAUGUAAUUGAUAUGAUUGAUAUUGAUACAAUAAAAAGAUGCUCUUAAUCGGGCAUAUAACGAAAUUGAUUCAAUAUUCCAUUCGAUUUCCAUCCAUAUUCCAAAUUCCACAUUCAAAUUGCCAUAUUUCCAUAUCUAAUUUCCGUAUGUAAUGCUACGUGAAACCAAGCAGGGGUAAAAAUGGGAUUUAACAUUGGCAAGAAAGUGAAUUUUUGUUAGGACACGUUUCAAACAGGUUUUGUUUAUUAGAUAGGGAGAUGUUAUGAAUCUUGGUUAUGAUAAUACGAAUAUUGUAUGCUUGUACUUGAUUUACGAUCGAUUAUGUGGGGUUAUGCAUAGAGGGCAAGGGUAGGACCUAACACUUAGCAUGAAACCCUAUCCAGAUACAUUCGAGCCUCGUUAGUUGAGAAAUACCUUCUAGGAAAAGAGAUUAAUCCAUUUACGAGUUGAUCGGUCUUUCUAGAUGCCCGUGCGACACAUUGUACGCGUACACUUCGGUGUUUGCGGAUUGGAGUGAUGUUGGCCAUUCGAACGAGGCUUGUACAGACAUCACGUAGGUGUUGGGAGGUGGCGGACGAAUGCCACUGCUUGUACCAACACCAGAACGGCACCGCGAUGUACUUGUACAUUACAUAGUCGGAGUAGUGAAAGUGGAGUCUUGGGGUCGGUGUGGCAGGGGGGGGUCACGAACCACCUAAAGCACUUGGUUGUCCAGACACACAAGUAGCGAACGGGUUUUCCUUUUGGGUUAGGUAUUACUACGAGACUACCUAUGCCUAUACGAUUAUGAUACAUUUUUUUUUAUAUGAUGAUAUACGAUUACGAUAUGAUUAUGCAUGAAAUACAAUUGAUGUUACAUAAAUGAAUGAUAUGUGAAUGGAUGAUACAAAGUUGAAUGAUUGAAUUUUAUGUGAAAUAUGAUUGAUUAUUGAUUGGUAUGUGAAUUUUGUUUAUAUGAUUAAAAUAUGAAUGAUUGACCCGUUAAGGGAUGGUAUGUUUUCCCUUUGAUUGUGUACAAACUCUUAUUGGCUCACGAAGCAUUUGUUGACACUUGUUUCUUUGCUUUGUGCCUUUAUGAUUGGUACAGGUAGCUUAAGAGCUUCGCUUGGUGAGAUGGGGUCAUUUUUUGGUAGUUUAUCCUUAGAAUAAAGAUGCCACUUGGAAACGUUAUUUAUUUUUUGAUACUUAUGCUUCCACUACAAUUAAAUACUUUUGAUAUUUUGGUUUUAAAUUGAACGUAACUUGGUGGUUUGAAAUGUUUUUAAAAUAAAUAAUGUGUACACUCUUCCGUUGCAUUUUCCGUUAAAAGAUUUUAAAAAUAAAUGAAAUUUUUUCGCGAAAAAUCAUGACUUUACAAUUAAAUCCUUAAUAGAUUAAGUCCUUAACAGGUUAAGUAGGAACACUUAACCCUAAUCGUCAUUUUAUGUGAAAAACCCUAAUUGGGUUUGGGUUCUUAUUAGGUCACUUAUUGGACUGAGUUGUUGUGGGCCUUUGUGGGCCAAUUGGGAACAUAUUUAUGGACUAAGGAAAUUAUUGGUCUUUAGGAUAAGGCCCGUUGGAAAGGCUUGGGCCCAAUUUGGAAAAUUGGGCCAUAAUUAGGCCUUGAUGAUUAUGAGACUGGAUUAAAUGGUUGGGCCUUAAGAUAAGCCCAUGUAGAGGUUUGGGUCCAAUUUGGAAAAUUAGGCCAUAUGUUGGGCUUUGGUCCAUAGUUUGACUUUUGGGCUUUUGGAUUGGGCCUUGGAGUUGAAUAAAGCUAAGUCAGGGGUAAAAUAGUCUUUUACCCUAACCAUGGAAUUAUGGUUAUGUAUUGGAACCCAAUUAUUAAUUGGGUGUCGUUUUGAUGUUGAUAGUUUAGGAACCUAUCAACCAGCAGCUAAGAUUUUACCCGUGGAACUUGAGCAAUGCGAAGUGAGUCUCCUCACCAUACCAACGGGUCGAAGGCACCAAUGUCAGCCCAUUUUAUGUUAUGUGAUACACUAGCUAAAGUUGUAUUAUGUGGCAUGUUAGCUGGUUAUGUCAUAGGAAGUAUGCUAGUGGUAUAUGUGGUAUGCUUGUAUGGAAGACCAUGGGAGAGCCCAUGGCACCUGGAUGUAAGACCAUGUGGAGAGCCUAUGGCUUUCUUACUAUGUUUUAGUGUUAAUGUAGAUUCACUAUUGAUAUGUUUGGUAUGCACGUAUAUGUGGUAUGCUAGUGAUUAAGUGAUAUACUAGCUGACUAUGUGGUAUGUGGUAUGCUAGUUGUCUUUGUGAUACUUGCAUGAAAGCCCAUGGGAGAGCCCAUGGCACCUGGAUGUAAGACCAUGCGGAGAGCCCAUAACUUUCUUACUAAAGACCAUGGGAGAGCCCAUGGUAACCAGAUGUAAGACCAUGUGGAGAGCCCAUGGCUUUCCUAUUAAAGACCAUGGGAGAGCCCGUGGCAUUUAGGUGUAAGACCAUGUGGGGAGCCCAUGACAUCCUGGAGUAAGACCCUGGGGACGAGCCCACGACAUCCUUAUAUGUUUAUAUUCAUGGCUUAUAUGAUUGAUAUGACUUAUGUGGAUAUGUAGCUAAUAUAACUAAUAAAUAUUAUGAGAUUAUGUGGAUUGUAUGAGGUAUGCUCUGGGGAAUUCACUAAGCUUCGUGCUUACAGUUUUGUUUAUGGUUUCAGAUAUUUAACUUUAGGAAAGGAAGGGCUCAGCUUGACCGCAGCGUACACACCCAUGCUUUCCACAAUGAAUGAAAUGUUUUAAUUAACAAUGUUUUGGAAUGAUUGGAAUAAAUGAUAUCUAUGUUUGGGUUAUAUUAAAAAUGAAAUUGUUACCCCUGAUUUUUGGGUUGUUACAAUGAUAUUCAAUUAAAACACAGGUCUUUUGGCCUAGCACUAUCAUAUGUUGGAAAAGUGACCCUUCCUAAUGUUAGAAAAACGGGUUAUUUUGAUUGCUUGGAUACCAUUGAAAGUCAUGAUACACUUUCAAAUUGAAUUAUUUUGAUGGUACAAUCAAAAUAUCAAUUGGAUAAAAUUCAGUGACAAACAGAGAAUGAAAAUGUUAUGAUUCUUGUGUGUACCAGAUUUAAAUAACCAAAAAGGGAUAUAACUCCUUAUCUGAAAACUAUCAUAUUGACAUUUACAAACUGCCACAAAACCGUCACUAAAUUGACUUAGUCAGCUUGACAAACAAGAACCACAUAUUUAACAUACAAAGCAAAGAGAAAAAGUUUCCUAAUACUUGUAAAAAUCAAAUGAUGUAAAAAAAUUAGAUGUCACAAAAUCUAGUAUUAACAUAGAUUUAAUAAAACUGAUAGAUUACUUGUUUAUAUAUCGUAAAAAUUUAUUCCCAAGGUCAUCCUUAACUCACUAAUAAAUUUUGGGAGUAACGAUAUAACAAUAUCUAUUCGGUACUCCUUUGAUAAAAUUUUGAAUUUUGUGUGGUCAAUAAGUCGUAUUUUUGGAUUGCUAAUAGGAGUAGAAAAGCUAAAAUCAUUUGGGUCUAUGAGCUUCGUAAUCCUAUUUUAGCUUGCACUCUUAUGUAAUGCUAUUUUUCCUUGCUUCCUGCUAGUUUUUAUAAAAUUUUUUGCUGUUCCAAAAAAAAAAAAAAAAAAAAACUCCUCUAAUAUAUUGGUCGGUCGACUUUGAGAUACAAUUAAGAAGGUUCUCUAGCCACAUCACACAUCAUCCUCCCCCAAUGACCACCACACAAUAAUAUCGAUUUGGUAUAGACCAACAACUCUCUAUUUCCCCAUCUCCCUUAAAUCAAUCUUCACUUCCUUACUUUUCAGUUUGUUUUUUAAUAUUCAUACAUAGAAACUCAUGUUGGAGCAGUUAACACACAUAAAUGUCCUUAAUAUUGGAAUCCCUCACCAACAAAGUAGCAUCGUUAAGUAACUAAUAAGUUAGAGACCAUACGUACAAAUUAGCCCAAACCAUAGGGACCAUUCGUGUAAUUUACUCUUCCUCUUAAUAUACAUAUUUUUUAUUAGAGACAGACCGCUGUCAUCCUCAAUAUAAUACAUGUGUCCCCAAGUCCAUUUUGCAAUUCUUUUUGGAUUUGGCAAACUUGUAUAUACAAUUUCCUCUCUUUACUUUUCAUAUGUCAUAACCUUUGCUUUAGUUAUUGCUUUCUUCUUCCAAUUUCUUGUCACCUUGUAAAUAUUUCUUUGACCUCUCUUCUUUCCCAAUUGUCACUACUUAAUAGAAAUUCUUUAAAAGGAGUUUCUUUAUUUUGACCUUGAACCUUCUUGCUCCACCAUUCCGAUUAUUAGCUUAGCCUUUCAUCCUUGACGGAUAUGGCCUCCUGCUACAAUUACCAUGUAACAGAGCCGGCCCAAAGCAAGUUCAUCCAGUGCCUUUGAACAUGGCCCAAAAAAUCAGAGGGCCCAUUUUUUUUCAUUCUUUAAUAGGGUAUGUUCAUUUGGCCCAAAAAAUUUAGGUUAUAUCCAUCUAUAUACUCAGUUAACGAAUGCAGGAAGCAGGCAAGAGGGAGCAGGAACUCAAUUUUCGGGAAAAAGAGAACUCUUCGGUUUCUUCAUUGGUAACGCACGCAUGGAUAAUAGGAAUCAUCAUUGCUGGAACGGUAACAUCAAUUUACAUUCAUUUAUCAUUCAUUCUAUUCCAUCAAUUUACCUUCACUUCUUAUUUCUUCCUUCUUUAUCUUCUUCUUCACUGAUCAGUUUUUACAAAGAUUACCAACAAUUUUAGAAGAUUCAAAAGAAGAAAUUCAAAGCCAUCAAAUUUCGAAAUCAGAAGGUUCAAUAUCAGAAUUCAGAACAAUCAAAAUUCGAAAUAAGAAGCUUCAAAAUCUUACAGUCUUACAGUCUUACAGUUUGAGUUUCGAAAUCAAAGGUAUAAUACUAAAAUUAAACUUUAGUUUAUUGUUUCAUGGGUUUGUUUUUUCUAAUUGAGUAAUUUGAUAAUUUCAGAUUUCUUAUCGGUUCUUCUUUUUUCAUUUUCUUUAAUUCCAAAUUACUAAAUCAGGAUGAACAAUCAACAGUGAUAUCAGUUUUCAAAAAUUUGAACUUAGAAGGAACAAGGAAUUGAGGUAAAUUCUAAUUCAGAUUUCUACUUUUUAUGUUUUUUUGUUUAUGAUAAUUUCGAAUUUGUAAGAACUAAGAAGUAAUUAUGAAUUUAUGAUCUCAUCAUUUCAGAUUGCAAAUUUUCUGAUUUCCUUAGAAUCAUAUUCUUGUUUUUUUGAUUUGAAGUGUCGAUGAUAAUAAGGUAAUUUUUGGAUUUCUUAUAUGAUAUCAUUGCAGAUUUUGUGAUUUCUUUAGAAGCAUAUUCUGAUUUUUUUUCUUUGCAGUUUUGUUACAUUCUUUUGGUGAUUUGAAGUGUGGAAAAUCUGAACCAAGAAGGAAUCUAUAAAUUGGAAGUCAUAAAUAAGGUCGUUUCUUUCUUUUCUAUAACUUAUUAUGCCUCCUAAAAUAAAAAAAUAUGCAUCUGGAUAUGAAAAACGUAAGAAAAAACAAAAAAUUGAAGAAGAUAAUAAAACUCAAGCAGGAUCUAUGGAUAAGUUUAUAACAAAAAAAACACAAAACUUUACGAAAAAUGAAACACAAAAUGUUAAUGAAGCUAAUCUUGAUAAAAUGAUAAUGUUGAUGUUGAUGUUGAUGUUGAUGUUAAUGAUAAUGUUGAUGUUGAUGUUAAUGCUAAUGUUAAUGUUAAUGUUAGUGAUAAAGUUGAUUUUAAUGAUAAUCCUAAUGUUGUUGUUGAUGAUAAUGUUGAUUUUCACACUUUUGAUAUAUUUGAUCCAAGAAAUCGGGAUGCUCUUGAUUCUAGUAUGAUAAAUAUUUUAGUGUUGAAAGGUCCUAAAAGAGAUUUGUCUCUUACAAAAGGUCCUAAAGAUAAAUAUUUAAGAAGAUUUUCUGCAACAUAUUAUACUAAAACUUUACCAAAUGGGGAAAAAUGUGAUAGAGAUUGGCUUGUUUAUUCUAAAGAAAUUGAUAAAAUUUUUUGUUUUUGUUGUAAAAUAUUUCGAAAAGGGUGUCGGAAGGGUCAAUUAGCAAAUGAGGGUUUUAGGGAUUGGAUACAUCUUAACACUAGAAUUAAAGAGUAUGAAACUAGUAUGAAACAUGUUAAAACUAUAAAUACUUGGUAUGAUUUGCGUUUAAGAUUACAAAAAAAUGAAACUAUUGAUAAUGCGGCUCAAAAACAAUUAGAAAAAGAAAAAGUUCAUUAGAGACAAGUUUUGUUGAGAAUUAUUUCUAUUGUGAAAUUUCUUGCUAAACAUAAUCUAGCUUUUCGUGGUACUAAUGAGAAAUUGUAUGAAGAUAACAAUGGAAAUUUUUUAGGCUUAUUUGAAAUGUUGGCUGAAUUUGACAUGGUUUCUUAUGACCAUAUACAACGUAUUACAAAUGAAAUUGGUAUCCAUAAACAUUAUCUUGGGCAUAGGAUACAAAAUGAAUUAAUACUUUUGCUUUCUUCAGAAAUAAAGUCUAUGAUUAUUAAAAAGAUAAAAAAUGCAAAAUAUUUUUCUAUAAUACUUGAUUGUACUCCUGAUAUAAGUUACCAAGAGCAAAUGACUAUUAUUUUAAGAUGUGUAGAUGUCUUGUCAAAUGUUGUUUGCAUUGAAGAGUCUUUUUUAGGGUUUUUAGAUGUAAAUGAUACAACCGGCCAAGGACUCUUUGAUGUUUUACAAAAUGAAUUGAAUUUGCUUGAUCUUGACAUUAAUAAUAUACGUGGCCAAGGUUAUGAUAAUGGAUCAAAUAUGAAAGGAAAACAUCAAGGAGUGCAAAAAAAGCUUUUAGAUAUAAAUUCAAGGGCUUUUUAUACUCCUUGUGGUUGUCAUAGUUUGAACUUAACUUUAUGUGAUAUGGCUAAUACUUGUGGUAAAGCUAAAGGUUUUUUUUGGAACAAUACAACGUAUCUAUACAAUUUUUGCAAAUCCCACUAAGAGAUGACAAAUUUUAAAAGAUAAUGUGAAAGGGGUAACUCCUAAAUCGUUGUCAUCCACUCGUUGGGAGAGUCGUGUUGAUAGUGUUAAAGCUAUAAGAUUUCAUAUACAAAAAGCUUUACUUCAAGUAGCCAAAAAUGAUAAUGAUCCAAAAAUAACAAGUGAAGCUAAAUCCUUAGCAAAAAAUGAACUUGACAACUUUGAGUUUAUAUUGGCAUUAGUAAUUUGGUAUGAAAUGUUAAACACUAUUAAUUUAAUUAGCAAACAAUUGCAAUCAAAAGAUAUGUUUAUUGAUGUUGCUAUGGAAAAAAUAAUGGGGUUAAUUUCGUAUUUUAAGGAAUAUAAAGAAAAUGGGUUUUUAAAUGCUUUACAAACCGCAAAAGAUAUUGCCUUAGAAAUGGGGAUCGAUCCAAUAUUUCCUAAAAAACGUGAACCUAAAAUAAAAAAACAUUUUGAUGAGAUUUCAAACGACACUUCUUAUAGUUUUUCACAAUCCGCCCAAGAGAAAUUUAGAGUUAAAUAUUUUAUUUAUAUUGUUGAUCAAGCAAUUAGUUCUUUAACUACAAGGUUUGAACUAUAUCAAUAAUAUGAUAAAAUAUUUGGCUUUUUAUUUAAUUCAGAAAAAUUGCUUUCAUUAGAUGAUAUAACAUUAAAGUCUUGUUGUAUGUCUCUUGAAACUUCACUCAAGAAAGAUGAGCAAUCGGAUAUUGAUGGAAAUGACUUAUAUGUUGAAUUAAAAUUACUUUUACAUCUCUUGCCUAAGGAAAAAUUGACAGCAAUUGAUAUUCUAAAUUUUUUAAAACGUGUUGAUUGUUUUCCUAUUACAUCUAUUACAUAUAAAAUUAUGUUGACUAUUCUUGUUACUGUUGCAUCUGCAGAACAGAGUUUUCCAAAAUUGAAGAUUCUGAAGUCCUACUUAAGAUUUACAAUGACUCAAGAACGACUUAAUGGAUUGGUUUUGAUGACGAUUGAGCGUAAUAUGUUGGAUAAAGUUACUUAUGAAGAUGCUAUUGAAAAAGUUUAUUUCAACGAAUAUUAGGAGGAUGACUGUUUUCAAGUAGAAGCUAAUUUUUUUUUGUAUUAUUUUGAAUGAAAUUUUAAUUUUAUGUAUUUGCAAUAGAAAAUUAAACUAUAAUUUUUUUUUUGCUUAAAUUUUGAGAUCUUUCAAAUUUUAGAGCCUAUUUUUUGUUAAAUCGCACAUGGUCUUCAAUAUCUCAGGGCCGGCCCUGCCAUGUAGACCGAGACCCCUACUUGUAACUAACCUUUUCGGUCCUAAUAGAUACACAUGUAAAAAACUAAUAACUACUAACUAACUAUUAAUUAUUUAAUAUAAAAUACAAAUAGAACAUCAAUGAUAAAUAUUAAAAGGGUGUUGCUAAAUUGACACCCCUUAGACACCCUAUAAACACUUUUAUUAAAAGUCAAUUUAUAAUAAACUAUUCACAAUUUACUUUUUCAAAAAACAAUGCAAAUUAACUAAUAAAAAAAUCUUAAAAAUCAAAUAAGGUUUCAACAUGAGAGAAAUUAUAUUGCAAUAAGUUUGUUGUCAGGUGAGGAAUACAAUGCAUAAAUGAUUUACAAAAUCGAAAGUUCCAGACACAAGUUAAAACUUAAAACCCUAAAAGACCACACAAAUUUCAAUCGUCGACAUACCCCACCACAAAGGCACAAACAAUCAAUGAAACAAGUGUAGAUGUAGAGGCCUUUUUCACCACAAUCACCCUUCAUCGGCCAUUUCGAAGGCCACGUGAAAUGUCACUAACGUGGCCCUCUAAAUAUCCACUACUUUGUCUUUAACCCCUCCCCCCUCCCUUAUAAAACACUCCAUCCUCCUCCUUAAUCACCAUCACCAACAACCUUCUCUCCUCCCUCAAAAGUACCACCAUCUUUUCCGACAUGGCUACUUCUUCAAUCUUCAUGGCAACUCCCAUCACACUCCUCAAGAAAACUCCCACCUUCUCCGUCAAAUGUAUGUCACAAACACCUCAAAGCGGUGAACCGGAGGUUUCAAAACCAGCAACCACCCCAACACUACCACAGAUCAACAUUCCUCCUCCUCCGCCACCUGCUCCAAAGGUCAGCACGAAGUUCUCUGACGUGUUGGCGUUUAGUGGACCUGCACCGGAGAGGAUCAACGGAAGGUUAGCCAUGAUAGGGUUUGUGUCGGCGAUGGCUGUGGAACUGAGCAGCGGUCAAGACGUGUUCACCCAGAUCGGCAACGGCGGUGUUGCGGUGUUUGUCGGGACAAGUGUGGUGUUGACGUUGGCGUCGUUGGUGCCGUUGUUUAAAGGAGUGAGCGUGCAGUCGAAGUCGAGUGGACUGAUGACAUCAGAUGCAGAGCUUUGGAAUGGGCGGGUUGCGAUGUUGGGUCUGGUGGCUUUGGCUUUUACUGAAUAUGUUAAAGGCAGUGCCCUUGUCUAGAUAAUGUAGCAUAAACUUUUCUAUUACAGAAUUACAUCUAAGAUAGGCAAAUGUAUAUUCUUUUGAAUAUUUAUGUGUAUCGAUUUACCAUACAUAGUUCAAAUCAUGAAAAUCAUGUUUUUUUGAUAAUAUAGUAUAAAACAAAUAUGAUCAAUCAAAUCGAACGAUUGUGGUAUCUUUCAAUAUAAAAUUCUUUUUACAAAAAUAAACAAACAACAUACUAAGAUAAUUUUUUGAGGAAUGAACCUAGAUUAGCAAUAUAAGAGUCAAAGUCUACAAAGAUAUUGACAUCCUAGUUUCACAACUUCCUCUUUGAAUGUUGAAGGUGAUCAUUAAUUCAGACUGAAUAUGUGGCUAAGUCCAGCCUAGUCAAUUAGCCAAUUUAAGUUGACAAGUAUCCAAAAUUCAAAUAAACUACAUGGCUCAAUUUCAAAGAAAACUGAAAAAUGACUAAUGCUCACAAAAUGAUCACCGAAUCAAUUUAGGCUAUGAGGAGUGGUCACAUUCAAACCACCGGAAAAACGCUGCAAAGUCAGUGAUAUGUCAACUCCAUCACCUUCUAAACAUUGGAAACAAUUACCACUCCGUGUCAUUUAUAUUUUCAUUUUUUUUACAUUAGAUUAAAUAAAAAACAUAAUUACUAACUUAAGUAAUCAUUUUACUAAUUAAAAAAUCAACUAAACAUAUAUUAAUUUUCAAAAUUAAAUAAACAUAUAUAGUAUAUAUAGUUGAGGGUUUAACUUAAUUCAAAGAAAAGUAAGAGGGUAUAAUAAGAUUAAAAGACAUAAUUUUAGAGACCAAAUUUGUAACUUUAGUUAAAGCAAAUAUGAAUGGUCUUCUUCACAGGUCAUUGCUCAAUACCAUUUUUUUUCUUUUACUUCGAUGGAUACAAAGGAAAAGGGAAAAAAAGGGUCAAAUAAAUGACCGUUAUUGUUCUUGCUUUCUUAUCCGUCGUCUUCAUCCGUCUUUGCACCCACAUUACACCCAAACCACCGGCCUUAGGGGUGGUGGUGUUCACGUGUCCUUAGGCCGGACACAUCAGCAAGAUGUGUGAGUUAGUCCUCCCACUCCGAUUAGCCUUAAGCACUUAUUAAAAGCUAGUCUAUUUCUUGUUAGGUUGAAAUCUAAUGUUAUCAUCAAAUCUAUACAAGAUUGAGAUUGAUAUUAUAGUAACAAUCUCCCAAAGAAAAAUAAUAUAUUUAAAAGAAUAUAUAUAUANNNNNNNNUAUAUAUAUAUAUGAAUUAUGCCCCAAGAAGUACUAUGCAUGAGUAUAAGAUUACUAUUAUCUUUGGAUCCAUUAAUUGAUAACUAAGCAUACUUCAAAGUUACUAUAUGGUCGUAUGAGACCCGCGAAUAGGAAAUUGGCUGCACCCUUGGCCCGAUUCGAAGGCUAAAACCCAAAAGAACCAUGCACAUGAUUCGAACCAAGUGCUCUAAUGCUAUUUUGCCCAACUUACAUGAACUACCUCCAUACACAUACUUAAGAAACCCAUAAUCUCAUCCAGAUAGAGCAGGAAUGCCAGAGAUAAUCGGAAUAAUACCUCAAUCAAUUACAAAAAACAUCCGCAUUAUCGGUUGAAACAAGAUCCCAUACUUGAUUGAGACUGAACGGAUUCCAUCGCUACACAACUAGCUCGAGAAGACUUCCACGGAUCUCGAAAGUUGCCUAAACCUGAGUCUGCUAUGAAAUAGGUUCCCACUCCACCAUUGAGGGUAAACACACUUGAAGCCCCAAUGGACAUAGAUCAUACUAAGCUUGAUAACAGAUCAGCCUGACCACUACAUCUCGACUGACACAAUUAAACUUCCAAGUGAACUUUUAUUGAUUGAUGAACCCCACAACCAGUGGUCGAGGACACUUUAACACUUAGUCCAGAGAAUCAAGACCACAUAGAACUGAACAUACCCACUCAUGGAAAGAUCCAUCGACCAACGUCUGCCCAACUAAUAUGAAAAUAGUAAUCCAACAACAAACUGGGAAAUCCCUCAACAGCUAAAAAUACUCAACCUGAGAAUCCCGAUUCUCCUCCACUUAGGGCUUAAACUACCAUUCACUAGCGCUAAAACCAAAUCAUAAAUCAAACCAUAUUGAGGAUAUACUCCCUUCCUAACCCUGGAAGUUACGAGCCUCUUCACUCCUUCCCCGAACUCGGAAAAAAUGAAAGGGCAUAACCCUAGCCAUUGAUAAUGACGUUCCAAACCAACAAUCAACCACUUCCAACUGUAAAACCCAAGUCAAUCUUAAUCAUCGUCCCCUUCACGAGUCCCGCGACUCGAAUACCCGACCUCAAGCAAAACCCCCGAGGCCUCAAACAAAAAAGCUCCCUAGGUCUGCACCAAACAAACAAAAUCACUAACGCCACUGGGGCUCAAAACACUUACCAUAUCCAUCCGCAUGUCGGAGCAUCCACAAGCAAAAUAUUAACAGGAACAUAAACACUGCCGCGAAUCAUGGUAUCCAACCAUGCUAUCUUCACCGACCAACCCUUAGAAUCCCCAAAACCUUCCUUGAUUAGAUUAUGGAUCCUGUGCUUCAAGUAGUACUGGCCCAAUACUACCUUCCAUACCUAUCCAUACUUUCCUCAAGAAUCAUCCCAAGUCUUUUAAGUCCUAGUCAUAAAAUACUCCUGAAACUUGCUUAACAAUGAAGCAACCACGCUAAAAUACUCACCUACACUCCCUCUGCCAUCAACUGCUGAUAAACCCCUACCAAUGCCAGCUAACCACUUCAUGAAUACAAUUACACACAACCAAGCUUAAAUAAUCCUUCGAAUAAAGGGCUUAGCCCUACAACGAUUGGACUCAAACGAGAGCUGCACAAUAGGUUUGAGUCCUUCAUUCUAAGAUUAUUUAACCUUCAUAGCAUGUAAUUUUAUUAUAUUCACUUGAUGGUUAACUCCCAUCAACAUGGGUCCCACAAAGCACAAAGCAAGCAACAUUCGGGUAGAGAAGCCGACUGCGACUAAAACGCAACAAAAUCAGACAUAUCCUCAUAGAAAAUCCUCGAUCUCAAACUCCUCGCACCACGAGUGCGCCUUCACCCUGCUCUCACUCUCCCCAGAGUGGUUAAUCAUUCCUCGUGCUUACCCGCUAUACACUGCACCCACUCAUGAAACUUCCACCAACCCUACAACACUCGUGUAUGCUAGCCGUACAUAACACUGGAUCCUAUAGACAGUCGAAUAUCUGAUCCUACUCUAAGCCCUUCAUCAAACAAGAACAUGAAAUAAGGCCAAACCAAACAUUCUCAGGCUAUAGAAUCUUAGUUAUGUACAACUAUGAUGUAUACACUAAGUAACUGUAGUAGAUGAUGUCAAUUUCAUUUAAGGAAGAACCCUAGGCUAUCAGACAUCAUAUAAUCAUGCAACUUUGUCAUGCAAUUCCUGAAGAUCCCUAGCCUAUCACUACCAUGCUAUUCUAAUAUUUCACAAGAUCAAAUAAAGUGUGGUAAUUUGGGGUCUACUUACUAGCUCCGACUGAUCAUACACAUCGUAUCCUCUUUAGUUUGAAAGUUAUUUUUAAAACCUUUACUUUGAAAAUUACUUUUUUUAAAACACCUUUUCCUUAGUUUGAGACCGGAUUCACACGAGUUUUCCUCCCAUUCACUCAAACCAAGGCUCUGAUACCAACUAGUAACGUCACAAAAAUUUCAACAAAUCUAAACCUUUCAAAACAACCCAUAUGUUAACAAAAGUGAUUUGAUCCGCAGGCACUCUGCACGCCUUGAACUCCCGUAAUGAGGGAGUUCGAGCCCCAAUCUGACCCACAGUGAUCUCAGAUCGGAAAGAACAAUCCGCUCCUCCAUAUCCUCCAUGAUCCCCUCCUUGACGGUACUGAACCCGAUCUCGAACCUGAACCUCCUCGCGUAGCCAUCAUAAUCUUCAACUGAAAAUACAACAUAGAAAGAAAUUGAUAAGGAAGUUCAAAGGGAUUUCUCCCCACUGGACUCCUUAAAGCCUUCAGGUAUGUCCUUGUCUCGGGUACAAGUCUUGUGCUUUUAGUAGUACGGACCAAAUACUACCUUCCACACCUACCUGUACAUUCCCCCAAGGCCAUACCUGAUACCUCCAAUUCACCAAACCAUAGAUAAAACAUGACCUACGAAACACAGCACAUACACAUAUCUUAGAAUCUUCGGGGAUUUCUCAAUCCUCAUAGAACCAGAAACCUCAAUCAACACCGCAUGUUGCCUUAUGCAUGCAAGUUAUACAUUAAUAGAAUCAUAGAGACUGUCAAAUAAAGUUUCUACCCUAAGACCACAACCAAACAAGGAACAAGAAGUAAGGCAGAAUCCAUCGUUCUAGGGCUAUAAAAUCCUAAACAUAUACAACUUUGAAAGCAUACACUUAGCAAAUAACAACGUCAACAUCGAUUCCAAGCAUUAUAUUCAUAGCAUUGAACUCUCCUAGGCUACAAGGCAUCUCACAAAUCAGACAAUUCUCAUAACACCUAAAGGUAUCCUUAGCCCUAUUCUAGCAUGCAUUUCACACAUUAACAUACUAGUUGCAAUUCAUAAGCAUGGUUAAAUUUUUGGAAACACUUACUUGAGCUUGGCUGAUUUCGCGCAUUGCGCUCUCCCUUUUUACUUAAGAAAACCGGUUUAAGAAAAACUUGACUUUUGUUUCUUUUUUUAAAAAGGUUUACCAUUUCCUCAGUUUGAGUUGUGACACAUAGUGUGCCCGAAUUCCUCAAACCAAGGCUAUGAUACCAACUUGUAAAAGCCCAAAAAUCCAGAUAAAAAUUUUCAUUUAAAAAAAAAUAGAAAUUACAAUCAUAAUUUGUUUCUUAAAAUCCAUUACAUCAUUUCAUAUCAAAAUAUCAGAGUAUCAAUAUCAAUAAAUGAGGAAAUUCUUGGGAGUGAAUGUUGCGCCAUCUAGCUAGGCCCUUCCCCUUAGUACCGAAAGUACCUGAAAACACCUAAAUAAACUGUAAGCAAAAACUUAGCGAGUUCCCAAAAUACAACAUAACAUAUAACCACAGAAUACCACGCCACAUACAUAAGAUUGCCAUGGACAACCCCAUGGUCUUUACUUGGAAUGCCAUGGGCUACCCCAUGGUAUUUACCUAGAAUGCCAUGGGAUACCCCCAAGGUCGGAUAUCCAAGUGCCAUGUGCUACCCCAUUGGUCUUUACCUGGAAUGCCAUGGGCUACCCCCAUGCUCUAAUAUCCAAGUGUCGUGCGCUACCCCCAUGGUCUUCAUAUAAGUGCCACAGGCUACCCCCGUGGUCUUCACAUAAUGAAUUGCAUAAAAACUAUCAAUCCACAUGUCAGGCAAUGGGCCGCCAUUGGUGCCUUCGACCCAUUGAUAUAGUGAGAAGACUCACCUCAGACUGCUGAUAAAAAUACUGCUCGGCUAACGCUCUAGAUAUCUGACACUGAAUAUACACAAGUUAACCUAAUUAGAAUUAAGUCACAAACUCAAGGCCUAGGCCAAAACCCUAAGUACAAACUCCUCCAAUAAGGCCCAAAGUCUUUUUCCUUUAAUGGGCCUAACAUCCAAGAUCCAAAAAGGGGCAUAAGGCCCAAAAGGCCUAGCCAUGCCACUUAUGGUCCAACAACAAGUUCAAAGGCCCAAAUACUAUAAUAGAUCCAGGCCCAAGUCUAAGUAGAGCCCAAAUAGCUUAAAGGCCCAACAAAAGCCCAAAACUCAUUGGAAGCGUACGCCCAACGUACAUCAUCAGUACGCUUAGCAUACUGGGUUCUUUGGCGGUUAGCGUAGUGUACAAGCUAGUAUGCCCAACGUACAAGCUACUUUGCACAAAAAGCCAUUAAGUGCUUAAUUCAUGAAGCCAUUUCGUCCGAUUCCAGAUCUUGGUCAUCUUAAAGGUCCUAGGGCAUAAAGAUGGUAACUUUAUGUGUUUACAUGCCAUAUGGGAACCCAACACCUGAUUUUAUCCAUUAAGACUCCCUUUAAGAUCUUAAACUCAUGCAUGGUGCCAUAACAACCAUCAAGUUAGCAUUUUUAUGCUUUUAACAUGCCAAAGGAACUAGGAUCUAACAUUUAUAAUCUCUGGAGUUGUUCAAACUUACAAAAGAGGAUCCAUGGACCAAAAAUGGACUUAUUACCAAACCCUAACUCAAACUAGCGAAAGGAUAAGCAAGUUCUGGACUUUUUACCUCCAAAAGUUUUCCAAGAUGAAGUAGAUGCAGGAUCUAGAAGCUCAAACACGUCUAAGAGUUGAUCACAACCUUCUCCUUCUUACACACACAUUAAAAUAGCCACCAAAAUCACUUUUAAGCUCAAGAAUCACACUCACUUGCAAACUAGGGUUUAGGGACGAUAAGAGGCAAUAAAAGCUAUGUAGGGUUAGGUCCAAAUGUCAUAAGAGUGUUAAAAUAGGGUUCAUGCGCAAAAAUUAGGGUUUUUGUCAUAUGCCACGUACUCCUCGCAUACAUGGUGCAUGUACGCAUCUAAACCACCCUAGUACGCUAAGCGUACACGUAUGUACGCCCUGUUGGAUUAGUGUUUAAGUCCAUAACUAUAUUUGGUAUGUAUUUGACCAGGUUGUGCAUGGUCCUUUUAGGUUGCCUUCACCGAAGCAACUUGACUAGAGGAAUUAUAUAGAAAGAGGUGAUUAUGGUUUAUUAAUAUAUUAUAAGAUUUAUAUAUUAAAAGAGAAAUCAUGUUUGAUUAAUUAACAUUGGUCAAGAGUUAAUUAAACAUUAGUUUUGUGAUCAAAAGAAGUUAAUUGAACUUAAGGGGCUGAACUGUAAUUAUGUGAUAGUUACAAAGUUAGGCAAGGAAACCCUAAUGGAUAGGGUGGAUGAAUUCUAGGGAUAUAGCCUUAAGAAUUCGCCCAUGAUAGGGAUUCUAGAAUUAUCUUAUGGGCUGCUUGGUGGCUAAGUAACCAUAUAAGAAUAAUGAAUGAAACCCUAAUUCCUAAACCUAUAUAAAGGACCCUUGGUCAUGGGAAUUUCGGCAACUUGAACCCUAGAAGUCCUAGAGCCGAAAUUCUCCUCUUCCCUCUCUUGCUUCCUCUAAUUGCUAUUGGUGUUUGUUAUUAAUUAGAGGCACAACACUUGAGGUGCUAAAGUUGUCAAGGCUUCAAGAUCUUCAAUCAACAACGAGGUAAGCAUCUUGAUAUACUUUGCUAAGUUAAUUUCAAUUAUAUACACUAGAUCUAGGGUUUGAAAGUCUUGGAUGAAUGCACGUACAAUUAGAGAAACCUAGAUCCAAGCAUUAGGGUUUGCAUGAGCACAUAGGAUGUUCUUUUGGCUCAAACCUAUCAGUGGUAUCAGAGCUUUUGUUUGGUUUCUAUUGUAUUGAUGCCUUGCUUGUUCAUCCUCUCUUGAAAAUCGUGAUUUUGUGUUCUCUGCCUGACGAACUCGAUGAGUCCCAAUGUGGGCUCGACGAGUAGGAUGAACUCGACGAGUCCAUAAGGGCACUCAACGAGUCGGAGCGUCAGACAUAGAUUUUCGGGAUUUCUUGUUGUUUUGCUUAAUGAUAAUUACCUAAAUCGUUUUUGACUAAUAAAAUCUGAAUUUUAUUACUGCUUUAUGUUUAUCCUUUCCAAAACAAAAGAUAAUUUCCAUUUAUUUGAAUAAUAAAUUCCUUAUAUGAUAAUAAUUGAUUAUUUAAAUUAUUUGUUGAAUUAUCUUAUGAAUAAAAUUGAUUAGGUCAAAUUUAGAUAAUCAUUAAAUUAAUUGUUUAAUUUAAAUUAUUUGCUAUUUGAUCCUUUAUGUUUUGAAAAGUUCAAAACUUGUCCUCAAGUUUUGAAAUUUAAAUUUGUGAUUAAAAGUUUAAUUUAAACUAUUUAAAUUUCAAACCCUAGAAUUUUACAAGUUUAAAAUUCAACCUUAUACUUUACAAUANUUAAACGCUAGUCUUACUGUUAGUAGGCCUCAUUCACGAAGCCGAUCUAGAAGGAGGUAUAAGGUUAUGACCUAUAAAAUGGCCAUUUAAUGGGUGUCCACUCUCACCCACCACAUCCUUGAUUGGUGGAGGGUCGUUAGCCGAACGGGUAAGAUAGGGCAACCCUUUCUCAUGAAUAAGUAUAAUGAAUUAUAAAAGUAACUAAAUGUUUUACAAAAUUCCCAAUCUUAAUUACUUUAGGCAAAAGUGAAAUUGAUGCAAUUCCAUUAAAUUACAUUUUGUACCCGUGCUAAGACGUUAGUGGAGCGUGUGUGGUUAACUGGCACACUAAUUCGGUUCUAAGAAAAGGUGGUAAAGGGUGACUCAUUGUUUCUCAUUGUUCGAUGGAGCAUGUGUGGUUAACCAGCACAUCGAAUAGGUGACUGUAACAAUGAGGGCACCAUGUAUAUUUGCAUGGUUAUUCAUACCCACUUUGUGAUCCUCAGCAUCCCAGUCACAAACUAGAGGGGCAUAUCAAGAUUUAUACAUGCCAUUGAAAAGUUCAAUGAAUCUCAAAAUAUCUAGGAGUUUUCAAUACAUUUAAAACUUAAUCUCUUUUUCGUUUUUCAUGGUGGAGAAUUAGUGAAUCGUCAUUCACUUACCUUCAAAUUAUUUGCAUGUUAGAUUACGACACCCCUCUUCUAAUAUGUAAAUAAUGUUGUUGGAUCCUAGCCCUAAUUUCUCAUUUAGGUGUUUCAUUAGGGAUUCAUUUCUAAUCAAACUUUGUUCUUUUUCCUUUUCAGAUGUCGAACAACAACAAUGCUUCCGGAUCGUUCUCACUCAUGAACUUGUGUGGGAGAGUGAUCUUUGACGAGUCCAAUUUCAAUGAUUGGAUUCGCAACAUCCGAAUGGUCACUCGUUACGAGGACAAAGAGUAUGUCCUUGAUAAGAAGCUGAAGGAAAUCAACCUCAACACUGCUACUACUGAAGAGAUCGCCACCUUUAAGGCUCAUGAGCGUGAUGCCACGAAAGUCCAUUGCAUCAUGCUAGCGACCAUAACUGCAGAACUCCAAAAGUCCUAUGAGGACAUGUAUCCCUAUGAAAUUCAUCAAAACUUGUUGGACCGGUACCACCAAAGUGCAAGGCAAGAAAGGUAUGAGAUCAUCACUUCGAUGAUCACUACCAGAAUGGGUAAUGGAGAGUCCCUUACCGCCCAUCUGCAAAAGAUGCAGAGAUAUGUUGAUCACCUGCUAAAGUUGAAAGUUAACUUUGAUGAAGAGAUGGCAAUCGACAUUAUCCUUCACUCCUUACCUCCCUGCUACAACCAGUUCCGCAUGACUACCACAUGAAUAAGGAAGAGGUCACCUUGAGCAAGCUUCACGGCUUGCUAAGAACUGUUGAGAGCAAUUUCAAGGAUAAGUAUGUUGCAUCAACUCCAACUCCCACUGCUGCCCUUGUCUUGGAAAAAGGGCAAGGGAAGGGUAAGAAAAGGAAGGCUCCCUCAAAUAUCCACCACAAGGGAAAGUCCCAAGAUGUUACCUCUUCUAGUGGAACCAAGGCUGGUUCUGCUAAACCCAACUCUAACCCUAAUGAGCCAGAGUGCCACCACUGCCACAAAAUAGGGCAUUGGAAGAGAAGCCGCCCAGAAUAUCUGCAAGCUAUCUAGGAUGGGACGAUCAAGCCAUCCUUCGCAGGUAUUUACACUAUUAAAUCUAAUGAUUCAUCGCAUGCUAUUUCUUGGGUUAUUGAUACAGGAUGUGGUUUUCACAUAUGUUCUGAUUUGCAGGGACUAAGAAGAAAUAGGGAUGUGGAGCAUGGAAGAAUAAACCUAAUAAUGCGAAACAAAAGAUUGUCGCCUGCCACCAAUAUUGGAGUAUAUAUAUUCCUUAAUGCUUAGUAAUGGAUUAGGUUUUGAUUUAAACAAUUGCUGCUAUUCGCCAGAUAUGGCAAGAAACAUCAUUUCAUUUCAUGGUUUAUAUAGGCAAGGAUUUAGAUAUUCAUUUGAUAAUGAAAAGGGUUCUAUUUAUGCUUAUCUUAAUAGUGUUUUAUAUUUUGAAGCAUUGCCUUGUAAUGUAAUAUAUGAAACUGUGAUGGUUGUAGAUAACUUAGGAAAUGAUGUAUUGUGUGUUGAUUCUUCCAACAAUAUAGAUAAAGCAUGCUUGUGGCAUUGUCGUCUUGGACAUGUCAACAAGAAACGCAUAGCCCAACUCUAAAAGGAUGGAGUGUUGGAGUCAUUCGACCUUAGGGAUGAUGACGUGUGUGAGUCUUGUUUACUUGGAAAGAUGACCGAUGUGUGUGGGCACUUGUGAAAGGGGUGAGGGUUUAUUGGAUCUCAUACACACCGAUGUGUGUGGGCCCUUUAGAUUACCACAAAAGAUGCAAGCCACUUCUAUGUGACUUUUACCGAUGAUUAUAACAGAUAUGGGUAUAUCUACUUAAUCAAGCACAAGUCGGUAACCUUUGAAAGGUUCAAAGUGUUUAAAGAAGAAGUGGAGAAUCAUUUGGGCAGGAAUAUCAAGAUGCUUCGAUCCGAUCGAGGAGGAGAGUACCUAAGUCUUGAAUUCCAUGACUAUCUCAAGGAAUGCGGAAUCGUUUCACAAUUGACGUCACCUAGGACACCGCAGUUAAAUGGUGUGGCUGAGAGGCGUAAUCGAACCUUGUUGGACAUGGUUCAUUCCAUGAUGAUUCGUGCUUCACUACCUAUCUCAUUCUGGGGGUAUGCCUUAGAGACUGCCGCCCAUAUCCUUAACUUAUUCCCUACGAAGAAGGUUGCCAAAACACCUCACGAGAUGUAGACAGGGAAAGCUUCCUCGUUAGCACAUAUCAAGGUUUGGGGGUUGCGAGGCUUUCGUAAGACGAGAGACUCACGACAAGCUCGAACCUCGUAGUGAGUGGUGUAUUUUCACCAGCUACCCACAAAAGACCUUUGGAUAUCUCUUCUAUAGUCCGAGUGAGAACGUUGCCUUCAUUGCGAGGAGAGGGGUUUUCCGUGAGCGAGAACUCAUAAGCCUAGGGGACAGUAGGAGGCAAAUCGAUCUUGAAGAGAUUCAAGAGUUGAGCGAUGAAGGAACCUCCAACACCGGGGCUUACCCGAGGAGGAAACUCCGGUUGAACCGAUUGACGAGUCCUUACCUCUUAGACGUUCCGAAAGAGUUAGGUUUCAACCCCAGUUAUAUGGCUUUCAUAUUACUACAGAAGGGGAUACGUAUAUUAGUGAUAUUAUACUAAUAAAUUUGGAUGAACUUAACAGCUAUAAGGAAGCCAUUGCAGGCCCAGAGUCUGCAAAGUGGAAAGAGGCGACGGACAGUGAGAUUCUGUCCAAGUAUGACAACCAAGUUUGGAAUUUGGUUGACAAUGUACUAGGUCGUAAGAUGGUCUGGUGCAAAAUGAUCUUUAGGAAGAAGGUACUAAAACGUUUUGUGACAACCCGAAAUUUCCAUUUUGUACGAACAUUAGCUAUUCAAUAGAAGCUAGUCCAAUUUCAAUGAAUUUCAGACUUUUCUAAAUAAAUUUGUGUACAUUAGGGUUUACGUUUAAGGAGAUAUCAGGAGAGUGGAUGCUCAUGGGUUUGUGAAACUUGAGCAUUUCAAAACUUCAUAAUGUUAGAGUCCAAUUCCGGAAUAAAAAUAUUUUCUGCCAAAAUAUUUCAGGACUAUAAAUAGAUUUCUGAACUAAAUUCAUUCAUUAUUCACACUUCCAACUAGAGAAAAGCCAUUUUCUCUCUCACAGAUCUUCGGGUUUUCAUCCCAAAUCGUGAGUACACUUCUUUAGUUGUUUUAUAAUGCUUGUUAUAUGCUUAAUAACAUAGAUUACAUGUCAAAUAUGUGAGAUCCGGGAGUUUACCGCCCAAGAACGUUCUUGGGGAGUAAACUCGAAAAUAAAGCUUUAAGGCUAUCUAGUCCCAUUUCCUUGUUAGGUAACUAGCUUAGGAUAAUAUGUAGGAUCAUUUGAGACAAGAAAACAAUCCAGAACACAUAGCUUUAGGAGUUUUCGGCCCAAGAGUUUCUUGGACCGUAAACACCAAAUACAAGGGCUUAAAUGUGCCCUAAUCACUCCCAAAGGCUUUAGACUUUAACCCUAAAUUACUUCUAGCUAAUAUGGGGACAUUAACACAUCAAAAAAACCCCUAAAAGGGAGUUUACGGCCAAGAAAUGCUCUUGGGCCGUAAACACCAAUUAAGGGCACCAAAGUGUGCCUAGGGCCCCCCUUAGCAUAAAUCAAAUGCCUCGAAAGUAUUCUACUUGUGUUUGAGACUUGAAAGAAUUAAAACAUCCAUCCCAUGAGAGUUUACGGCCGUAAACUCUAAGGGAUAUGGCCUUUUGGCCGUAAACUCCUCAAAGGAGUGUUAUCUAUGCCCUAAACUACCCAAAGGAUUAAACCACCAAACUAGGCUUAUUCUAGAAAUCAUUUAGCACUUUAAAACACCCAUUACCACCAAGAUUGGAGUUCACGGCCGUAAACUCAAGGUUUUACGACCGUAAACUCCUUGUGUGGGGUUUAUUGGGUAGUAAACUCUUAUACAAAGUCCUUGGAAGCUUUAAACCCCUUUAGCUUGUCCCAUAACAACUUAGAUGCAACCAUUAGGACCUAUAACACUUAUACAAGGUGUUUACAUGUUCCUAAGUGUCCCAACUUAUUUCAUUAAGUUAUUAUUUGGCUAAUUAGUUAUAUAUAUGCUCAUUAUAUGAUAACUAGGCUCGUGCGUGUGAACAAGUCUCCGUUUGCCACCUAGCACGGUAUCCGACACUACAAUCCAAACCACUCACCACAAGUGAGUUCAUACCCCUUUAAUUAACCUUUGAAAUACUUUUAAAUGUUUUAAAUACUUUAUGGGGGGGAUACAAGUUAAAUGCUUAUAGUUAUUGCAUCAAUCACAUGUGAUUACAUUAAUCAUAUGUGAUUAAUAACUAGAAAACCAAUGAUCUUAUCACUGUUUAAACUGUUUAUCAAACUGUUUUACUUCAAACUGUUUUACAAACUCUUUUACUCAUCAAAUACUUUUAUUUAAACUUUGUUAUACUUCUUAUAAACCGCAUGCCCAUAUAUGUAUAGAUAUAUAAGCAAUGUUUAAAGGGUUUAGGAAGGUCAUCCGCCCUAUUUCCUUUUUCUCGAUUUGGAUGUGGUCUGGUGGGAUUUCGGGUAACCAUCCGAAGGUCGUUUCAAUAUUAAUUAUAUAUCAAAUGUACAUAUAUAGACAUAAAAGUACUCCUUNUAUACUAGGAGAAGAACAUAUACAACUAUACUAGAGGAAGAACAUAUACAACUAUACUAGAGGAAGAACAUAUACAACUAUACUAGAGGAAGAACAUAUACAACUAUACUAGAAAGAGAACAUAUACAACUAUACUAGAGGAAGAACAUAUACAACUAUACUAGAACAGUUCAUUACAUUACACAUACUAGAAUACGUUCAUUAUUGUGAUAUGAAUCGGGGCAUGACUUAAAUGCCAUGGCCCGAGUUGUAGCCAGAGUCUCUUGAAGGGAGAGCGUGAGUUUGCGUAUAGAUCUAUACUGGAUUGACUAUCCUACACCUUGCUGCUAGCUACAGCCGGACCUGCAGGUCUGCGGGUGCCAAACGUCAUUCCGUUAUUACGACCAUUCGUAUGUCGUUGUUACCAGUCGAUAGUAUGGUGCAAUUAGUCACAUGAUACCUUAAUAUAAAUCCGGUUUAAGGUAGUUAGUACAACAAUAGUUCCUAUAAUACAACACUACAGUACUACAAUAAUUUACCCAUUACAUAUAUUUAGUGAUUAUUUCACUUAAACAUUAAUGUACAAACUAUAUUUUGUUAAAUGAUAGUUACACUUGGGAAAUUACACACUUUUACAACAAACGAGCAUACAAAACAGUUAAGCCUUGGUAGAAGGCUACUUUAAUAGAAAAUAUAGGUUUUUCUGAGAGAUUCAAACUUUUACAAACACUUACAUACAUUUUACAAACUUACACUUGAGACACGUUCAAACGUUUUGAUAACAAACAUCGACACUAAAAUACUUAUGAACUCACCAGCUUAAUGCUGAUAAACUCUUUCAAAAUAACUUGUAUUCUCAGGUCAUCAAUAGACAGGUACUUAGGCCAGCUUUUGAGAAGAUGGAGCGCAUUCAAGACUCAUCUUAUUAUUUUGAUUUACAUUAUAUUUUGGUGUCUAAAACUGUACAGAACACGCUUGUAUUAAAAUUAUAUAUUUAAUGCAAUGGAUGAUGCUGUUUGCUUAUUUACAUUUACUGUGUUGUGAUACUUUACAUGACGUCCUCCGCCCCACAACGUUUCCGCCGUUCUUGGUUUUGGGGUGCGACACGUUUUAGUAUGGAGAAUUCAAAGAAGGCAGAGUUACCAAUCCAAAGUAAUGCGAAGUUGAGUACGACUCAAAGUCCGAGUACUGAAGUCGAGAUAGCAGAAAUGAGCUAAGUACCUUACGCUUCCGCAGUUGGCUCGAUCAUGUACGCUAUGACUUGUACUCGCCCUGAUGUGGCCUUCGCUUUGAGCAUGGUCAUUAGAUAUCUAGGGAACCCUAGAAAAGCACAUUGGACCGCAAUCAAGAAUAUUCUUAAGUACCAUCGAAGGACCAAGGAAUGGUUUCUAGUCCUCGGUGGGAGUGAUGACUUAAAGGUGCGAGGGUAUAGUGACGCCAGUUUUCAGACCGACAGGGACAACUACCGUUCGCAGUCGGGCUGGGUCUUUACCCUAAAUGGUGGAGCAGUGACUUGGAAAAGUUCCAAGCAAGAGACCGUAGCUGACUCAACAUGUGAAUCAUAGUACAUUGAAGCAAGCGAAGCGUCAAAUGAGGCAAUAUGGUUGAAGAACUUCAUUGGAGACCUUGGAGUUGUGCCGACCAUACAGGAGCCUAUUGAGAUUUUCUGUGAUAAUGAAGGAGCGGUUGCCUUGACCAAGGAACUGAGGGAUCACGGCAGAUCUCAACAUAUUGACAGAAAAUAUCACUUUAUUCGAUAUCAGAUGGAAAAAGGACUCCUCGUAGUGAAGUGCGUAUCGUCAGAAGAUAACCCAUCAGAUCUGCUUACGAAGGGACUGAGCAGGGUUAAGCACUUGCAGCAUGCUAGGAGCAUCGGGCUGAAGGACGAUAUUAGUUUAGAUUAGAUAGUUUGGAAACGUGUAAUAGAUAAAUUAUAAUUAACAUCUGAUGAUUAAAUAAAAGAGUAUUAUUUAUUAGUAAUGUUACUAUCUUAUGUUAAUUGUUUACCUAUUGUUUCAUUUUGCAUGUUUUGACUUCCUGAAUAAUAAGAAUUAUUUAAAUGGUCUACAGUUGUUCAUAUGUUGGAACUAGGUAUGAAUGAAGACUGUCAUGAAUUGGUGUGUAGAUUGUCUAAAGUGUAUUAGACAUAGCAAAAGUUUGCUACAACAUUCAUGAGUGCUUAUGAAAAGUUUUGAGCAUUGGAAUAAACCCAUGCUUGCUGGAAUCACUUCAUGGAAUUCAUCAUGAGUGAUCGCAAGACGAUAAUAUAUCAUAUGGUCUUAAAACAUAGAUAUAUGGUUUAUUGUUUUCUAAUUGGUUGUGCAUUGAUAAUGCGUAAACACAUCAGUAACUUGAUGUUAUAAAACGCAUUGUUGUGUAUGAUUUGAUUAGUGGAUAGUAAAUGCAUAUAAGUCUAAGUUCAUCUGUUCCUUUUAUCCUAAUAGGUUAAAAGUGAUAUCAGGACCCCUUGAUGAUUUGAUUUGACUUAUGUGUCGGGCCCGGUCAGGACUGAAUUGAUGUGUUCAAUUACGUUCUAUGUCAAAUGAAUCAGAGAUUAAGAAACAAACUGUUGGAUAAUAAGUAUGACUAUGUUCCAUGUAAUUGUCCGCAUGAUAUCUAGAACAAAGGAUUAUACGAUCCCUUAUCUUAAGGACAAGUUACUGAUAAGAUCAAGAGUUUUGAGAACUGUGAUUGCUAAUCGAAUCCAGAAGUUGCAUUUGCAUUUAUAGUUAUUAUCAAGGUUGUAAAAAAUUCUCGACGUUAGCUAGUCGGUGGACUGGGGUUAAGAGAUUAAUCGGGUAGGCGGAGAUUAAUCGGGGGAUUAAUGGAGACCAUUAAUUGAUAAUUUGUUGAAUUUUAAAAAAUUGAAUAUGACUAAUAUCAUAUCAAAGUCCGUAAGUACCACUAAUAUCAUAACAAAAUAGGUUGAUAUGUUUAAUACAACAUUAAUCAUGCUUGAAAUAGUUUCUAUUGAGAUAAAACUUCUUAAAAAUGUUUAAAUUUCAUCGUUUUAUACAGUUUUACUCAUUAUUUAUGCAUGGAUUAAUCGCUAGGUGCCAUCUAGUUGGUUGAGUAAUGCCUAGGGAUUAAUCGGAGAUUAAUCGGGACCUAGUCAUGAUUUUUACAAUAAUGGUUAUUAGACUUAUCCAAGUAGGGGAAUGUUGGAUUAGUGUCCAAGUCCAUAACUAUAUUUGGUAUGUAUUUGACCCAGUUAUGCAUGGUCCUUUUAGGUUGCCUUCACCAAAGCAACUUGAUUGGAGGAAUAAUAUAGAAAGAGGUGAUUAUGGUUUAUUAAUAUAUUAUAAGAUUUAUAUAUUAAAGGAGAAAUCAUGUUUGUUUAAUUAACGUUGGUCAAUAAUUAAUUAAACAUUAGUUUUGUGAUCAAAAGAAGUUAAUUGAACUUAAGGGGCUGAACUGUAAUUAUGUGAUAGUUACAAAGUUAGGCAAGGAAACCUUAAUGGAUAGGGUGGACAAAUUCUGGGGAUAAUGCCUUAAGAAUUCGUCCAUGAUAGGGAUUCUAGAAUUAUCUUAUAGGCUGCUUGGUGGCUAAGUAACCAGAUAAGGAUAAUGACUGAAACCCUAAUUCAUACACCUAUAUAAAGGACCAUUGGGCAUGGGAAUUUCGGCCACUUGAACCCUAGAAGUCCUAGAGCUGAAAUUCUCCUCUCCCCUCUCUCUCUUGCUUCCUCCAAUUGCUAUUGGUGUUUGUGAUUCAUUAGAGGCACAACACUUAAGGUGCUAAAGUUUUCAAGGCUUCAAGAUCUUCAAUCAACAACAAGGUAAACAUCUAGAUCUACUUUGCUAUGUUAAUUUCGAUUAUAUACACUAGAUCUAGGGUUUGAAAGUCUUGGAUGAAUGCAUGUACAAUUAGAGAAACCUAGAUCCAAGCAUUAGGGUUUGCAGGAGCACAUAGGGUGUUCUUUUGGCUCAAACCCAUCACGCCCAAUGUACGUAGGGACCUCCUUUACAAAUAAGUUUCAUUCCAAGGGUUAAAAGGGUAAAUACCUACAUUCCGAAUGUUACAUAUAGAUAGUAAAAUACUUGAUUCUACCCUAAGCCCUUCAUCAAACAAGAAAAUGAAAUAAAGCUAAACAAAAAUUCUCAAGCUAUACAAUCUUAGUUAUGUACAACUACGAUGCAUACACUAAGCAACUACAAUAAUGACGCUAAUUAUAUAUAAGAAGUAAUCCUAGGGUAUCAAGCAUCCUAUAUCAGGAAAUCCUUUCAUGUAAUUCCUGAAGAUCCCUAUCCUACCACUAGCAUGAUGUUAUAUCAUGAAAAACAUAUCAAGUAACCGUGUGGGUAACUUUGGGUAAAUUUUCUUGCUCUGGCUGAUCAUACACAUCGCAUCAUUCCUUGGUUACUUUUGAAAACAAUUUUUGAAAACCAUUAAAAGAAAACUUUACAGCUUCCUAGUUUGAGUUUGGAUUCACACGAAUGUUCAUCCAGUUCUCUCAAACCGAGGCUCUGUUACAAACUUGUAACACUCCAAAUAUCAUAGAAAAUUAAAAAUUUUAAAUUUCAACCAUUAACCAACAUUUUUUACAAAAAGAGUCAUUGCUUCAAAAGUAUUAUUCAAAAUCAUAGUUUUUCCUAAGACCUAAUAACACAAAAUAGGAAGAUGUGCACGAUCACGCCUUCUCCUUCCUACGAUCAUCCGAAGUACCUAAAACAAUAAACUGAAAUUGUAAGCCAAAGCUUAGUGAGUUCCUCCAAAGUACCAUCAUGGAACAUAUAAAAUACAUAGAUUAACAUGUUGGGUCCAUAACCUCCCAGUUGGAUUACCUUGGCUCACAACCUCCCUGUUGGAUUGCCCUGCAUACCACAUACUGGGUCCACUACCUACCGACUGGGUUGACUUAGAUGGUUUGUGGAGUUUGGCCUAUUUUGACCCAAGGAUAUUUUGGAUAAGUUGGUAGUUAUUUAAGUCGACCAAUAUUUUGGGAUAAUAGGUGUCGAGUAGAGCCGGUUGUCAGGGAAGAGAUUUAUUCAGCUUAUGUUCAGACUGAGAGGUGAGUUUUCCUCACUGUACUUACGGGUCGAAGGCACCAAGGCCGACCCAACGAAUUGAUAUCCUGUCUAUACUGAUUGAAGAUAUGUUGAGUAUGCGAUAGAUCUGAAUGAUUAUAUGAUAGUUAUGAUAUACGUUAGACUGGUAGAUCUAUAGGGCUACCUAUGAUUAUUGGUUGUAUAAUCAUCUGUAUGUUGUAUAUAUAUUAUAUGUUAUAUGCCGACAUGUUACAUUGGGGUUGAGACUACUGCUUUGUGUCGUCAGUCAACAGACCAUGUCAAUCCAAUUGGGAUGUUGUGGGCUAGGGUAAUUCAACCAGGAGGUUGUGGACACAAUAUGCUAAUCUGUGUAUUUUAUAUGUUGCAUGAUGGUACUUUGGUGGAACUCACUAAACUUUGUGUUAUAGUUUCAGUUUAUUUUCAGGUACUUCUGAUGAUCGCGGUACGAUGAAGGUGUGGUCAUGCACAUCUUCCUGUUUUGUGUUAUUGGGUCUUGGUGAAAACUCUGAAAGUCAUGACACACUUCAAAUUGAAGUAUUUCGAUGGUACAAUCAAAAUCUCUAUUGGAUAAAAUUUAGUGACAACAACAGAGAAUUAAAAGGUUACGAUUCUUGUGUGUACCAUAUUCAAAUACCCAAAAAGGGAUAUAACUCCUUGUUCGAAAUAAAGCUAAACCAAAAAUUCUCAAGCUAUAGAAUCUUAGUUAUGUACAACUAUGAUGCAUACACUAAGCAACUACAAUAAUGAUGCCAAUUCUAUAUAAGAAGUAAUCUUAGGGUAUCAAGCAUCAUAUAUCAAGAAAUUCUAUCAUGUAAUUCCUGAAGAUCCCUAGCCUACCACUAGCAUAUUGUUCUAUCGUGAAAAACAUAUCAAAUAAUAGUGUGGUUAACUUGGGGUAUACUUUCUUACUCCGGCUGAUCGUACACAUAUCAUCAUUCUUUGGUUACUUUUGAAAACCAUUAAAAAAACUUUUACAGCUCCCUAGUUUGAGUUUGGAUUCACACGAAUGUUCAUCCAAUUCGCUCAAACCAAGGCUCUAAUACCAACUUGUAACACUCCAAAUAUCAUAGAAAAUUAAAAAUUAAAAAUUUCAACCAUUAACCAACAUUGUUUACAAAAAGAGUCAUUGCUUCAAAAGUAUUAUUCAAAAUAAUAGUUUUUCCCAAGACCCAAUAAUACAAAGCAGGAAGAUGUGCACGAUCAUGCCUUCGCCUUCCCGCGAUCAUCAGAAGUACCUGAAACAAUAAACAGAAACUGUAAGCCGAAGCUUAGUGAGUUCCCCCAAAGUACCAUAAUGCAACAUUUAAAAUACAUAGAUUAACAAAAUGGGUCCACAACCUCCCAUUUGGAUUACCUUGGCCCACAACCUCCCCGUUGGAUUGCCUUGCAUACUACAUACUGGGUCCAUAACCUUCCGACUAGGUUGACUUGGCUAGUUUGUGGAGUUUGACCUAUUUUGACCAAAGGAUAUUUUGGAUAAUUUGGUAGUAAUUUAAGUCGGGCAAUAUUUUUGGAUAAUAGUUGUUGAGUAGAGUCGGUUUUCGGGGAAGAGAUUUAUUCAGCUUGUCUUCUUACUCAGAGGUGAGUUUUCCUCACUGUACUUAUAGGCCAAAGGCACCAAGGCCGACCCAAUGGAUUGAUAUCCUGUUAGGUACUGAUUGAUGAUUUGUUGAGUAUGCGAUAGAUCUGUAUGAUUAUAUGAUAGUUAUUGAUAUACGUUAGACAUGUAGAUCUAUAGGGCUACCUGUGAUUAUUGGUUGUAUAAUCAUAUGUCUAUUGUAUGUAUAUUAUAUGUUAUAUGUCAACAUGUUACGUUAGGGUUGAGACUACUACUUUGUGUCGUCAGUCAACAGACCAUGAGAAUCUAACCGGGAGGUUGUGAGCCAGAGUAACCCAGCCGGGAGGUUGUGGGCCCAACAUGCCAAUCUAGGUGUUUUAUAUGUUGCAUGAUGGUACUUUGGAGGAACUCACUAAGCUUUGGCUUACAAUUUCAGUUUAUCGUUUCAGGUACUUGUGAUGAUCGCAGGACGGUGAAGGUGUGAUCAUGCACAUCUUCCUGUUUUGUGUUAUUGAGACUUAGGAAAAACUCUGAUUGUGAAUAAUACUUUUGAAGCAAUGAAUCUUUUUGUAAACAAUGUUGGUUAAUGGUUGGAAUUUUUUUUUUUUUUUAAAUUUUUAUGAUUUUUGGAGUGUUACAUUGGUUUUGUCUUAUAACUGAUCCAAACCCCCACACACCCUUGUUAAUCAUCAAAGAAGAAUCCAAUUAGAACUAAUUCUAUUCAACAAUAACAACCAUAGGGUGUUAGAAAUCCAUUACCUCAAAUGUAGGGAUCUUUUGAUGUCUAAGAACAUUAAUCAAGAUAAAUUAAUAAGGAUAUUCAAUUAAACCAAAGGUCUUUUGGCCUAGCACUAUCAUAUGUUGGAAAAAUGACCCUUCCUAAUGUUAGAAAAACGGGUUAUUUCGAUUGCUUGGAUUCCACUGAAAGUCAUGAUACACUUUCAAAUUGAAGUAUUUCGGUGGUACAAUCAAAAUCUCAAUUGGAUAAAAUUUAGUGACAACAAUAGAGAAUGAAAAGGUUAUGAUUCUUGUGUGUACCAGAUUCAAAUGACCAAAAAGGGAUAUGACUCCUUGUCCGAAAACUGUCAUAUUAACAGUUACAAACUGCCACAAAGCUGUCACUAAACUUGUAACACCCCAAGUUCAGAAGUGCAAGUUCAGGGUUCUUGGUGUAAUUAAGGAAGAUCGACUCGGCGAGUCGAGUCGUGAUUUGGCCAUGUGCUAAGUGACUGACUCGGCGAGUAGGCAGCUAGACUCGACGAGUCAGUGCUGGAGUGAGAAACCCUAAUUCAUGGGGUUUGCACCCUAUAUAAGGAACCUUAAGUCCCACCCCAGCCUCUUUAGGACUCCCUCUGAUGUCCAGAAACUUUCCACAUCGAUUUCAAACCCUAAAUUGAGAGUGAGAGGGAUUUAAGUGUGUUUUGGAGCUUGAAGAAGAAGGAUACUUGAAGCAAGAGUUGGUGGGAUCAUAGAGGAGCGAAGUGGAUCUGAUUUCCUUGCUUCUUGGCAUCAGCAUCAAGGUAAAAAGUUGUUGCCUUGACUUUGUUGUGUUUAGAUGGUUCAUGAAUGAAGUUUUAGGGCCAAUUUAUCAUAUAUGAGCCUCUUUUCGAGUAUUGGGUUUAGAUCUGUGGUUGCUACUACAGAUCUAGACUGGUCCUGACUCAUGAAUCUGGAAAGUGAUAGCUUUGGGGCUUGAUUGAGAGUGUCCUUGCCUUAAAACUUCACUUUAGCUUGAGUAGAGCUUGUUGAGCCUUGCAUGCACGUAAAGUUGGAAACUUUACAUGUAGAUCUUGCCCUAGGAGUCCAGAUCUAUGUAUUGAAAGCAAUAGUUUGGCCUGUGAUCAUCUGAAUGAAGGUAUUACGUAUGGACUCGGCGAGUCUGGGAGAUGACUUGACGAGUCGGACAAAAGAUUUGGAAUGAAUCGCGUAGUAACUCGGCGAGUCACAUGGGUGUACUCGACGAGUUGGAUGAAGAUAGGCAAGAACUCGACGAGUUGGAAGAACAACUCGACGAGUCUAUUGAAGAUUGCCUUGGGCUCAACGAGUCUGUUCUUGGACUCGGCGAGUCUGGUCGAGGAGUCCUAACCUUUUCUGGUUAAGUCGUGAAUCGGUGAGUCGAAGGAUGACUCGGUGAGUUGAGCAUGAAGGGACUCAGAGUUUGUUGGACUCGGCGAGUCUUGGGGCAACUCGACGAGUUGAGUCGUAAUAUGAGAGUUUUGAGUAUGGGAACUCGAAGAGUCAACGAGUUGACUCGGCGAGUAGGGUCAACCAGGAAGGUUGACCUUGACUGAGGACUUGGACUUUAACCAAGGGUUGACCAGUUGACUUCCGGGGGUAUUUUGGUAAUUAUUGGUAUUUAUUGAUUUGGUUUUUGGUAAUGAUCAGUGGCGGAGUUCGUGCUGGUGGUUGGAGCAGCGUGAUCUUAUUCUUCAGUCGGCAGUGACAGUUGAGUUAUCCUCACUAUACUGACAGGGUCUACGGCACCAAGGCCGACCCUCCAUCGGAUGGAAAUCCGGGUAUUGUUGUUAUGUUAUUGCUAUAUGGAGAUCCUUGUUGAUGGAAAGGCGGCCGACGAACGCUCGGUGGACUCUAUAUCCUCAAGGAAUCAAUUUGGAACCCGGAAAAUCAUAUUUAUUUAGGAAUGUAGCAUAUGGUUUUAGAGGUUGUCCUAAAUGGGAGGAUGUGGAUACGGUUAGUUAAGUUUAAUAAUUAUUAUUUUAUAUAUAUAAUAUUACUGAAAUUACUAGUAUUUAAUUUAUAUUUUUUUUGCAGGUUAUAUCUGUAAUAAAUGUUGUGCAUACCCAUUGGUUUUUGGUGGUUCUACAUUUAGAUACCUGGAAAGUAGAAAUUUUUGAUUCAGCACAAGUUGCGGGUUACUUCUCAACAUACAACACUAAUGGAGAAUUCAAAAGUUUUGGAGAUAGUAUUAUCUCAGAGUUGGAUGCCAUUGAUUACUGGAGCCAUUUCCCCCAUUGGACACAGAGACAAGCAAAGGUCGAGUUUUUUGAUGUUUNGACACAGAGACAAAGCAAAGGUCGAGUUUGUUGAUGUUGUAGACGCCCCACAACAAGAAUAUAGUCUUGAAAGAGGGGAUUGUGGAGUAUUUGUAUGCAUGUUUAUGGAAAUGAUUGUUUCUGGGGGUACCAGUGGCGAUUUCAAGGACAUGUAGAGAAGCUGCAUUUCUCUAUAGAAAUAAGAUGGCAAAUGUUAUUUGGGAUACUAUAUAAGUUGAUAUUAGGAACUUUGUAUAUAUAUUAAUAUUAAAUACUUGUUUCUAGUAUGUAAUCGUGUCACUUCUGGUAGUAUGUAAUCUUGUAAUUAUCUUUUAUAUUUUUUAAACAUAAUUCACCAAAAAAUGUUACGAAACCAUACAUUCAAACAAAAUAAACAUUACAAAUAACAUGAAUACAUUACAAUAGAGUCGUCUACAUAAAAAUAAGGUUUCUUACGACUAACAAACAUUAGAUAAAACAUUGGAAAUAAAAUACUCAUCUACUUGAAAAAAACUUUAUCUUUUACCAGAUUCCAAACGUCCGUAUACUCGAAAUCAUGUCCAUCAAACUUGCAUAGGUAAUAUCCAUUCACAUCUUCAAGAAGUUCUUCAUUAUCUGCUUGAGAGCGUCGCAUUUUCUCAGGAUUGUAGCAUCGAUUGAACCAUGUGACCUUAAACUUUAAAUCCAUCCAUUUACUAACAAUAGCAGGUUUUAGUCGUUCGUGUCCUUGCCCGACUUGAUAGUUGAACAAAGCUAUGAGGCGGGACCAUUCAUCACCUACAAGGCAAUUCAGGGGAGCCAUCACUGGUAGACCCUCGUAAAUGGUAAUCCAACUUUGUAUUAGGACCAACAACUCUGUUGGCGUCCAUGGAGAUGUACAAUUUGUUGGAGAGGCUGCAUUAGAUGGAUUUGUUGCAUUCGAAGAACUUGGUACAUUGGACGCCAUUUCUUAAUUGAUCUACUAUCAACUAAAGAAUUGAAUUUCGUAUAGACACUACGUUUAAUAUAUGUACAAACAUAUGUUAUACAAAGAUAUGUCAGUAACGCGGACUGACGAGCCAGUAACGCGGACUUACGAGCCAGUAACGUGGACUGACAACGAUUAAUAUAUAUAAAUAGUUUCUUAAUGCGGACUGACGAGUCAGUAACGCGGACUUACGAGUCAGUAACGCGGACUGACAACGAUUAACAUAUAUAAAAAGUUUCUUAACGCGGACUAACGAGUCAGUAACGCGGUCUUACGAGUCAGUAACACGGACUGAAAACGAUUAAUAUAUAUCAAAAGUUUCUUAACGCGGACUGAUGAGUCAGUAACACGGACUAACAAUUACUAGACAAAACAGUUUUGCGGACUGACAAGACAGAAACACGGAUUGACAAGUCAGUAACGCGGAGUGAUCAUUGGCUUUGCGGACUCACAAGUCAGUAACGCGGACUGACAACGAAGUAACACGGACUAACAACCCCGUAACGCGGAUUGAGAACGCAGUAACGCGGACUAACAAGUCUAUAUAAAACGACAAACAACAAUGUAUCACUUCAUCUAAGGUAUUUUAGUUCAUGUGCUUUGUAUGUUUUACAANUUCAUGUGCUUGUAUGUUUUACAAUGGGUUCAAACCAAUGGACCGCUAACGAGUAUUUCCUUCUAGCUCGUGCAUAUAUUAAUGUCAAAGAGAACACCAGUUUGGAGGAUAUAAUGUUUUUCUCCCAACUAACGAAUACCUUCAACACUGACGCUGAAACCACCAUACAAAACCAUCGCAACACGCUUGAUAUAGCUACAAAAUGGUAUGAAUUGAAAACGGAAGUUGUGUUAUUAAACGAUCUUUAUAAUAAGAUUGAAGAUGAUCAUGUCAAUGAUACUGAGGAAGAGAUCUUGGAGGUGUCUAAAGAAGAAUACAAAUCCAUUAGCAACGGACAGAGUUUCGAGUUUGAAGCCCCUUGGAAUCUUUUGAAAAAUGUACCGUUUUUUUAAGUAGAACUGCAUUUUGUAUUGUUCUUGUAUUUCUUUAUUUAAAUGUAAUAUGGUAUUUAUCCUUUAUUUUAAAAAAAAAUAUUUGACCAACAAAUGUUACAAAACCAUACAUUCAAAAAACAUUAUCUGACAAACAGCUUACGCGGACUGACAAAUAAGCUACGCGUAAUGACAACACAUUUACGCGGACUGACAAGUAAGUUCUGCGGAAUAAUGUAUACUAAUUCCUUAUAAAUUUUGACAACCAUGACGAAAAUUUACAAGGUGUCGAAAGUUGUGAAAAUGAGUUCAGUCAAUCAGGUAUUAAGGAAAAGUUUCUCCAGCCUACCGACUUUUUUCCAUAAGCUGCAAAGAAGCAAUCCUACCACCUUCACGUACAUUACGAAGGAUCGGUACAAUCGUUUCCAAAUUUGUUUCGUGGCAUUGGGAUGCGUGGUAUGUAAUCCCUUAUAGUAAAUAAAUAUUUAGUUAUUUCAAGUUGGUAUAUGCCUAAUAUUCUUAUGUUGACUUACAGAUUCGUACAUUUCUCACGUCUAUGAUAUCAAUCAUAUUCGUUGGUCAAGUACCUCUAAUUGGGGCAUAUGUAACAUCCAUGUACAUUGCUUUUGCUUUAGAUGGAAAUCAUGAACCCCUUCUCAUAGUGUUUGCCUUGGGAACCAUAAAUUGUGACAAUUCAUGGUUAUGGUUCAUAAGGAGGCUUAAAGACUGUUUAGGUGACAAUACAUAAUUUGGUUUCAUAAGCCAUAUGUCUGAUUCUAUGGACUUUGCAGUCCACAGAGUCUACCCUGAUUCAUAUCAUGGCUAUUGUUGUAAAAAUAUAGCCAAGAAAAUACGCGCUUCCAUCGGAACCAAUACAGUCGUAGAACAGUGGUUCUGUAAGACGUGUAAAGCAUAUAAUUUAUCUCAAUUUUAUGCAUGUUUGAACAAUUUAAAAAAUGAGGUAAAUGGGAAUGAUCUUCAUUGGCUUGACAAUAUUCCCAUUGCAAAAUGGGUACGGGCUUGUUUUCCAAGAGUAAGUUUCAAUGUUAAAUUCAUUGACAUUCCCGAUGUUUUCAAUUGGUUUAAAACAAACACGCAUGAGUUUCCAAUAACAACAAUCAUUGAAAUGGUUCAUGACUCGAUGUAAGAAGUUUAUCUUCGACGUGCUGUUUUUGGAGGUAAUUAUAAGUUAUGACAUCAUUAAAACGGUGAAUUGAUAUGUUUAUUAUACGUUAUGACCUUAUAAUUUUUUUUAUUGAUUCAGUUGAUUUCACAGGGGAUAUCCAUAAUCUUCUAACCCCUUAUGCACUUAAGGUGAUUCAUAAAAGAUUUAUCCACUCGGAUGGUUGUAGGAUUACGCAUAUUGUUGGCGAUAGAUAUGAAGUGACUAAGUAUUCAACAACCGAAUAUGUACAACUAGACCGUGGUAUUUGUAGUUGCGGUAAAUGGCAAAAAUGCGGUAUACCUUGUGAGCAUGCUAUAGCUUCACUACACAGACUCGAAAUUGCAGAAAUCCAUCAAAUGGUAAAUUUAAAGUUAAGUACAGCGGUGUAUCGAAAUGCUUAUCAAACUGAGACGGUCUAUCCUAUUCCAACCCUUAGGCAUUGGGAAAAACCAGUCGAAAGUGUUGUGGUCUUACCUCCACGCCAAUUCAAUUGAACUUUAUUGUAUGGAUCACAACGAAUAUUAGUUUUUAUUCAGUUCUAUGUUAACCGUACUUGUAAUGGUUUGUUGGCAUUCUUUACUUUUUAAUAAAAAAAAUGUUUACCUUUAAAUAAAUAAUUGUAUUUUCAUAAUUGUAAUAUGUAUGCAUGACAACGACUAGACAAAAAAACUAUGCGAACUGACAAACGCAGUAACGCGGACUGACAAAAACCUCUACGGACUAACAACAGCUCUCUGCAGAGUGGAAGGGACUAUAUAUAGUCAUGGAUGGUCGUCGGAUUUUUCGUAUAGAGUUAUAAUUUUUUAAAUUUAAAAUGACUUCAUCUUCAUCUUUGUAUAUUUGCUCGUGCAACGAAGUUGAUUGUUUCUAUUGUGAUCCGAUCGACCCUUUUCUUGCACCAUCACCAAAUUUAAGAGAGUCAUAUAUGUCGGAGGAUACUUUGCAACAACUACAAUGGGCUGAAGAACAACAAAAAAAAAGAUAAAGACUCGUCUCGGGCUCUCACUGAACGACGUGACCUCAUUGCGGCGGAGUGCAAAGAUGUUGAGGAAAGGAUGACGAUUACAAAAAAAAAUCAAAAAUCAUGGGGAAUGGAAAAAAAAACNCUAAGAAGAAUCUCAAACUGUCUGAAAAAUGGCUUGCUGACAAGGAUGCAGAAAUGAUAGAACUUGGUAGGCAAAAGGACCGUAUGGAAGAUAAAAUAAGAAUAAGGGACGACUACAUAACAAUGGAGAAAGAAAAGUAUCCUUUGCAAUUCCCUUAAGUUAAUUACCGUUGUUGUACGUUUACUAUAUGUUUCUAGUUUGUUGAAUGUAUUAACUUCGAGUAUUAGUUAUUAUUCUACUAGUAAUUAUGCAGUAAUAUAAUCAUAAUAUUACCCAUCAUCUUUAAAAUAAACACACCAGCUCAAAGUAGACAAAUUAAUGUCCUCUAAAACAAAACAUAAUUAAUUAUAAAUACAACAUCAAUCAUUCAAAUCAAACGUUGAACAAUAGUCUUCUCUCUACGUCCCACUCGUCCAACGCGUGUCUUGUGUCCCGUGCGUCUCUAGCGUCUCCUGAGUCCCUUCUGUCCCUUUCCCUUUUCCUUUUGUGUUACUACUUGAUGUCGUAUUAGUUUUUCUAGCCUUUUUUUGUUUCUUUGGGACCAAUGUCGGACAAGUCGCUGCAUUAUGUGUUGUACUAUCACAUCUACUACACCUUCUUAUUAUAGGUUCCUCACCUUGUGACGGAAUACGAUUUCUGUUUCUCGGUCUACCAGCUUGACGUGUAUCCAUUAUCGGGGGUUUCACAACCAUCAUGUUAGCAGGAAUCUCCCAAUCACACGGUUCUGGAAGGGGGUAAACCGGCUCCUCAUACGUACUUCGGUAUGUUUCCAUUUUGUAAGCAUCUAUAGCCAGAUGUCCGAAGUUAGUUUUUUUCAAGUGCUUCAAGACCAUUAUCACAUGACCACAAGGCAACCCAGUUCCUUCCCAAUAUUUGCAUGUACAAGUCUCUUGCCUCAGAUCAACUAUGCCACCAUGUUUGAAAUCAUGAACUUCAUAAAGUGCAUCUGAAACACCAGAAAUGGACCAUCCUGUCGUACGCUCUUCAUUUUUACUAACUACUUUUUCAGCCCACUCGGUUAGCACUGUUGAACGUUUCCCUAUAAAGAAGAUAUAUAUAAUUAACUAAUUAUUCGACCUAAUUAAAGACAAAAUAAAAUUCAUACCUCCUUCGAUGCGACGCUUGUAACACCAUUCCUGUGAAAGACGUCGGAAGAACUCAAGAAGGGGUAUUAUAGGCAUCUUCCUUGCAUCUACAGAUAAAGCAUUCAUGAACUCUGCACUGUUCGAGGUCAUGUAAUCGUAACGUUUCGAUGGCGAAUAUGCUCUAGUCCAUUUAACACAGGGAAUUUCACUUAGAUACGCUGCUACUUGCGGCCUAGUAGAACUAAAUAUAUACCACAAUUCUUCAAAAACAUUUCUUUUGUAAGCUUUCACAAGCCUCCAAAACAACCCUUUUGUUUUAUCAUUUUUCCCAAACUUGUGUACUAUGUUUCCUAGUGUGACAUCCCCAAAAUCUUGGCCAGAAAAGACCGAUUUCAUUGAUGCUUUUUAAAAUAAUUUCAGAGUAAAUCCUUUUGAUUUUAAAAGAGAUGCGGAAUUUGUUCCCAAAAACAAAACAUGAUAAAAUAGAUCUUUUAUCAAAACAUUUCAUAAAGAAAUAUAAUUUCAUUUCAUAAUCAAAACCGGGAUGUCAUGUUCCGAUACAGACCAUAAAGCAUAAACGAUAACAUUACAAGUCAUUCAACAAAUAUUAUACAUAUGCAGACUUGUAAACAAAACAACUUGAUGAUUCAUCCAUCUUAUGCCCUUACGCCACUUCCUGUAAUACAAGUAAACUGAGUGGGUCAGGCUUGGGAGCCUGGUGAGCAUAUAGGGUUUUCAACCCACAAUAAAUAAUUAUAUUUAAUUCAACAAUCAACAAUAACCCGAUUACCCAUUCCCGUUUUCCUUACUUUACGUCCCUAAAACAACAUCUAUUAUAAGGGACCUAAUCUAGGAGUUUCAUCGGGACAAACAUUACUGCAAAGGGGCUUCCUUAGCAAUAAAUAUCCUAAAGGCAACCAUGAGGGGGAUAUAGUUCACCGGUGAACACGUCGUUCACAAGACCUACAGGUUAUGAGCCUACUAGUGUUCCACAGGACUGUCUAGAAUAGUCCGUGGUCGUCAUCCAUACUCUGCUGAAUGACUAGAAUAACACCAACAACAUCGAGGCCUCUCAUCUGUUUAUUACACACCAACUAUCUACCCAUGUUCUACCCAACAUAUUAGUAGAUAAAAAUAUACAUUUGUAUACAUAGUUUAAAACCUGUAUAGCAUGCUCAAUCAAUACAUUUUUCCACAUAACAGAUGAGGUACACACACAUAACACGUAUUUCAUAGAGAAUAAAUCAGAUCUAUGAGAUAGAAGAAAGUGAAUAUACAUCCACACAUAUAGUCAACAAAGUAUACACGUAACACGUAUUUCGUAUAAAAUACUUCAUAAUAAUGUGUUAGAAGAAAAUGACUACACACUCACUUGAUCAGAAGAUGAUCGGGCAACACUACGACUUGUAGAAGUAGUGUUUCUCCGUAGAUCUGGAAGAUCUUCACAUAAACCGGGCUCCUCGCGGGCAGGUCUUCGGCUCUGAAAUCUCACUUCUCGGGAUUCUCGGGACUUCGGAUCUUGCUUCGGGGCUCGCGAAUAAUAUUGGGGCUUCGGGGUAUGAUUGGCAAGCAAAUCGAGGCAAAAACUAGAGAGAAGAAAGAGUUUGAACUAGAGAAAAUGGUUGAUCUCGCAUUCUAUUUAUAGGCUGCUGGGUCUAGGAUUAUGCCGGGCGUAAUUUCCAGGUACGCUGGGCGUACUAAGUACACUGGGCGUAAUUAGGUUACGUUGGGCGUACUUUGACGUCACUGCAUGCGUCAAUUGGUGGCACUCGAGUAUUGGUCAGACAAGUUGCACCCCUCUGAGUACGCUGGGCGUACUCAAAUUACGCUGGGCGUAAUUUGACUCGUCAAACUUCUAAAUUGCGUAACUUUGGCAUACGAGCUCCGUUUUCGACGUUCUUUAUAUCAACGCGUAGGUUAGACCAUACUCUACAACUUUCAUUUAGACUCAAUUUUUACUUUUAUUUUUAUUAUUUAUUUUUAGUAGGCCGGGACAGGAAAACUUCGUUAUAAAUUCAUAACUUCUUCGUUCGACGUCCGUUCUCGCCUAACUUUUCAUCGUUUCACUACUAACAACGAGAUAUUCGAUUCUCGUUUAGAUUGUUCUGGCUAAAAACCGCUCGAUCUCAAAUCGAGUAUUCGGGCUGCAUACUGCCAAGUCGAAACUUCAGANGAAAAUCAUAUUCCUCAUACGAAGUCAGAUUUGGGCGUUCUAUAUAUAUUUAGAAACCUAGUUUCAACUACUACAACAUUAUCCAAAGAUAUCGAGUUUAUUUUACACUUCAUUUUGACGCUAAUUUUUAUUCUUAAUUCAAUUAAAUUAUAAUAAUUAAGAAAACACACACAUAAUUCACAUAAUUCACAAAUAAUACAUUUUUAUUAUUUCAGAUUGGGUUACAAAGGUUAACCUAGACUAUUACAUUGCUAAAAAUGGCAAGCCCAUAAUCACGGGCGUUACAAUUUUCUCCACCUUAGAAUGAUUCCGUCCCUGGAAUCACACAUCAACAAAUAAAUGCGGAUAGCGACCCAUCAUGUCACUCUCCGUCUCCCAGGUGAGAUACGACCCAUUCGUGUGUUUCCAACGGACAAGCACUAACUCAACCAUCUUACGUCGCAAUUUCUUAGUCUUCCGGUCAACGAUUGCUUCUGGUUCUUCAAUCAAUCUUUUGUUUUCAUCAAUUAUUAACUCUGAAAGUGGAAUCAUGUCGGGAACUUCUCCCGUGAACUUCCUCAAGUAACACAUAUGAAAAGUGUUAUGAAUUCCAUUCAGUUCUUCGAGUAGUUCGAGCUUGUAAGCUUGGUUCCUAAUUCUCUGAAGAACUUUAAACGGUCCAAUAAACCUUGGACUUAACUUUCCCCUUUUACCACAUCUUAUAAGUCCCUUCCACGGCGAGACUUUAAGCAAAACCGAAUCUCCAACUUCAAAAGUCAUCGGUCUUCGCUUUUUGUCAGCAUAGCUCUUUUGACGGUCGUGAGCUGCUAACAUUCUUUCCCUAAUUAUUUUCAACUUUUCAGCCGUUUGAUGGACUAUCUCUGGUCCCAUAAACUGCUUUUCCCCAGCCUCAAGCCAACAAGACUGCGUACGACACUUCUGUCCGUACAAAGCUUGAUAAGGUGCCAUCUUAAUGCUCGAGUGGAAACUAUUAUUAUAGGAAAAUUCUACCAAUGGUAAAUGUUCAUCCCAAUUACCUAGGAAUUCCAAGGUACAUGCUCUCAGCAUAUCUUCAAGUGUUUGUAUCGUUCUUUCACUCUGACCAUCAGUCUGCGGAUGGUAAGCUGUGCUUAAACACAACUUGGUACCCAAUUCCUCUUGUAGACUUUUCCAAAACCGUGAGGUGAAACGACUAUCACGAUCCGACACAAUUGUUAACGGAACACCGUGAAGCCUCACAAUUUCCUUCACGUAAGAAUUCGCAAGCUUUUCCAUAGACCAUUUCUCAUUGGCUGCUAUGAAAUGCGCACUCUUAGUGAAUCGAUCAACGACCACCCAAAUCAUGUCGUGACCAUUCUUUGUUCUGGGCAGUUUAGUGACAAAAUCCAUAGCAAUGUCUUCCCACUUACCCAUAGGCACAGGCAAUGGUUCUAAACUCCCGUACGGUUUCUGAUGUUGUGUCUUGACUCUCGCACAAGUCACACACUCGGCCACAUACUUUGCAACAUCAAGCUUCAUCGUCGGCCACCAGUAGUAGGGUUUCAGGUCCCUAUACAUUUUAGUGCUACCCGGAUGAAUCGAGUACAUGGUCUUGUGAGCUUCUUCCAUCAGAAGAUCUCUGACUCCUCCUGUCUUAGGUAUCCAAAUCCGAUCUUGGAACACCUUCAGUCCAUGACUGUUUACACCGAACACCAACGUUUUGCCCAAACGUUCCUCCUUUCUGUCAUUCUUCUCAGAAGCUUCGCUCUGAGCUUUCUUUAUACUUUCCAAAAUAGUUGAGACAACUUCAAUUCUCAACGCUCUUGGCCUUUUCCUUUCGGGAUUGACUUUCCGACUGAGAGCAUCAGCAACAACAUUAGCUUUACCGGGGUGGUAAAGUAUCUCGCAGUCAUAGUCUUUAAGUAAUUCUAGCCAGCGUCGUUGCCUCAUAUUCAAUUCUUUCUGAUUAAAGAGGUAUUGGAGACUCUUAUGAUCAGUGAAAAGUUUGCACUUCGUGCCAUAGAGGUAAUGCCUCCAUAUUUUCAGAGCGAAAACUACCGCUGCCAACUCCAAAUCAUGAGUCGGGUAAUUCUUUUCAUGCUCUUUCAGCUGUCGAGACGCAUAUGCUAUCACCUUUUCUCUUUGGGUCAAAACACAACCCAAUCCAACACCAGACGCAUCGCUAUAAACAGCGAAGUCUUCAACUCCAUCGGGUAGAGAAAGUAUCGGUGCCUCGCAUAGCUUCUUCUUUAACUUCUCGAAUGCUUCUUUAUGCUUCUCACUCCAAGCAUAAGUAGCUCCUUUGUGGGUCAAAGCUGUCAAUGGAGUAGCAAUCGAAGAAAAGCCUUGGAUAAACCUUCAAUAAUAUCCGGCUAAUCCCAAAAAGCUUCGAAUCUCCGUGGGACUUUUCGGUUGUUCCCACUUCAUCACAGCUUCGAUCUUCGCUGGAUCAACCAUUAUCCCUUCUUGGUUGACCACGUGACCCAAGAAUUGUACUUCUCGAAUCCAAAAAUCACAUCUGGAGAACUUUGCAUACAACUUAUCCUUCUUUAAAACUUCUAACACUUCUCGCAAGUGUCUGCCAUGCUCCUCCUGGCUUUUCGAGUAAAUCAGAAUGUCGUCUAUGAACACUAUNGAACGGAUUACAAACCCUGUUCAUUAAAUCCAUGAAUGCUGCUGGAGCAUUGGUUAGUCCAAACGACAUAACCAAAAACUCGUAGUGCCCAUAUCAUGUUCUGAAUGCAGUCUUCUCUAUAUCCUGCUCUCUUACUUUUAGCUGAUGAUAUCCUGACCUCAGGUCGAUUUUUGAAAAAUAACUUGAACCUUGUAGUUGAUCGAACAGGUCAUCAAUCCUCGGCAACGAAUAUCUAUUCUUUAUUGUUGCCUUGUUCAGUUCUCUGUAAUCGAUGCACAUCCUCAUACUUCCAUAUUUCUUUUGACGAAUAACAUCGGAGCUCCCCAGGCCGAUGAACUAGGUCUUAUGAAACCUUUGUCCAAUAACUCCUGAAGUUGCAUCAUCCGCUCCUUCAUCUCCAUCGGUGCUAGUCGGUAAGGUGCUUUUGCUAUAGGCGUCGUUCCCGGCAACAAGUCGAUACGAAAUUCUACUUGUCGAUCAGAAGGUAAUCCAGGAAGAUCUUCGGGAAAUACUUCCGGAUAAUCACAUACGACAGGAAUAUUCUGCAUCACCUUUUUUUCCUUCUUAGCAUCGAUCACGAAUGCUAAAUAUGAUGUACACCCCUUGGUCAAACAUUUUCUGGCUUUCAUUAGAGAAAUGAUUCCAGAAUUUACUCUGCGUUUAUCUCCAUACACCAUAAACGAUUCCUUCCCAGGCGGGUUCACUUUCACUAUUUUCUUCUUGCAUAAAAUUUCGGCAUCAUUGGCGCUAAGCCAAUCCAUUCCCAAAAUGAUGUCGAAACUGUUAAGUUCGAUAUAAAGGAGUAGUUUUCUACCAAAUUCAUGCGAUAUAAAGGAGUAGUUGGCUCCAGAAUCAAAUAAAAUUUGGGCAGACGAUUUGUUUACGAGAAAGGUACCUGAACGACAUCAGCUUCAUCUUUAGCAGCUUCCAGUGUCAUCUGGAAUGCUCUCGCCUUCGGCUUUGGCGAAAUGUUGGGUUUUGUUGCCUCCUUCUUCUUCGGACAAUCUCUUGAUAUGUGCCCUUCCUCACCACAACCAUAACAAACAUUCUUGGUGAGGGUGCAGUCGUUGGCAUAAUGCCCUGGCUUUCCACAUUUCAAGCAUGUGGCUUCCCCGCCGCACUUCCCAUGAUGCUUCUUCUUGCAUUUGUCGCACCAUUUCGCUUCGCCUCCUCCACCCCCUCUCGAACUAGACUUCGAGAAUUUACCCUUUUUGCUGGACCCUGAAGAUCCCUCGAACUUCCUCUUUUCACCAACCUCUGACCUUUCCAGACCUUUUUCCCUGAUCUGGGUCUCAACAUUUCUAGCAGCCCAGAUGGCGGCUUUCAAUGUGGUUGCUUGCUUAACCAUUAGACCAUAGUCCGCUGGUAGUCCAAGGGCAAACUUGUUGACCUUAGAGAGUUCUGUAGGCACCAAAUAUGGGAUAAACUUCAUCUUUUCUGUGAAACUUGCAGCGUAUUCAGUAACGCUCAAUUUCCCUUUCUUCAAAUUCUGAAACUCAUUACUGAUUUCCAGAAGGUCCUGCUCGGAGCAGUAUUGCAGUUUUAGUUGUUCCACAAAGUCUUCCCAAGACAUUUUGCUUGCUUCUCCCUUGGGCAUAGAGUCAGCUAACAGCUUCCACCAACUCAACACGCCAGAUUUUAGCAGAGGGAUCGCAAGAGCGGUCUUCUGCCUGUUGCUGCAUUCGCAACUUUCAAACAUAGUCUCCAUUUCGGAGAUCCAGUCCAUAACUUGCACCGGCGUCGGGCUUCCGGAUAGACAUGGUGGUUUGGAUGCCAUGAAAUCCUUAUACUUGCACCCACGACCAUCAUUUCCUCCAUACUGGUUAUUGCGUCUAACCACUGGUUGUUCGUCUUGACCAAUGAUCCCACUAAAGUUUUCUCCUUCAGACUGCCCUCCAUUCUCCUCGGGCUCUUCCGCUUGAAUUGACGGUUCUUCACGAUUCUGCCUAAGCAGGCGUCUUGUUUCUUCCAUCUGACGAUCCAACAUCAUUUGAAUCAUCAUUUGUACACCAGCCAUUGUUAUCGGCUCAGGUGCAUCAGCUACGACAGGUACUUGUUGAAUUACAGGCGGUUGAUUCCUGUUUUCAUCAGCAUUUCCAACUCCGCUUCUUGUUCUCACCAUUUUUGAUCUACACACCGAAUAAUUUCACCUUAUUACUCCAAACGAUUACAUGCUAGUUCUAAUAUCGUAUACAUACGCUUAGAAUCCUAAACACAUAAACCUUCAGAUCCGGUUGGCAACAAACCGUAGAUCCGAACAAAUAAUAUCAUAUAUGGCAACAUAUAACAUUUAGCACAUAAAAGCAUUUUAGGCAACUUUCCUAAAAUAAACUAGUGCUCGUGUCUAAAAUUUAUCAGACACACAUCUCACAAUCUCCACUUAGCAUACUAAGUUUAAGUCUAGAAAUCCUACAAAUUCCUAGUUCGCUUAAACUAAUGCUCUGAUACCAACUGUGACAUCCCCAAAAUCUCGGCCAGAAAAGACCGAUUUCAUUUAUGCUUUUUAAAACAAUUUCAGAGUAAAUCCUUUUGAUUUUAAAAGAGAUGCGGAAUUUGUUCCCAAAAACAAAACAUGAUAAAAUAGAUCUUUUAUCAAAACAUUUCAUAAAGAAAUAUAAUUUCAUUUCAUAAUCAAAAAUCGGGAUGUCAUGUUCCGAUACAGACCAUAAAGCAUAAACGAUAACAUUACAAGUCAUUCAACAAAUAUAUACAUAUACAGACUUGUAAACAAAACAACUUGAUGAUUCAUCCAUCUUAUGCCCUUGCGCCACUUCCUGUAAUACAAAUAAACUGAGUGGGUCAGGCUUGGGAGCCUGGUGAGCAUAUAGGGUUUUCAACCCACAAUAAAUAAUUAUAUUUAAUUCAACAAUCAACAAUAACCCGAUUACCCAUUCCCGUUUUCCUCACUUUACGUCCCUAAAACAACAUCUAUUAUAAGGGACCUAAUCUAGGAUUUUCAUCAGGACGGACAUUACUGCAAAGGGGCUUCCUUAGCAAUAAAUAUCCUAAAGGCAACCAUGAGGGGGAUAGAGUACACCGGUGAACACGUCGUUCACAACACCUACAGGUUAUGAGCCUGCUAGUGUUCCAUAGGACUGUCUAAAAUAGUCCGUGGUCGUCAUCCAUACUCUGUUGAAUGACUAGAAUAACACCAACAUCAAGGCCUCUCAUCUGUUUAUUACACACCAAUUAUCUACCCAUGUUCUACCCAACAUAUUAGUAGAUAAAAAUAUACAUUUUUAUACAAAGUUUAAAACCUGUAUAGCAUGCUCGAUCAAUACAUUUUUCCACAUAACAGAUGAGGUACACACACAUAACACGUAUUUCAUAGAGAAUAAAUCAGAUCUAUGAGAUAGAAGAAAGUGAAUAUACAUCCACACAUAUAGUCAACAAAGUAUACACGUAACACGUAUUUCGUAUAAAAUACUUCAUAAUAAUGUGUUAGAAGAAAAUGACUACACACUCACUUGAUCAGAAGAUGAUCGGGCAACACUACGACUUGUAGAAGUAGUGUUUCUCCGUAGAUCUGGAAGAUCUUCACAUAAACCGGGCUCCUCGCGGGCAGGUCUUCGGCUCUGAAAUCUCACUUCUCGGGAUUCUCGGGACUUCGGAUCUUGCUUCGGGGCUCGGGAAUAAUACCGGGACUUCGGGGUAUGAUUGGCACGCAAAUCGAGGCAAAAACUAGAGAGAAGAAAGAGUUUGAACAAGAGAAAAUGGUUGAUCUCGCAUUCUAUUUAUUGGCUGUUGGGUCUGGGAUUACGUUGGGCGUAAUUUCCAGGUACGCUGGGCGUACUCAAUACACUGGGCGUAAUUAGGUUACGUUGGGCGUACUUUGACGUCACUGCGUGCGUCAAUUGGUGGCACUCGAGUAUUGGUCAGACAAGUUGCACCCCUCUGAGUAUGCUGGACGUAAUUUGACUCAUCAAACUUCUAAAUUGCGUAACUUUCGCAUACGAGCUCUGUUUUCGACGUUCUUUAUAUCCACGCGUAGGUCAGACCAUACUCUACAACUUUCAUUUAGACUCCAUCGGCUAAUUUUGACUUUUAUUUUUAUUAUUUAUUUUUAGUAGGCCGGGACAGGAAAACUUCGUUAUAAAUUCAUAACUUCUUUGUCCGACGUCCGUUCUCGCCUAACUUUUUAUCGUUUCGCUACUAACAACGAGAUCUUCAAUUCUCAUUUAGAUUGUUUCGGCUAAAAACCGCUCGAUCUCAAAUCGAGUAUUUGGGCUGCAUACUGCCAAGUCGAAACUUCAGAAAAUCAUAACUUCCUCAUACGAAGUCAAAUUUGGGCGUUCUAUAUAUAUUCUGAAACCUCGUUUCAACUACUACAACAUUAUCCAAAGAUAUCGAGUUUAUUUUACACUUCAUUUUGAUGCUUAUUUUUAUUCUUAAUUCAAUUAAAUUAUAAUUAAGAAAACACACACAUAAUUCACAUAAUUCACAAAUAAUACAUUUUUAUUAUUUCAGAUUGCAUUACAAAGGUUAACCUAGACUAUUACAUUGCUAAAAAUGGCAAGCCCAGAAACACAGACGUUACACCUAGUAUAUGAAAAGCACACAAGCCAUGAUGAGCAUGUGGAAAAACAUUUUCAAUACUAACGCGAAUUGUAUCGGCCCUAUCAGUUACAAAAGUCAAUUCUUGACAAUCACUAACACAUUCAUACAACUUUUCAAGAAACCAUGUCCACGUAAGACCACUUUUUUUUUUCAUAUUCCGUGCGUAAGGGGCAGUAUCUGGUUGUUCCCAUCCAUAGCUACUCCAUGCAAUAUGGUUCCCUUAAAAGCACCCUUCAAAUGGGCACCAUCCAUAAUUAUAACUUUACGACAAAAACUUUUGAACGCUCGUAUCUGCAAUAUAUAAAAAUGGAACACAUAAACACUCUAUAAUUUGUUUACAAAAAUUAUAUAUUAAAUAACAACAAGUUUUUUGUAUUUACCGUGCUCCCAAUGGCAUAAAAACAACACUCGAAACAAUCUUCAGAAUCUGUUUGAAUAUACGCAACUGUACCGGGAUUAUGCCUCUUCAAAUUGUGAAAAUAAAUAGGAAGUUUGGCAAAACAUUCUUCAGAGGAUCCCAACAACAGUUUCAUAGCAUAUUGUUUUGCACGCCAAGCUUGUUUGUAAUCUACGUUGAUUUCCAGCAAAGCAUUCAAAUCCCUUGAUAUUUCAUUAGGCCUCCAAACCUUGGAACGAGUUUUUCCCAUAAUCUCAUGCAAUAUAGUACCCAUGACUUUUUUAUUAGCAUGCUUAUGAUUAGGGUGUAUCUGUAAUGACGAACAUGUGUACACGUUGUUGAAAGUCCUGAUUUCAAAUUCAUCAGUGAGAUCAAGGCGUUUUGCAUACAAACGCCAACUACAGUUCUCAAUUUCACAAUAUACCUCAUAACGAUUUUUGUUAGAAUGUUUGGUCUUAAACUGAAACUUUUCUCUUGUUGCUUUAAGAAUCAAUGCAAAAAUUAGUUGUUGUUUGUUGUCAUAUGUUUGACGAACAAACAUAUCAUCAUUUGGACCUAAACUGUGAAAUGGUCCGGGUUCAACAAUAGGAUCAGGACAAUCAGGUAUGGGAGACAUACCGUAAAAAAUGUCUGAAGCUUUUUUCCCGUAUGUGAACUCAUCUUCUGACCAUCCUUCAUUUGACUCUUCACUGUCUGAGAAAGUUUUGUUAGUCAAUCUUCUAAACCCAUAUAAAUUUUUUUCUUCAACCGUAUUCAGUGCCACCGUUUCUUCUUCUGGACAAUCUUCAACAUUAUCAGAUACAAUGUUAUCAACAUUGUAUGGUACAACUUUCUCAGCUGCUUCUGUCUGUUCGACCAAUCCCUGAAACACCUCUAAAUACAAAUGCACAAUCUCCUUCGUUUCAGAAAUUACAUUUCUGAGUUGAUUAACAUCUGCUUCAUCUAAAAUAUUCAUCACAUACCCAUGAACCGGGUGUUGAAAUGACAAUGAUAUAUUACUAUUGAACACCUUAGCCUUACUUUUGACCAAAUCAAACAAUAUUCGAAAAUCAAAAUUAGGCGGAGGCAGUAAACCCAAGUUGUUUAACUUUGGUCUAACGUAGGUGUUAAUCGCAUUACUUAUCUGCAAAAAACCUCCAGUACAUAAAAUAACAAAACUCAUAUUUGGUUUUGAAAAUCAAAUGAAAACGAACUGAUCUAUCGACCAAAAUAAAACAAACAUAUGAAAAAGAAACUUUUGUAUCAAAAAACUCUUCAAAAUCCGCUCCAACCACCCAUUCCACGGAGGCAUUACUCUCUCCGCAGAGACCCAUUCCGCGGAGCAUGAUUAAAAAGGCUAACAACCUAUUGUUCGACCACUUCGCAGAGAUGACUUCAUUCCGCGGAGGUCCGCGGAGGGUCCUCCGCGGAAUGCAUGUCUAUAGCUGGAAUUUUUUUUUUGUGUCUAAAUUUUUAAAUUUCCCCCUUUUUUCGUCUAUAGCCUAUAUUUUCUCUAAAUGAUUUACAUAUUGAAAGUUCAGAAACAAGUUAAAACUUAAACCCUAAAAGAGCGUACAAAUUUCAAUCGUCAACAUACCCCACCACAAAGGCACAAAUAAUCAAAGAAACAAAUGUAGAUGUAGAGGCCUUUUUCACCACAAUCACCCUUCAUCGGCCAUUUCGAAGGCCACGUGAAAUGUCACUAACGUGGCCCUAUAAAUAUCCACUACUUUGUCUUUAACCUUUCCCCCCUCUCAUAUAAAACCCUCCAUCCUCCUCCUUUACCACCAUCACCAACUACCUUCUCUCCUCCAUCAAAAGUAUCCCCAUCUUUUCCGACAUGGCUGCUUCUUCAAUCUUCAUGGCAACUCCCAUCACACUCCUCAAGAAAACUCCCACCUUCUCCGUCAAAUGUAUGUCACAAACACCUCAAAGCGGUGAACCGGGGGUUUCAAAACCAGCAACCACCCCAACACCACCACAGAUCAACAUUCCUCCUCCUCCGCCACCUGCUCCAAAGGUCAGCACGAAGUUCUCUGACGUGUUGGCGUUUAGUGGACCUGCACCGGAGAGGAUCAACGGAAGGUUAGCCAUGAU